UUUUCUGAUGUAAUUGAUGUAUUUUUGGUACAUUUAUUGAAGUAAUUGUUAGAUUUUAGGUCUGUUGUAAACACUAUAUUUGAGAUAUAUGAAUUUAUUGUUAAUGACUUCGUAGCCUUUCGUGUAUUUGAUUUUGGUUGAAUUAAGGUGUAUCGAUGUGCUGGUGUAUUUGAUAUAGUUUAGAUAAUUUAUAUACACCAAAUUUGCUUGGUGUAUGUGUACGUGUUUGUGGUAUAUUUGGUGUUUUUUGAUAAAAUUAUGGUGUAUAUUUUGGUGUAGAUCAUAUAUUAUUAAUCAUGUUUAACCAUAAUAUGCACCACUUUGUUUAACCAUAAUAUGCACCACUUUGUAUAUGAAUUUUUUUGGUGAUAUAAAAAAACUUAACUAUCUAUUUCAGAUUUUACUAUUAAAAUUUGUGUUUAGUAUGUUUUUUAACUUUUCAUUGAAAUGUAUUGCAGGAAGGUAUGUGGAUUUCAAGACCAAAGGAGUUAUUUAUGAUGCAAACACUAAUUACAACAACGUAAUUAAGGUUGCGAAAAAAAUUAAUUGAAUAUGUUUUUGUGGUGUAAAAUUAUGACUUGUAUAUGUAUUUUGAUAUAAUUGUUUGAUAUGUUGGUAUUGCUUUGUAAAACAACACCAUAGAUACAAUACUUUGUAAUUUAUUUAUUUUUACGAAUGAAAAUUUUAUCAAAACUAAUGAUCUUUUCAUAUAUUUUUGUCUAGUUAUUCAUUAAUUUGAUGAUAAUAAUCGGGAGAUAGUUGAUUGCAUUAUCGUAUAAGACUGAAUACAAUUGGAACAUAUAACAAAAAUUAAUUUUACAACGCGUGAUUUGUUAUCAUUGUGGUUUAAACAAUUGUACACCAAACUUAAUCGACAAUGUACACCACUUAAUAUACACAACUUUUAAAUUAAAACUAUAAAAUAAAUGUUUUAAGUGUAAUGGUUUAUAAUAGUAUAAAUUAUAGGAAUCACAUAGUGUAAGAUCUAAAUUACAUCCUAUCCCUACUAAUUUUCAAUUUACAAAAAUCCCUUAAAAAAGGAGGCAGCCGGAUACAUACCUACCGUUCGGAUACAUUGUAAACAACUUCUUGUUGCACUUAAAAAGGAACAAAUCAAGUAAAUUUAUUUUUACUUAUUUUGAUUUCCUUGAUUAACGCACGUAAAAUUUAUUUUUACUUAUUUUAAUUUUCUUGAUUAUCGCCUAACUGAUUCUUAUCAGUCCAUAUCUCAAUAGGUAACAUAUCACAAAUUCCAAAUUUCAAAUUUACAUCUUCUCCAUUGAAAAACCAUUAAUAUUGAAAAAAGUAGGUAAAUUUAAAAAAAAACUACGAAAAAGUUAAUUGAUACAAGAUAGAAUAUAUCGAUUUUGUUGAGGCAUUCAAGAAUUUGGGUGAAUAGGUGAGUUAUGAAUGUUACAAAAGUGAUGGAAUCUCAAAUCCGUCAAUGAUACAAAAGACAAGAUGGAUGGAGAUCUACAUUGAUGCUACAUCGGGCGAUCUAUCAAGCCCCAUUAAUCAAUGUUCAAAAGAACACGAGAAGAUUUAUCAACAAUGGUUCAAUUUUGCUGAUUCUGAUAAUUUUUUUUAGUGUUUUUGUGCAAAUAAGAGAAAAUAAUAAUAAUUUUUGAAUGAUGGGGUUGCUAAUUUGAUACAGAUGGAGAUGGACGUCUUACUAGUGGAGAUGUCAUCCAGUUCUUUGCCAUGUCCAAUUUGCCUCGAUCAGAACUCAAACAUGUUUUUUUCUAUCUUUUCAUGUUUGUGAAUGCUUGAACCAUUAGAAAACUUUGAUCAGUCUUACUUCAAAAACAUCAAAAAAUGGUAUUUCAUUUAAUGUAUCAUUGACUUGUUUAAUUUUUUUAGGUUGUUGCAUCGUCUGAAUUUAUUUUUUAGUUUAUGAAUCUGGAAGAAGAUACAUUGUUAGCCUUGAAAAAUAUAUAAUUGUGGGAGAUUUCAACUAGACGAAAUACUUUGUGCACACACAAUUGCUGUUUUGAAGAGCAAGAUAUUACAGAUAUGCAUCCCCACUGAUUACUACAUUGCAGUGAAUAUGUAUCAGAUACAUUAAUACAUAAACCUCACUACUUUAGAUCCUGAUUACUAAGAUUCACGAUAGUUUGUAAUAUUACUUUCUAUACCAUAUUUUGAUCGCGAGAUACAUGUAUCAUUAAAGAAGAGAUACAUGUAUCUAACUGUUUUAAAAGUUGAGAUACACGAGUUGUUGUGGACGCGAAUGUCACAACCGUAGGACUUGUACUUUUUUCCCCAAAGGAAAGUGAAUCAUUGAAUUUAUAUAAGAUAUUCAUGUUCAUGUUGAAUAAUUUUUCAAUUAUAUGAAUUUUGCACUUUUAUAUUUCAAUAAAGUAGCUUGAAUUGUUAACAAUGUGAAGUAUCGAUACAAUAUAUGUGAGUUUUGCUAUUUUGUAUAAAAAUUAGUUCAAUUUGUGGGUGAUUUAUUUGAUACAUAAUUAACUUAUGUAAAUCUAUAAGCAUUGAUAAAACUCAUAUCUAAGUUAUCUAAUAAUAACCUAUGUGAAUCUGAUACAUAAUUAUGUAAUUUAUAUGCAUUGACAAGACUGAUAUCUAAUGUAUCAUAAAGAUUGAUUAUGUGUUUCUAAACUUUCCUUUUGUAUCUCGUUCAACUGGUGGGAAACACCAUAUACACGUAAUGUAUCGAACAAACACCAUUUUCCUUUUCUACAAUUGAUUAAAAUUAGUUAUGAAUUUGAUACUAAUGUUUCUGAACUAUAAAUGAAUAACGUGAAAGAUUUAAGUAUUUGUGUUAUGUAUCAACAACACUAUAGUUAAAACAAAAAAUAUAAGAAUUUACAUGAUAUAAUCAAUAACAAAUUCAGAAAAUGACAUGAAACAGUUUUUAGAGUAACACUCUAAAGCCUAAGUAAAAUUGUCUUAAAAAANNNNNNNNNNNNNNNNNNNNNAUACACGUAAUGUAUCAAACAAACACAAUUUUCAUUUAUAUACAAUUGAUUAAAUUAAUUAUGAAUCUGAUACUUAUGUUUCUGAAUUUCAAAUGAAUAAUGUGAAAGAUUUAAGUAUCAUAUGAUAUGUUAUGUAUCAACGACACUAUAAUUAAAACACAAAAUAUAAGAAUUUACAUGAUAUAAUCAAUAACAAAAAAUAUUCAAAUUCAAAAAAUGACAUGAAACAGUUUUUAGAGUAACACUCUAAAGCCUAAGUAAAAUUGUCUUAAAAAAUGAAACAAAACAUCAAAAGGUGUAUAUUUGUUGAUACAUAAUCGCUAUUCGACAGGAACCAAAUCAUCUUGCUGCGAUGAAGUGAAGCGACCCUUGGACUUUAGAGGAUCAUUUUUAUCGCUGACAUAAUCUGACUUUGCCUUUUCAGUAUCGUAUCUCCAUAAUAAUGCUUCAUAUCUUGUGUGAAGAUAAUCAGCUCGAAAACCAUUUGAUGGGAUGUUGAUUUCGUCACUAAGGAACUCAACAAAGGCAUUAUCAUGAGAAACAUGUCAAGUUAAUCUUAUGAUACAUAAUUGUAACUACAAAGUAUCUUAAUGUUUAAUUAAUACAUAAUGAUAAAAAUAGAGUAAUUGAUACUCAAUACCAAUUGAUGAUCUAUACAAUCUGACAUAUAUUUGUAUCUGAUACUAAAUGCUCACUAGUUGAACAUGAUACACAAAUUACCCAACACUAGAUACAAAAUAAUUGAGUAUAGUUAAAUUAGUAACUUGCAAUGUAUCUAAUGUGUGUACCUGAUACAUCUUAGUGAACUUUGUGUAUCUGAUACACACUGAAUAGUACAUGUUUUGAAUGAUACAUCAAUAAACAUUAUUUUUGUAUCAAUAAUUUCACAUAAUUACAACAACUCCACACAUGAUACAAAAAUGCCCACCAGUUGAACAUGAUACAAAAAUUGCCCAACCCUUAAGAAUGAUCAAACAAAGAAGUACAAUUAAAUUAGUAACUUGUCAUUUAUCUUAUGUUUGUACCUGAUACAUUUUAGCAAACUUUUGUAUCUAAUGCAUAUUGAAAAAAUACAAGUUUUGAAUGAUACACUAUUGAACAUCAUCUUUUUAUCAAUAAUUUCAGAAAAUUACAACAACUCCUUAAAUAAUGAACAAAAUUAGGGUUUAGUGUAUCAACUAAUUAAGCUUAAAUAUUGAUACAUUACAAUAUGAAAUAUUAUAUUUUUAUUAAUGUAUCAUUGUUUAAUUAACUAAUCGAAACACAUUCAACAAUCAAUAAAAGAAGAUCGGCAUACUAACUGAUUACACUUAAAUGCUGAUACAUUACAAUAUAAAACAUGAAUUUCGUCGUUUAUGUAUGAUUUGUGAUUAACUAACAAAAAAAGGUAUAAAAAUUGAUAGAUUUAAAAAAAAAAACCAUCUAAUAUAUAAGUUCUACUGAGCUUAUGUUUCUAGUAAUGAUGAACUUUCUGCAGAUUCGGUAAACUUGCACCUCAUCACUUUUCGGGAAUUUCUUCAACAGAAAACUUAUCAAUCUCCGACUGAGCCAUAUAAUAUUUCCAUCUCAUCUCGUCCUCCAUUGUUGUUCACAGAUAAUAUCAGUGCUCUCCAUCUCACGACAUAUUUGGUAUUACAUGCUCCUUCUUCAACUUCUCAAUGCUUAUUUUAGCCAUUAUUAAUGGAUUGUGCAAUUUUUUGAUCUGUUUUCAAUCCAAGAAAUAUCUUCGGAAUCAAAAACACGACGAGUGUUAUUUGAGUUUAAUUGUGUAAAACCAAGACUAAAAGAUGGUGCAUCAUCCAUAUGAUUCAACGUUUUGAAGAAGAAAAAAAAUGAAAAAUAAAGGAUGAACAGAUAGUUUGAAGAGAUGAACAGAUUACCCUAUUUCACGUUGGAUUAGUUUUGACAGGAUAGAGACUUGAUUUUGAAUUUCAAAAGUAAUGAAAAAAUUAACUGAAAAGAAAAUGGGGAGAGAUUUGUGGAGUGAAAUCAGGAAGUGAUAAACUUUGAUUUUUGGAAUUGUGAGUUAUGUAUCCGGCAGAUUAGUUUUAGGAGGAAAAUAAGGGAUUUUGGAAAAUUUUAGAAAUGGUAGGGAAUAAUGAGAAUUAUGGAAAAACAAGGUGUGUAUAUAGGUAAUUUUUCCUUUAUAAUAUGUAUGAAAUUUGAUUAUAUUUUGGUGCAAGUUAUUCAUUAUGGUUUAAAAAAUAAACACUAAUAUUAAUUCUUUUUGUAUAACUAAAAUAUAUAAAAUGAAGAGAGAGAAGUAAAAAAACGAUUUGUCCAAAAAAUUUGAAUCGAAAUUGACGAGAGAGAAAGAAGAGGAGAGAAAUCUUUUUCCAAAAAAUAAGAGAAAGAAAAAAGGGACGUAAUUAAGGAGAGAAAAAUAAUUAUGAUUACAUAGAUGGUAUAUAUGUUUGUGUAUUAAAUGGAUGCCAUGAUAUAACUCUUUGAUGUUACUAUGAGUUAUUUAAUGGUAUAAAAUUACCUAUAACAUUAAAGUAUGCUAUAUUUAAAUUGAAAUUAUAGCUAAUUAUAUACCAAUCUAAAUAUGGUUCAAUAAAACCUAAAUAUUUCAACAAUGGUUAUGUAACAUACAUAUUCCAUAUAUUUAAAAAAAGUUUGUUUUCUCUAUGCUAUAAAUGAUUUUUUUUUGUGACAAUUAGAUGGAAUUGGUUUCUCGUAUAUGUUCAUUAUAAUUGAUCUAUAUAUUAUAUUAAUUGUUGGUAUUAUAUACUAAACUUUAGAACAUUAUGGUCCUAUAAUGGGAACUUAUUCAAAAUGGUAAUUUAACACCCAGAAAAUACCAAAAAAAAUUGUAAGAGAGAGAAAAUUACAUAGAUAAAAAUGUUUUAAAAGGGAGAUACGGAACAAAUAUGUUUGUUGGAAGAGAGAGAAAUAUUUUUUACCUUUGAAAAUUCAAAAAGUAAAUAAUAAUUAUCAAUCCCAUAAAAUUAGCACAUAAACCCCUAAAAAAUGAAAUAAAUACGGAUACUAAAAUAUAAAAAAAAAUCUGGAGAAUUAAAUAUUCUGUUAUGUUCGUAAUUAAAAAUCUAGUUUUAUAAAUAAAAAGGAAUAUAUACAUAUAUUGUUAAUUAAAAUCUUAAAUAGUAUAUUUUUAUAAUCUUCCCUUUUAUACUGACCAACCCAAUCCAAACUCGUUUGGGAUCGGAAAACCCUAAUGGGCUCAAUUUGGGUUUUUCUUUUUUUGGUGGAAUAGCCUUUCGUGGUACUAUAUAUAUAUAUAUAUAUUAUAAUUUCUAUUCUAUUUUUCUUUCUUCUAUAUAUAGAACUAUAGAAGCAUGAAAGGUUAGGACGAACUCUCAAAAUUAAGUAGGAUGAACUCUCAAACGCUCAGUGGCUUUCAGACGAUUUCUUUGUGAAACUCUUAUGUAACCCUCUGUAGGGAGUUGGGGGAGCCGUCCGUACAGUCUCACAAUUUUUAGAGUUCAUUUUGGACAUUUUGGGACAAUUUACAGGAAUUAAGCAAUUUUUCAGUUUUUGUGUGUGUGUUAGCCCAUAAAUAUUUUGGUCAUAUGACUUCUGGAUGAUUUCUUUGUGAAACUCUUACAGAACCCUCGGUAGGGAGUUGGGGGAGUACUACGUACAAUCUCAUAAUUUUUAGAGUCCAUUUUGACCAUUUAGGGGCUAAUUAAUUACAGGAAUUAGGAAAUUUUCUCUAGUUUUCAUGUGUGUUAGCCCAUGAAUAUUUUGGUGAUAUGACUUCAAGAAGAUUUCUUUGUGAAACUUUUACGGAUCCCUCUAUAGGGAGUUGGGGGAGUACUACGUACAAUCUCAUAAUUUUUAGAGUCCAUUUUGACCAUUUAGGGGCUAAUUAAUUACAGGAAUUAGGAAAUUUUCUCUAGUUUUCAUGUGUGUUAGCCCAUGAAUAUUUUGGUGAUAUGACUUCAAGAAGAUUUCUUUGUGAAACUUUUACGGAUCCCUCUAUAGGGAGUUGGGGGAGCACUACGUACAAUCUCACAAUUUUUAGAGUACUUAUUUGGGCAUUUAGGAGCCAAUUUACAUGAAUUAGACGAUUUUCUCAAUUUUUCGUGUGUGUCAGUCAUAAAUAUUUUAGCGAUAUGUCUUUUGAUUUUUGAACACUUUUUUUUCAAUACCCUUACGAGAGCCUACGUGAUGAUAUAGGGAAGCAGUACAUAUAACCUUACCAUGAUCCCCACUAUUUCUUUAGCAUUUAAGAAUCAUUCAAUAUGAUUUAGACGAUUUUUUUAAUUUUUCGUGGAGGUCUGUAGAUAUUGAAAUUUUAGACGUGUUCAAAGUUCAAAGUAUAUAGAAUAAAUACUGUUUAAAUAAGUAAGUGCCAACGGUAGACAAUAGUCUACAGAAAACGUGGCCAUCGAUGCCAUUCAUAAGAAAAAAUUUGUAGCUAUGUGUUUACAUAGAAAGUCAACUCAAGAUCAAAUUAAUCUAAUAUUAUAUUAUUUUUUUUAAAAAAAUUAUUUAAUAUAUAAAAGUAUUUACUUUGAUAUAAUUUUUAAAUACUUCUUAUAUUUUUUUCAUAAUUUUUACCAUGAUCUCCCCUAUUUCUUUAGGCAUGUAAGGGUCAUUCAACAUGAUUUUUUCAAUUUUUUCGUAUGGUCCCUAUUCUACUUUCUACUUGUAAAAAAUAAACUAUAAUCAAGGAUCAAAUCAAGCUAUUAGCUAAAAUAGACGGAAGGAAGUACAUUAUAUUAUUUGUGUCUAAGUUCAAAGUAUAUAGAAUAAAUAUUGUUCAAAUAAGUAACGAGUCUAGAGAAGACGACGUGGCCAUUGAUGCCAUUCAUAAGGAAAAAAUUUGAAGCAUUGUGUUGGCCUACAUCUUGUGAAAUUAUAGACAAGUUGUGCAACAUCCAUCUCAAAGUUAUAAGAAAUAAUCUUACCAAGAAAACUCAAAUAAAACAUGUGUGGAACAGUAGGAUGAAUCGCGAUGCUCGUCAUCUCAAACCAAUUAUAGCCCUCAAGUCCAAAAUCCUCCGGGCAUUGUAGAACAGUGUUGGCUACAUUUCCAACAUACUUCUUAACCCAUACUACAUCUCGACUAUGAAUAUUGCUCGCAAGGUACCACACAAUGAUGGUUGGCACAAAUCUAAUAUUCAAUGCAAAAUACAAUGCACCACUUGAUCCAAGAUGACAACAACCUUUCCCGGUCUCCAUAUCUCAGGCAAUUUCAAAUCCAAGUAGUCACAUAUAUCCUUAAGCAGAUUGUUCUGCGGAUUGGUGAAGAGUCCUGAAACUACAAAAAAGAGUUUUAUCAGUUUAAAAAGUUAAUAACUUAAUUUUAUCCCAAAGUCACUUGAUUAAAUAUAAUACUAACCUGCCAUCAUGGAACAUAUAAUCAGAACAUCAAGAAUACAAUUAUAGCCGGAACUUGUAAGUAACAGGUUUCCUAUUUCAGGAGAAAGUGGCAGCACAACUAGUCGUUCUCCCAAAUCAGUGAUUACCCAAAUCAUGGCUCCCAAAAAGCACAAGUCCUUUUUAGCUCUGUCCAAGCUAUGCUUAGGUGGCUUGUCAAUAUAGUCAAAAGUUACUGGGCUUUCGCCCAAAUUAAUGAUGUAUCUUGUUGGAGGGUAAAAUUGACCCUUCUAAUCUGUCCAUUAUACAAACUUUUGUUUUCUUUACCUCUUAUAGGAAAGUUGCUAAUAUUACUAGUGUUGAAUCCUGACCGGUGUUAUUGAGGAAUAUCUUCAUUUUUGAGAUAUUAGUUAGAAACGUCUCGCUAUUUUUUUCAAAGGCAUUGUAUAGGUUUAUCAAACCAAAUAAAUCGUGCUUUGGAUUGGAGAACAAUUUCGCUACAAGAAGAAAAAGAAUUUGAUCAUUCAAAAGAAAUUCAAAUGAGACCAAAGGAAAAAAAAACAUAAACAUUGGGUGUCUAAAGCCAAAAUUUAGAAAAGAUAAUUAGUUUAUUUAAUUUGUUUAUAUAUUUUAUCCGUAUUAAUUCUUUAAAGAUAUUGUAAUUGAUUAUAAUUUAAUAAUUAAUUUUUCUUUUUUAAUUAACAGUAUCACAUUUCUUGUAAUAUUUUGUAAGACAAGAAUAAACAUAUAUAAAUUAUUGUACGUUAUAUAACAAAAUAAAUGUUUAGAUCUCUUUUAUUGAUUCUAGUUUUAAAAACAUUUUUAACAUAAUCAAUUGUUACAUGAACUAUCAAAUUUUUCUUUUGAUUAUAAAACAUUCAAGGUUAAGACAAUAUUUUUUUUAAAAACUCAAUUAUUUGAUAAUCUAAUUAGUUUGAGCUUGAAAUGUUAAUAAAACAUCUCAAAGAAUUGAAGACAAUCUUAUAAAGCCUAUAUUAAAACAUGGUUGAUUCAAAUUGAAGUGAAUUGGAUAAAUUAAGAAAUCAAAAGUAACUAUAAAUUUAAUUAUUUACGAUUUUUAAUUAUAAUUACAUCAAUAAUGAAAUUGCAAAAAUGUGCAUAAUAAUUAGUAAGAGAUUUGCAACAACCUAUUAAGAAGAUUUGAAUUAAUAGUAAUAACAAAUACAUUUUUUUUAUAUAUAUUCUACUUAGUAGGGUAUUUUGUUUCUUCCAAGUGUGCAUAUUUCCUUCGUCAUACUAAGUUCUUGCCUAGUCUCAUCAGGACAAGACAAACACGGACAAUACUAGAAAUCAUCAUUCGAGGAACUUUUGACUUUCAACCCAUAAAAGUUUGAAUGGGUUUACAGUUAUUAGACGGUUUCUCAGUUUUUCGUGUGUGUUAGCCUAGAAAUAUUUUGGCAAUAUGCCUUUCGGACACAUUUUUUUUCAAAACCUGUACAAGACCCUAUGUAAUGAUAAUAGGGGAGCAAUACAUGCAACCUCAGCAUGAUCUCCACUAUUUCUUUAGCAUGUAAGGGUCAUUCAACAUGAUUUUUUCAAUUUUUCGUAUGGUCUACUAUUGUACUUUCUACUUGUAAAUAAAAUAGACUAGAAUCAAGGAUCAAAUCAAGCUAUUAGCUAAAAUAGAAAGAAGGAAAUACAUUAUCUGUAUCUAAGUUCAAAGUAUAUAGAAUAAAUAUUGUUCAAAUAAGUAGAGAGUCUAGAGAAGACAGACGUGGCCAUUGAUGCCAUUCAUAAGGAAAAAAUUUGAAGUAUUGUGUUGGCCUACAUCCUGUGAAAUUAUAGACAAGUUGUGCAACAUCCAUCUCAAAGUUAUAAGAAAUAAUCUUACCAAGAAAACUCAAAUAAAACAUGUGUGGAACAGUAGGAUGAAUCGCGAUGCUCGUCAUCUCAAACCAAUUAUAGCCCUCAAGUCCAAAAUCCUCCGGGCAUUGUAGAACAGUGUUGGCUACAUUUCCAACAUACUUCUUAACCCAUACUACAUCUCGACUAUGAAUAUUGCUCGCAAGGUACCACACAAUGAUGGUUGCACAAAUCUAAUAUUCAAUGCAAAAUACAAUGCCUAAUCCAAGAUGACAACAACCUUUUCCGGUCUCCAUAUCAUCAGGCAAUUUCAAAGCCCAGAAACACUUGUGGAUACUAUCAUAAACAGUGAUUUGUAGUCAAUCAUCAAGCGAACAGAAUACUCCAUCGAUGACACUAGCUGAUGGUGAUUUCAUAUACGUAGAAUGUAACAGUCUUAGAGGUACAUCAAGAAUUAUCUUAUUUGCAGUCCACACAUUAGUUUCAGAAGAGAGUUAAACUAAUGCAACUAUUUAUAUGGAAGAAAGUAUUUCUCACUACGUGAAAGAGCCAUUUAUUUGUUUCAUUUCGUGUGUGUAAGCACAUAUAUGAUCUAUCUAAUUCUAUUUUGUACUAACAAUGCCGCAAAUCAAACAAGUUAGGAUUGACUAUAUGAAUGCUCACUGACCACGUCACUCCAUUUAAAUCAUCUCAUCCUAAUUUUACGUGAAAUGUAUUACAAGUUCUGUAUAUCUUUUAAAGGAUUAAACCUAUAGUUAAAAGUACUAAUGUCUACACAUAUAUAUUCUCUACUAAUAUGCAUUUUUUUCUUCCAUUAUGCCCUAGCUUUACUAAGUCUGUAUGGAUCCCCAGAUUGUAGUUCUUUGAGAAAUCUUUCUUCCAUGCAAUUUUUUAAGUUUACCUCGUAUCUUUCAACACCUUCUCUUACGUACAAACGAACAGGUUCACUUAGAGCUUGAUGCAUGACAUAAAUCAAACCAUCUAAAGCGACCAUCCCUCAAUUUAUUCCCAAUCUGUUACUUGAACCUUCUUCUGAUCUUGUAUGAUCACACAAUAUCCAUCUUGGCAUUCUCAUCUCUAUGGCAUUCAUCUUAUGAAUGCGAUGACAUUUUAACUCUGCAAUCUCACCUAAUUGUCACUCUUGACUAAACUUGUAAUGCAUAUAUUUCUUUAUGACUUUACACGAUUCUCUAAUGGGACAACAAUUAAAUGCUUUGAUAAUAAAAAGGGAAAGACUCUGUUUUGGGGACCCCUCCAAAGUUUUGAAUUCCUAAGUUCAAAGUAUAUAGAAUAAAUAUUAUUCAAACAAGAACAAAUAGAGUCUACAGAAGACGACGUGGCCAUUGAUACCAUUCAAAAGGAAACAAUUUGUAGCGCUUCAUCGUUGGACCUCCUGAAAAAAUAUUGACAAGUUGUGCAACAUCCUUCUCAAAGUCAUAAGAAAUAAUAUUACGCUGAAAACCCAAAUAAAAUAUGUGUGGAACAGUAGGAUGAAUCACCAUGUUAUUCAACUCAAUGUGAGGAUAGCCCUCAACUCCAAAAUCCUCCGGACAUUGUAGAACAAUGCUUCUUACAUUUCCAACAUACUUCUUAACCCAUACUGCAUCUCGAUUACGAAUAUUGCUAGCAAGGUACCACACAAUGACGGUUCCCUUAAAUAUAAUAUUCAAUGCAAAAUACAAUCCACCAGCUGAUGAUCCAAGAUAACCACAACCUAUUCCUCUCUCCAUAUCUUCAGGCAAUUUCAAAUCCCAGAAAGACUUGUGGAUACUAUCAUAAACAGUUAUCUGUAAUGAAUCAUCAUACCAAUAGAAUACUCCAUCGAUGACACUAGCCGAUGGUGACUUCAUAAACGUACAAGGAAACAGUCUUAUAGGUACCUCAAGAGUAAUCUUAUUUGCAGUCCACACAUUAGUUUCAGAAGAGAAACUUUCAAUGGUUACAGCAAACUGUAAAUUAGAGGGAUUCAGAGGUAUUGCAUACCGAACUAUAGUGAAGGAGAUAAUAUCAUCUUUAUUAUCAGGGUUAUCUACCUUACAAAUAAAUCCAACAGGUGGUGGAUUAUUGUCGUCGUCCUCCAUGCAGAUUUGAGUUUUUGGGAGAACCAAAAAUUGGCUUGUGGCGGGAUUAUAAACAUAGUAAUGAACCUUUUUCACAUUGCAAAGAAGAAAACCAUUGGAUGCUGCAACAAGACGUGCCUUGCGAUGAAAAAGAUUGUGAUCUAAUGACCCAACGAAAGUGCCUGAAUGAUCCUUUGUUGAAGACGACGACAAGAAGAAGCGUAACUCACGCUGAAUCUCUGAAUGUUGACAAAAGAAACCAACUAGAUAUGGUUUUUGGAUCCAUCGUCUGCAACGGCAAUCAGCAAUGUACUUUUCCCAACACUUGGAUACACAUUUAAACUUUGCCAGACAUUUUGAAGGCAAAAAAUCCAAUAUUUUUAUCAUAAUAUCUUCACAAAUCUCCUCCUUUGCAUACUUUCUCAUAUGAGACACACCAUUCAUACUCGCAAAUUCACAGACGAUAAUCGCUUUCAAUGCAGAAUCGUUACAGAGAUGUGAAGGAAAAUAUUUUAUUAAUAAACUCUUGUAUUUCUUAAAUAUAUUUUUGUGUAUUACUGUAUAUAGAAAACUAACUAGUAACAUCGCUAUAUUUAUAGUAGUAAAACCAAAUUAAACUAGGACUAGAAACCACUUUAACUAACAAAUCCAAAUUAAAAAUAAAUAAGUAAACACCAUAAAUAACAAAUUCCUAACUAACAAAUCCUAAUUAAACAUAAAUAAGUAAACACCAUAAAUAACAAAUCCUAAUCAAACUUUAAAUUAUUAUUUCCAACGAGAAGAAAUUUUUAUAUUGACCAACCCAAUCCAAUCCAAACUUGUUUGGGGAUCGGAAACUCUUACACAACCCUCGCUAGGGAGUUGGGGAGUACUACGUAUAGUCUCAUAAUUUUUAGAGUACCUUUUGAGCAUUAAUUAGGGGUUAAUUAAUUACAUGAAUUAGACAAUUUUCUCAAGUUUUCAUGUGUGUUAGCCCAUGAAUAUUUUGGUGAGGCUUCCGGACGAUUUCUUUGCGAAACCUUUACGGAACCCUCUGUAGGGAGUUGCGGGAGCACUACGUACAGUCUUAUAAUUUUUAGAAUCCAUUUUGAGCAUUUAGGGCCAAUUUACAAGAAUUGAACGAUUUUCUCAUUUUUUCGUGUGCGUCAGCCCAUAAAUAUUUUGGUGAUAUAUCUUUCGGACACAUUUUUUUUCAAAACCUUUAUGAGACCCUACGUAAUGAUAUAGGGAAGCAGUACAUAUAACCUUACCAUGAUACCUAUUAUUUCUUUAGCAUGUAAGGACCAUUCAACAUGAUUUAGACGAUUUUUUUAAUUUUUCGUAGGCCACUAUUCUACUUUCUACUUGUAAAAUAGACUAGAAUCAAAGAUCAAAUCAAGCAUUUACCUAAAAUAGAAAGAAGGAAUUAAAUCAUCUGUAUCUAAGUUUAAAGUAUAUAGAAUAAAUAUUCUUCAAAUAAAGUAGGAGCCAACAGUAGACAAUAGUUUUCCAUCUCCAUAUCUUCAGGCAAUGUCAAAGCCCAGAAACACUUGUGGAUGAUCUGUGGUGAAUCAUCAAGCCAACAGAAUACUCCAUCGAUGAGGCGGUGCGAGACGGAGCAGGGGCGAAGCGGGUUGAGAGUACCCUACAAAAAAUUUAAUCUGCCUUGCAUAAUUUAUUUAUUUUCAUUUUCAACUCGCCCCGCCUGCAUAGACCCGUCCCGUAUGAACUCGCCCUGCAUAAAUGUUUAAUAUUUUUCUUUUUUAGUUAAGUUUGAUACUAAAAUUAAAAUUCAUAAAAAUAUAUUUAUUUUUUCAUUAAGUUAUAUUAAUUUAAUUGGUAAUGACUUAAAAUUUUAUUUUUUAGAAGUCAAUUGGGAAGUAUGUAAGAAAUUGUAUUAGUUUUGAUUGAAUCAUUUUCAUUUACUAUCUUGAAUAUUUUAGUAACUUUAAAGAGACUAUCUUAAUAGAUAAUCCUAUGUCACUCUUAUAACAUGUAAAAACUUAAAAUUAAAUUUGAACCCGCAUAAAGCCGUAUAUAAACCCGUCCCCCCCCCCCAUUAAUUUUUUUAAAAAACCACUUCAAUCUGCCCCACAUCCCUCUCCUCUCCGCCCUGCACAACCUUAAAUCCGCACCAUUUUGCAUAGCCUUAAGCCCGCCUCACACUGCAUCCGUCCCGCCCCAUUGUCAUCCCUACCCACAUUAGUUUCAGAAGAGAAACUUUCAAGGGCUAUAGUGAACUGUGAAUCAAAAUAUGGAGGUAUUGCAUAUCGAACUAUAGUGAAGUACCUCACAAAUAAAUCCAACAGUUGGAUUAUAAACAUAAUAAUGAAACUUUUUCGCAUUGUAGGAAAGAAAACAAAACAAAAUUUGACUAACGAUUUGGUUUGACUUGGUCUGAUAAUGGAAAAAAAAAAACUCUAUUAUAUUUGGGGUGGUACACCCUAGAUCAAACCAACCCGACAUUUAUAUAUAAUUUUUAAAUUUACUUUUAUAUAAUUUUUAAAUAUUUCUUUUAGUUUUUCAUAAUUUUUAUCUUUUAAUAUAUUAUUUCUAGUUUUUGAAACUUGAAAUUUUGAUAGGUCUAAUAAAGGUUAUAAUCGAUAGAUAUUAGUGACUCUAAUAAAACUCAAACCAAAAUCAAAUCAAUAAUAUGCUAACAAAAAAUAUUAAUUCAACACUGACAUUUAUGUUGAAUAUUUAUUCUUUAGUUUUACAUUGAUUUAGACAUUUAAAAUACAUAACCUAAUCGUAAAAUCCUCGAGCAAACUGACAUAUCCUACUACGUCCCUCUCUUCAGCCACAUCGUGUGUAGUAGCAACAACAUCUCUUGUCUGAUCAUAUGUUAUCCUAUAACAUGCACCCGACACAUCUACAUUUUUCAGAAUAUAUUGGGGAAUAUACAAAAUCAAACAAAAAAUAAGAAAAACUAAACAAAAAACGGAGUAUACCACACAAACCUAAGUGUACUUCUCCCACUUUUGAGCAGUGAAUCCAAUAUAACAACAGGGUAUUUUCAGAAAGUAGAGUCGCCUUCCGUAUAGGAAGGCUCAUCUCUUCUCCGAUAGAAUAUGAUAUCUCUUAUAAAAGGGUUUUGCCUUUAUACUUGUGGAAAUUUCACUGGAAUACAUCAAGACAAGAGGAAACUAAUUCGUGAGUGUUUAUACAAAUUAAGAAAGGUCCAAGAAAUUAUUUAAUUUUCUUAUAUAUUUUAUUUUCAUAAAUUUUUAAAAAAUAUUGUAAUUGAUGAUAAUUUAAUAAUUAAUUUUUCUUUUUCAAUUGAAAGUAUAACAUUUCUUAUAAUAUUUUGUAAGACAAGAAUAAACAUAUAUAAACUAUUGUACGUUAUGUAACAACAUAAAUGUUUAAAUCUCUCUUAUUGAUUAUAAUUUUGGAAACUUUUUUAACAUAAUCAAUUAUUACAUGAACUAUCAAAAUAAUUCUAAAAGUGUUUAGAAAUAAAAUUAAGACUUCACUUUAUUGAAUAUGCCAAUUAGAGUAUCAUUUUUACUGAUAUAAUAUUUCAUAAUACUUUAAAGUACAAAAAUCAGUAUUAUAUUGAUUACAAGAUAUUCAAGGUUAAGACAAUAUUUUUUUAAAUUUAAUUAUUUGAUAAUCUAAUUAGUUUGAGCUUAAAAUGUUUAAUAAAACAUCUCAAAGAAUUCAAGACAAUCUUACAAAACCAAUAUUAAAACAUGGUUGAUUCAAAUUGAAGUGAAAUAGACGAUUAAGAAAUCAAAAGUAAUUGUAAAUUUAAUAGUCUACUAUUUUUAAUUACAAUAACAUCAAUAAUGACACUUCAAAGAUAUGUGCAUCAAUUUGUCGGUUGACACAUUUCUAUAUUUAGUAAUAAUUUAUAUUUAAAAUGUUCAUUUUACUAUUAUGAAAUUAUUUAUAGUCACACAAAUAUUAAAAAUUUGUCUUUUUUUUCCUUAAAUUUUGAGUCAAAUAAAAAAAAAUACAUAAAUUAAGACGAAAGAAUGGAGAUUUUGUGUCGCACUAAAUAAUAAAUAUAUUGCAUAGUAGCCAUUGCACAAUCUACACCUAAUAAAUAAUGUCAUCAGUGAUUGCUUCUAGGAACACAAUCCUUGUAUAAUACCAUAUGUCACAACUCAGGGGUACCCCUAGACGUAACAUGGCGUACUUGACCCCGAAGGGGUCUCAUACAAGCUCUUAGCAUAAUCAUAACAUAAGAUACUAGAAAAGUACGGGAAAUUUAAAACUUCUUUAAAAUCAUACAAUCGAAAAUAUUUUUAUAAAGCAAACGGAAGUCUUUACUAAAUCUUUGUCUCAAACCAUCUAUUAAACUCUAGAAUAAUAGUCUUGGGUCGCAGCCCAUACAAAGUCUAAAACAUAAAGAAAUGACAUAAUGAAAGUAAUGGGUUCGUCCUCAAAGCUAUGAGGACUCACCAAUUCUUCAACUCUUCUUGCAACUUCUAGGAAGCUCAAACUCUGAAAUCCUACAUUUGAUUAGAAUGUAGGCAAUAUGCGUUAGUACAAAAUGUACCAAGUAUGUAAGCUAGCACAACAUCACAAGAGCAUCUCAAAUGGUUAGUCAACAUAAGACAUACGCAUAAGAGAUAAUAACAUAGUCAUAGCAUAAUUUCCAACAUAAGCAUCAUAUAAUCACAAGUCAACAUAAGACAUAGUUAAUGAACAUAGGAGAUAAGUCAUAAUCAUAAUAAGCCAAUUCUUCAUCAUAAGCAUCAUAUAAGCAUAAUUGACUCUUAGUCAUCUAUACCAUAAUAGCAUCAUUCUCAAGUAACCUCAAAAGCAUACAAGGGCAAAGCAAUAAUAGCAUCCCAUAAUACCACUCAAGCCAAGUAUCCCUUUUUGGUCAUCUUAAUCAUUGUCUAGAUACAUGGUCUAAGUCUUUAAGCUUUUCUACCAUAAGGGUACCAUACUCCUAGGUCACCUCAAGGCACACUUGUGCAAUGCAUGAAAGGCAUCCCAUACUACCCUUCACACUAAGCUUAACCUUGAAGUCAUCCUAGUCAUAUUCACCCUCCCUUCACCUCACUAUUAGCUUAACUCUCAUAACUAAGGGAAUCUUUCACCUUUAGUCAACUAGAACAAGGAAGGCAACUAUGGCACAAUCCUAUCUCCACUCAUACUCUUUAGUAACCCUAAGUCAUACUUGUGCAAUACAUUCAUAGCACCCCAUAAUACUAUUCAUGCUAAGUACCACUUUUACGUCCUCAUACUAAUACUUCUUGGCUUGGAACCUAGUUCAUCUCUUUAACUUUAGAACACUAUGAGGUACUCUCUUAAGCACAUCUUAGCUCAUUAAUAGCUUGAACCCCUAUGAGAUACUACUUUUAGUAUGCCUAAGUUCAUUACUAGCAUAGACCCUAUGAGAUACUAUCUUAAGCAUGUCUAAGUCCACUUAUACUCUUGAACACUAAGAGGUACUUCACUAAGUAAGUCUUAGUUCAAUUAUGCUUUAGAACACUAUGAGAUGUUUCUUUAAGCAUGUCUUUUUUCAUUGGAUAUGAAGAUUGUUACUAGAAACCUUGACUCUACUAUGUGAAGGCCCCCAUCUCAUGAGAUCUAACUUUGGGAAAACCCACACUCUAAUACAUAAGAGUUCCCCCUUUGACUUGGAUAGUCCUCAUAUCAACUAGGUGUGGUUCUCCUUUCUACUUAGAGGUCGGACCCUAUCUUGUGUGACACUCCAUCUCAUCUUCAAUAUCCACUUGGAGCCAAGCAUACACCCCAAGAUUUACUUGUUAAGCCUUGCUUAACACUCAUGUCUCAUGGAAGGAUGUCCUUGACAACCAAUCCAUGUUCAAGUGAUUUUAUCACUUCAUACUUUCAAGUAUUCAUAAAGUAGAUUAGGUGAGUAUAGGCCUUCCACCACAAAUCCACCCAUUAGACUUCUAUUCAUCACAUUGACUCUACUCUCAAAGCCCUAGUGAUUCAACAUUCAUGACUACAUGCCUUCCCCUCAAAUUUUUACUUCCUUCUAUCAUUAUUCAUAUCUAGAUUACAAGACAUUCAAGUAAUAAGCUUCAUUUUAAGCAAUUAUCAUCACCUUCCUCAUUACUAGGUGAUUUUAGUCAUAAUUCAUCAUAAAAGUUCAAUUCCAUCUUUACAAGUCAAAAUCAAUCAUAUUUAAUUAGGUUAGAUUCAAUUCAUGAUAUGUACUCCUAACAUUGAACAAUUUCUACUCAUGACAUUGAUUCAAGAAGAUCACUCAUGAACCUUCAAUUUCACCUCUAAUGGCCUCAACCCACAAAUAUCACAUUCAGCAAUUUAGACUAGGGUUUACCAUAGAAAUCACAUGAAUUCAUCAUAAUAUCACUAAACAAAGCUAAAUCAAUCAUAAUUAGGUAUUAUCCACUAGAUUGGAAUCAUACCCACACCCUACCCAUAAUGUAAGAAGAACCCUAGCUAGAAUUGGGUUUUUGAAUCCACAAUUAGGGGAUUACUAAGGGGGCUCUAUGGGUGGAAGAACCCAUAAAUGAAAAACUAAACAUGCCUUAAUCAAUGCCCUAGCACAAGCCUUUAGCAAUGGGGCCUUUGUUCUUGACCUUAGCUUCAACCUCAAGCUUCUUCUUCAAUAGAGGUUUUCUAAAGAGAGAAAUAUUUUAGAGAUGAGUGAUUUGGGGUUUUGAUUUGGGCCUUGUGUAAAGUGACUUAAAAUUGGGGGCUAAAGACUUAAAAUACCUUAAAUAGGUGAAUAAAUCUCAUAUAAAACGACCCCAUUAAUUUACUAAUCGAUUUGGAAUUUACCUAAGUGCCCCAACUAGGCAUCCCCUUGCCAGGGGUCACGCCUCUCUUCAAGGACCGUCAAGGACACCACGGCCCGUGGUGGUUCCCAUGGUCCCUUGACCAGUAGCUCCCCUCACUUUUCAAGCUCCCAAAAAUACCAAGGCAUGACCACGGGCCUUUCCACGAGCCGUAGUCAUGACCACGGGUCAUGAAGUGGCUCGUGGUCCCUUAGGCAGUAGUUAUGCCUUUGGACCUUGCCUCUCAUAUGGCUAAGGGUCCUUCACAUUCCCCUUCACGGGCCGUGGUCAAGACCACUGUUUGUGAAGGUGGUCGUGCACCCUUGGGGAAGUAGCUUGCCAAGGUUGGGCAGCCUUGGCCCCUUGGCUUAGGCUUUCCCUUUUGCCUUGGCACUUGCCCUUCCCAUGCUCAACCAAACCCUAAAUGGUCUUCCAUGCUACGAGGUCUAAUACGUACCUUGACGUUCACCCACUAAACCCUUCAUUCUAAGCACGUAAAGUCUCAUCUACGACUCUAAUUCUCAACAUCACACUCUAGAACCCUAGCUUUUGGCUCUAGUUUAGUCUACUAAUUUUCGGGGAGUUACACCAUAUCUCUCAAUUUAUAAUAAAUUAGGUAGCCCAUGACCUAUCAAAUUAAAGGUCUCCGAAAGAUUUAUUUGCGAGAUCUUUAUGGAACCCUUCAUAGAGAGUUGGCGGAGCAGUAAGUACAGUCUCACAACAUUUAGAGUCAAUUUGGACAUUUAGGAGCCAAUUUAUAGGAAUUAUGCGAUUUUCUCAAUUUUUCGUGGGUGUUAGCCAUGAAUAUUUUGGUGAUAGGACUUCCGGAUGAUUUCUUUGUGAAACCUUUACGAAACCAUCUAUAGGGAGUUGGGGAGCAGUACAUACAGUCUUAUAAUUUUUAGAGUCCAUUCUGAGCAUUUAGGGGCUGAUUUAUAAGAAUUAGGCGAUUUUCUCAAUCUUUCGUGUAUGCUAACCUAUGAAUAUUUUGGUGAUAUGGCUUUCGAACGAUUUAUUUGCAAAACCUUUACGGAUCCCCCCAUGGGGAGUUGGGGAAGAAAUAUGUACAAUCUCACAAUUUUUAGAGUCCAUUUAGACAUUUAUGGGCCAAUUUACAGGAAUUAGACAAUUUUGUUAGUUUUUCGUAUGUGUUAGCCCAUGAAUAUUUUGAUGAUAUGACUUUCGAACGAUUUCUUUGCGAAACCUUUACAUAAAUCUCCUUAGGGAGUUGGGGGGGAAAUACCUACAGUCUUAUAAUUUUUAGAAUCCAUUUUAGGCAUUUAGGGGCCAAUUUACCGAAAUUAGUGAUUUUCUUAAUUUUUCGUAUGUGUUAGCUCAUGAAUAUUGUGGUGAUAUAACUUUUGGAUGAUUUCUUUGGGAAAACUUUACCAAACCCUAUGUAGAGAGUUGGAGGAGCAAUAUGAAUAGUCUCACAAUUUGUAUAGUCCAGUUUGGACAUUUAGGGGUCAAUUUACAGAAAUUAGAUAAUUUUUCAGUUUUUUUGUAUGUAUUAGCCCAUAAAUAUUUUGGUGAUAUGACUUUCAGACGAUUUCUUUGUGAAACCUUACGAAACCCUCCAUAUGGAGUUGGGGGAGCAAUACGUAUACUUUCACAAUUUUUAUAGUCCAGUUUGGGCAUUUAGGGGACAAUUUACAAAAAUUAGGCAAUUUUUCAAAAAACUUUUGUGUGUUAGCCCAUGAAUAUUUUUUGUAAUACGUCUUCCAGACAAUUUCUUUGUGAAACUUUUAUGGAACCCUUUGCAGGGAGUUGGGGGAGCAGUACAUACAAUUUUUAGUCCUUUCUCACCCUUUUCCAAACCUAUACCUCGACGUUUUUACACCUAAUUAAGGUUAAAAGAAAUCCCUAGGACAAAGUUGAGUUGAAAGCUUCUUUACCAAUUAAAUUUUGAGAUGAGAUUAUACUUAGGUAAACUUCAAACGAUCAUAUAUUUCAGCAUAUAAUGAAUUAUGUGGCCCAUGACCUAUCAAAUUAAAGGUCUAUGAGUCAUCUUUCCAACUGUACUUAGUUUGUCUCAUUUCGAAUUUGGAAUAAGAAGUUAUAUCUAAUUUAGUGAAGCUCUGUCAGGCAGUCGAUGUUCCAUAUUGGACCUAUAAAUGAUGGAAAUUUCCACGAACCGUAGACCCUUCUGUGAAGGCUUGCUGCAAUUUUUGUUUCAGCAACUUCAUGCAUGCGUUCUAGAGUUAUUUUGGUCCUUUCCCAAGCUUUUUAACCCUAUUGUAAGUCAUUUUUGUGUUUUAAUUGAGUAUAUCAUUCAACUAAGUAGUUUUCCUCUCAAAAUCAUCAGUCUAAGCAUUCAAGUAUUUAGAAAUUCUCUUAAAACUCACCUAGGUUUUCUCUUCUCCACCAAGAACCCUAAAACCUUCAAGUCAAAAAAUUCAAGAUACAAAGAGAAACUUUCCAUCCAAAGGUUUUCCCAAGUUCUUCACUCUCAAAAUCAUCAAUAUAAACAUUCAAGUAUUUAGAAAUUCUCUUAAAACUCAUCUAGGUUUCCUCUUCUCUAUCAAGAACCCUAAAACCUUCAAAUAAAAAAUUCAAGAUACAAAGAGAAACUUUUCAUCCAAGGUUUCCCCGAGUUCUUCACCUCUAAAAACUUCAUAAAAGAGUUCUUCUCUCAAGAUCAAGCCCUAAAAUUCCAAGCUCAAAGAUUUCCAUCAUGGACAAUAACACACAUAAAAUGGUAAAUUCAGUCUUUCUCGCUCUGGGCUCGUUUGAACUUGAAAAUGCGUCUUUUGCCCCUCAGAACAAAUCACGCCAUUAAUAAGGUCGUAAUGGACGCCUGCAAAAUUUUCGGCCAAAAACAUGUCGCAAUCACGUAUCACCCAAAAUCAAUAGACUAUAGCAUACAUAAAACUGUAAAUUCGAUAUUUCCCGCUCUGUGGCUCGUUUGAACUUGAAAAUGUGUAUGUUUGUCCAUCGGGACCAACUCACACCAUUAAUAAGGUCGUAAUGGAUGCCCACAAAAUAUUUCGGCCAAAAACCUGUUGGGAUCACGUAUCACCCAAAAUUCAUGGACUAUAUCACAUGUAAAAUGGAAAUUUUGAUUUUUCUCGCUCUAGAGCUCGUUUGAACUUAAAAAUGCAUAUGUUUGCCCCUCGGGAUCAACUCAUGUCAUUAAUAAGGUCAUAUACAAAAAAAAUUGGCCAAAACCUAUUGGGAUCCCGUAUCACCCAAAAUCCAUGGACUAUAGCACACGUAAAACGGUAAAUUUAGUCUUUCUCGCCUAGGGCUUGUUUGAACUAGAAAAUGCGUAUGUUUGCCACUUGGGACCAGCUCACACGAUUAAUAAAGUAGUUACGGAUGCCCACAAAAAAUAUCAGCCAAAAAUCCAUUAGGAUCACGUAUCACCCAAAAUCUAUGGACUAAUAGCACAUAUAAAAUGGUAAAUUCGAUCUUUUCCUCUCUGGGACUCGUUUGAAUGUGAAAAUGCAUUUGUUUGCCCCUCGGGACCAACACAUGCCAUUAAUAAGAUCGUAAUGUAAACCUACAAAAAAUUUCGGCCAAUAACCCAUCGGGAUCACGUAUCACCCAAAAUUCAUGAACUAUAGCACACGUAAAAUGGUAAAUUUGGUCUUUCUUGCUGUGGAGCUCGUUUGAACUUGAAAAUGCACACGUUUUCCCCUUAGGCCUAACUCACAUCAUUAAUAAUGUCGUAAUGGACGCCAACAAAAAAUAUUUGCUAAAAACCUGUCGGGAUCACUUAUCACCCAAAAUCCAUGAACUAUAACACAUGUAAAACAAUAAAUUCUAGGGCAAACUACAUAAAUUCCACUAGCUUAGAACCUAAUUACUAGGAUUCAAUAUAGUUUCGAUAAUUACAUCAUAUACCAUAUUUUGUCCGUCGGAUACAUGUAUCGUUACUCACCAGAUACAUGUAUUCAACGGUUUGAAUUAAACAGAUAUAUGUUUUAAUAAUUUUGAAUUACAUUUGUGUAACCGAUUUCCUUAAAUAAAGGAGUAAAUUAGGCUUAAUUAAUACUCUAACUGAUUUGCAGAUUCAUUAACAUAUCAAUUCUAACAAAUCUUCCUAAUAUAACGAAAUCCUAAAACCACAAUAAUUCUCUAAUAGAAAACUUUAUCUUCUUGGCAAUAGGUUUGAGAAUUGUGGACUGCCAUGGGAACAAGCUUGAUGGCAAUCCAUGGAAGGUCGUUAAAGAAGAAAUUACUGAUGAAAAGAAGUACUGCAAGUUGACAAAGCUCAUUUUCGUAUUUACUUGGCAAUUCUAUAGUUAGGUGGGCGAAUUAGAUCAUGUUUGUAUGAGAUUUUCACUUUCCUCUUUCUUUUGUUUUUUGUUUUAAUUAGCUUUCUUUGUUUUUGUUUCCGUUUGGUCCAGUUUGUUUUUGGAUCUUUUUGUACUUAUUUCGGAUAUAUCAAUAAUUCGAUUUUAUUUUUUUCUCUAUAAUACAAGUUUUGAUUAAUCUUAGAUACAAUUAAUUUAUGCAUGGAACGUUAUUUUCACCCAAUUAAUUUUGAUAGAUGCAUGAUAGUAAGCAGCCAUUUGAUAUUUGAUAUUUCAGAUACACUAUCUAUCUUGUUAGAUAUGUUGUUGAUUAUCUUCUCUAAGUUUUAUUUAUAAUAAGAUACAUUUUGUUUUUGUCAGAUACACAUUUAUUUUUGUUGUUCAUAUACAUGGGAAGGAUAGUAACUCAUAUAAUUGAUGUGAACGGUUAGAUACAUUGUUAAUUCUCUAAACUCGUUGAUAUGAAUUUUAAGUUAGAUAAAUUGUAAUUUAUCGAAUUUUUGCUAAGAAAAUAUAAUUUAUGACAGUUUCAGAUACACUAUUUAUCAUAUUAGAUACAUGUAUAAAAACAUCUCUAGAAUACAUAUAACAACAAUAUGCUUAGAUACAUGAAAUAAUCAAAUCAGAUACGCGUCACUGUAAUUUUAGAUACAUGUAUACUAAACAUCUCUAGAAUACAUAUAACAACAAUAUGCUUAGAUACAUGAAAUAAUCAAAUCAGAUACGCGUCACUGUAAUUUUAGAUACAUGUAUACUAAACAUCUCUAGAAUACAUAUAACAACAAUAUGCUUAGAUACAUGAAAUAAUCAAAUCAGAUACGCGUCACUGUAAUUUUAGAUACAUGUAUACUAAACAUCUCUAGAAUACAUAUAACAACAAUAUGCUUAGAUACAUGAAAUAAUCAAAUCAGAUACGCGUCACUGUCAUGUACAGAUAUGUUGACUGAAAAGUAUUGAAUAUAUGAAAUAAAAAGUAAGAUACAUAAAAUGAAAUGUAUGACCAUAUAGAUGACAUGAUCAUGAUAACUAAAAUAAUACAUGGGGGAGGGGGGACGAUUUAUGGAGGAGGUACAGGAGAGGAGGGUUGAUGAGAGAGAAAGAUAUUUGGAUCAUUAAUUUUGAUUUUUAAAUGUAAAAUAAUUAAUCAAUCCUAACUAUAAGAGAUUUGUGUAUCUAAUUAUAUCUUUUAAAAUAUAUGGUAUAAAAUACUAAAAGUGGUAAUAUAUGUAAUUAUUUGAAAGUAGAGAUAAUAUUAGUAUAUAUGGUAGGAAAGUAUAUCUUGUUAGGUAGUUUAUCCUAAAUUCUAUCUUUCCCGCUCUAGGGCUCGUUUAAUCUUUAAAAUGCAUCUGUUUGCCCCUCGGGACCAACUCACGCCAUUAAUAAAGUCGUAACAGACACCUAUAAAAUUUAUUGGCCAAUAACCCAUUGAGAUCACGAAUCACCCAAAUUCUAUAGAUUAUUAUAGCACAUAUAAAAUGGUAAAUUCAUUCUUUCAAGCUCUUGAAUCAUUUGAACUUGCAAAUGCAUCUAUUUACCCCUCGGGACAAACUCACACUAUCACGGCUAAGAUUCCCCAAUAGUGUGGUACAUCCAACUACAUCCCCGACAUCUAAAUUAAAUUCUCUUGCAAAAUCAUGUGCAGAAGAAGAGACUGCCCUCGUUUUUGUAUAUGCAAUAAUCGAACCAGCUGCAUAUUCUAGCAACUGUUGGAUUAUCUGCAAAAUGAACAAAAAAAAAGUAAUGAGCAAAUGCGAAAAACGGCAAACAAAAAUAGAAAAGUAUAACUAUAUAUACGACACGAACCUGGCUAGUUCGACCAUUUUCAAUCGUACCAGACAAUAUGUUGUUCCGAUCCAUAUAGGAAGACUCGUCUCUUCUCCGACAGAAUAUGAUAUCUCUUAAAAAAGGGUUCCGCCUUUAUAAUUGGGGAAAUUUCACUAGAAUACAUCAAGACAAGAGGAAACUAAUUUGUGAGUGUUUAUAUAAAUUAAGAAAGGUCCAAGAAAUUAUUUAAUUUUUUUAUAUAUUUUAUUUUCAUAAAUUUUAAAAAUAUAUUGUAAUUGAUUAUAAUUUAAUAAUUAUUUUUUUCUUUUUCAAUUGAAAGUAUAACAUUUCUUAUAAUAUUUUGUAAGACAAGAAUAAACAUAUAUAAAUUAUUGUACAUUAGGUAACAACAUAAAUGUUUAAAUCUCUCUUAUUGAUUAUACUUUUGGAAAGUUUUUUUAACCUAAUCAAUUAUUACAUGAACUAUCAAAAUAAUUCUAAAACUGUUUAAAAAUAAAAUUAAGACUUUACUUCAUUGAAUAUGCCAAUUAGAGUAUCAUUUGUACUGAUAUAAUAUUUCAUAAUACUUUAAAGUACAAAAAUCAGUAUUAUAUUGAUUACAAGACAUUCAAGGUUAAGACAAUAUUUUUUAAAUUUAAUUAUUUGAUAAUCUAAUUAGUUUGAGCUUAAAAUGUUUAAUAAAACAUCUCAAAGAAUUCAAGACAAUUUUACAAAACCAAUAUUAAAACAUGGUUGAUUCAAAUUAAAGUGAAAUAGACAAAUUAAGAAAUCAAAAGUAAUAGUCUAGGAUUUUUAAUUACAAUAGCAUCAAUAAUGACAUUUCAAAGAUAUGUGCAUAAUAAUUAGUAAGAGAUUAUCAACAAACUAUUAAUAAUUUUUUUUAAUUAAUAGUAACAAUAAAUACAUAUAUUUUUUAUUUAAUUAAGUAUUUUAUGUUAUUUUAAGGAGUCGUCACCUAAUUACAUUUUGAAGGUGGAUUAGGACACCUAAAUCUAAUUAUGUAAUACUAAAAUUAACUCAAAUUAAUGAUCUACUUAACUUUUGUGAUUCUAGGUAAGGGCUCUAAAUUAUCCUAAAGGGAAGGUGUUAAGCAUCCUUUAAGUUUCGUUAAAUACGAUUAUCAAUCAAACUUAGGUUAAAUAUGUGCCAAAUUAAAGAAUAUGUUUAUGUCUUACUCCUUAAACAAAAUCAUUAUGUUGCUCGUAUGCUUCAAAAAUAUCAUCUGGUGUGUCGGAUCUUCCAUAAAUCAUGCACUUUUGGAAGAUGUAUACUGGUAUGGCUUCAUUUCUCAAAGAUCCGAUCAGCAUAAAUUAUAGAUUUGUUAUUAUUUUAAUUAAGUUAUUGGUUAAAAUUUAUUGUAAAAAUUUACUUACAAUUAUAUUAUAUAUUAUAUUAUAAGUGUUUCAGUUGUAUGAACUUAUUUUUUUAUUAAGUAAAUUAUUGAUGCAUAAAAUUGUGUUUUAAGCAAAGAGCAGAGCUAGAUUUUGAGGUUUGUGGGUUCGGAAUUUUAAUUAUUUUGAGCUAUUGAGUUCUAAAUUAAUAAUUUAUACACUAGUAAUGAAUUUCUUAUUGCAAAUUUAGAGUUUGAACUAAAAAAACGACUGAACUCGUAACCAACAUACCUGCUUAGCCCCUAACUUGAAAGAUUAAUGGUGGAGGGGAAUUAAGAUGUCCCUUUGUCAGCUUGACAAAUGGGUCUCAUGUAUUUUCAUUUGUCAAUCAAAUAAUGUCUCACACAAGUAUGACUUCGGUGUGUGAAUUCCAGUUAUUUAGAGUUCAAUUAAAGUGGGAGAGAAGAAUACUAACACAAGAAAAGCAUAUAUACACUAAAUUGUCAACACAUUUAUUCUACAUGUUAAGACACUUUUUGAUUGAUCCUCAAGUUCAAUAAUUUAUGCAAUAUAGAAGGUGACAUAGCCAUUACUUUUUGGUUAUGUUCCUUUGCAUGAAGCUCAGCAUGAAGCUUGCAAAGGGCUGCACCUGCAACUUUCCAUGCAAAACCACACUUUCUGACGUCGCCUAUAGCUUUCGCGUAAUCAUAAGUCACGCAAUAAAUAGCAAGUGCAUCGUUAUACAUGUCUGUUGUACUCCUGAUGCUCUCCUCCAUAUCCGGUGCUUCAUAUAACAACUGCAUGAAAAUUUGAAAAAUCAAGGGAGAGAAAUGAAGACUCAUGGUGGCUUUUGGAUUAAGAAAAUCUAUUACAUCGAAGAAUCGUGGGAGAGGAAGGAGGAAUGGGGUCGGUGAGGAUUGGACCACGAUUAUUGUGUUGUAAACUCCCAUUGAUACAACUAAUUAUGGUGCUCAUGUUUGGCUUCUUACAAGGGAAAACGUCCAAAUUUACCCAUCUAUUAUACGAAAUAUCUAGUUUUACCCUCAUCUAAUACUUCAAGUCUUGCCAUUAACGGAGCUCCAAAUUGAACUGAGUUAUCCUCAAUUAAACUUAAGUAAGGAUCCAUGCUGGAGCUCUGUUGGGGCCAAGGGUAAAUAUGAAACAAUUUGCUAACAACAAGGGUAUGAAUGACCCCAAAGUAUAACAAAAGGUAACAUUAAGAUAUUCAUUGGUAUUUUUCACCUUUUCACAGUCUUAAAAUGACUGUUGAAGGUUGUAUAUCGACCUUCGGACCUAAUCCAACCCUAAAAGCUAGCUUAUUAGGUGGGCCGAUGUGGGACUCAACAAAGAAAUUUCUCAAAGGGUGAUAAAAGAAAGGUUUUACCUGUUUGUACUUUUUAAUAACCUGGUCAGCUAAGUCAUUUUUCGAUUCACUGCUGGUGUUCAGUGCUUCCUUCAUCUCAAAUCUGUAAUUUCUGUACCUUUCCUCCCAUAACCUCAAACAUGUAUCAGGGAUUCCAACCUCAAAAGCCGAAAGUUUCUUAAUUUCUGGACAUACAAAAUACGAUAUAUGUCAAAUGCACAACCAGUAAGCAAUUGCAAUAUUCAAUCAGUAAUGGAUCAAACACUUGCCUACAGCAGCUGGUUCUUCAGCUUUAAAUUUCUCAACCCGGUCAUAAAUUUCUCCUAAGACAGAGGUAGAGUGAUAACUUUCUUUCUUUUGCAAGAAAUGCGGAAACUUGUCUACUUUCAACCUCUUUGGGAUGUAGACCUGUGGAUAGAAGCAAGAGCGGUAAGACAAGAAUUUGAUAACUCAACAACAUUAAAAACAUUAACAAAAACAUAUUGAGAAAGACCAAAAACACAGCUAAAGUAUCCUGGUUUUUCGAGUUUCCUACUUUAUAGUUCAGGUUUGGAACUCGAAAAAGGGGAUACUUUAGGUGUGUUUUUGACCAUUAACUCAAAAAUGUUCAAUCAAUAUCAACUCUAGCUUUGGAAGUAAGAGUAGAUUGUCAAAUCGCUUAUGGACUAGAAGUGCAUAUUUUUCUUCAAAACAUGUAUAGUGAAUCUGAAGUUUUCAGGCAAGAGGCAUCAAACUAAUAGAAAAGAUUUAGGGAACAGAACAGUAGAAAACAUUCACUUAAGUAUAUGAUUGUCACAAUAAGGGCUAUCAAACAGAGAUUAGGUUAAAGAAAGUAACCUUAUUCCCACUUUUUGGGGCGUCUAUAGCGUCAUAAUACAAAUCAAUCAACUCAAACAACUUUUCUUUGACGGACUUUAUCUCUUCAUUCUCUGUGGUGUUAUUUUUCCCCAAUAUCAAAAGUCUAUCCAUGAGUGCAUACCAGUUAGCAGAAGCAUCAGCCAUGCUAUAGCUGAAAGAGUAAACCAAGUGAAUAAAAGCGAAACAUGAGCAUUUGUUUUAAAGCAGUAAAAGCCAGAGGUGGAUGGAGAGUAGAAGUAAAGGGUACAACUGAACCCAGUACUUUUGACUCAGAAUAUAAAUAUAUAUGUAAGAAUCACUAAAAAAAUUCCAAAUAGUAACUAUGAAACCAUAAUUUUAGAAAUGUAAUGGGUUCAAUGGUAAGAAUUCAAAUGUUGAACCCAUUAAAUGUAAAUCCUGGAUCCGCUCAGCGAUAAAUGAGCAUUUAAUUCUGGAUCAGGAUCUAUAGAUAUAACAGAAAGCUUAGCCAGGUUAAAUUAAAAUAACUUAUCAAAAAGAUCGUGCCUUUCAGAAAAGAUUUUCCACAGUCAUCCGAUGCUCAUUAGCUCGGGGACUUCCCGACUCCCAAGGAUGAGCACCUUUUACCAUUCAGAUAUACAGGAACUGUAUGUUGCACUCUUCACCGAAGAGACAUGUUUCAGACAAAUAUCAAAGAGACUAUUCUAACUUUGGAAGGCAAAAAAGGGCAUUCUAUACAUACUUUGGCAUCCUAGUUUCUAGAAAUGUCUGAAAGAGAUCAUGCUCCCUUUCCUCCGCAGAGAAGUUGUUGGGCUCCCUAUGCAAUGUCUUUGGUGUUGAAUGGAUUCGGCUCCACGGUCUACUUGCAGUGAAAUAUUUUAACAGCUGAAGCAUAAAACAUAACAUGCGCAAAUUGGACGGAACUCGUUCAGUAUUUUCAUUCAUUCAAGAAAUGAAAUGACAUAACAAUAUGUUCUUUUUUCUUUUCAUUUAUUGAUUUUUCAUUGUCAUUACUAGAUGGGCCUGUAGGGUGCAAAUGGAGGACCCAAUCUGAGGUAGUUCAAUCAAAUCAUUAAGCAAAGAAAUUAGAACAAUUAGCCAGUAGUAGAGAUAAAGUUGACCUGGGGGUUUUGAGAGACCCAAUAUUUAUCUCCAUCAAAAUCACCAUUAGCAAUUUCAGUGGCCGCUGAUCUUGGACCUUUUGUGGAGAAAAAUAUUCCAUAUUUAGCAUUUCCAACUAUGUCUCCGAGGUUCUUCACGGGGACAGCAAGUAGUCUAUGGAUAUCACCAAAAUGAAGUCCAGGAUUCCUGUAUACUAGUACCUCUCCAAAUAUUUGCCCAUGUUCACUGCAUAAAAUGUCGUAGUUUUACUUUGUAAAUUUCCAGCUAAAAAUACAGGCUCUGCAACCUUGUCAUUAGACUAAUGAGCAAAUGUGCAACGAUGAGAUAGAUUCUAACAAUCAAUGGGUAAGUUGAUGAUGAGUGCAUCGAUGAGAUAGAUUCUAACAAUCAGCUUUCACCAAACUACUUCAGAGUCAUACUGAUUUUCCACAGAGGAAUAUCUUUUUUAAGAUAGAAAGCCGAAUGGCUUAAUACAUAACCUGCCCCUUAAACUUGUCCGGAUAUUCCAUUUAGACUCUCGAACUAAACCUUGUUUCAAUUGAACACCUCAAUAGAGUGUUCCAAUUAGACACUUUCAUUCAAUUUUUUGAAUUUUUUGUGUGUGUUCUCAUUCAUCCAUUAGAUAGUCACAUAAAAUAUGUCAUUUCCUUUAAUUAUACACAUUUGCCUAAAUAGGCCAUAAAAUCCAAGGAAUUUUCUACUUGAGGUUGAUGCGUAUAAUUAAAGGAUACGACAUAUUUUAUGUGGUUAACUAAACUAUCUAAUAGACAAAUGAAAACACGUGCAAACGCUUUUUCAAAAUUUCAAUCUCAAGUGUCUAACUGAAACACUUGAUUAGAAGUUGACAACGUCAUAACAAAGAAGUUUUUUUUGGUGAGUCGUCAGGAUUGGACGAAAAGGAUCAUAUAAGAUAUAUAUAAACAGUAUACUUACAGAAUAACACAAACUUCAUGGGGAUUUAAAGUAUCAGUGGGAUCAGCUGUUCCCAUUAGAUAGAAAGUAUCAGCAAUAGGAAGUCUUCCUCCUUUGAGCCCAUUUCUUUCUUCCUUUGCCAGGGAAGAUAAACAACACCAAAGAUAUGGUUCAGUGAGAGGUACUCCAGCCAUUAUCAUACUUGUGGCAGUAGAGGCAUCAUCACGAUCUCUAUGGUUUACCGCAACUGCAUGGAGACAACCAGUAAAACAAAAAAGUAAGGGUCUGAAUUGGUAAAGCAUUCAACAGAGACUUGGAACAGAGUAGUGCAUAUUAAGAUCAAUGCAGGUAAAUGAAUGCUUUCACUAAAACUUCAGUACCAAAUCUGCAAAGAUGGCAUCAGAAGGUAUAUAAGAAGUGAUUUGGUUUUAGGCUAUGUUGCUCGAGUUCUCGAACAAUGUCGGAGGGUGUAUGCCAGAUCCUCCAAAGUAAUGCAUUUUGGAGAUCAGACAUCGGGUCAACAGCACUUUUGGAGGAUCCGAGCAACAUAGUUUCUACUUUCUAGGAUUUUUUAGAAAAUUGGUAACGGCACCAGAUUGUUAAUUGUUCAUAUAAACAUGUGAUGCUUUCAAGAGAUUAUUUGAAAUUUUGAGAACAAAAAUGUCACCACAUGCUGAAAUAUAAUCCAGAUUGCACACAAGUUUAAAGUUGUCGCGUAACAACAUCUGAAGGUCAACAUUUCUCCAUGUACAUGCUAGAUUAUAAACCAUAAACAGCUGCAGAGAAACUUGGUUUUAUUAUCAUUUUUUCUAAAACUAGAAUUACCUUUUAGUGCUGUCACCUCAUCUGAGUAUAACCUUUGUGUCUCCUCCAAAGUAUUAUUGAGUAUAUCAUAGAAAUACUCCACGGGAACACCUCCAUAGGUCAGCAGAGCAAUAAGAGUUCUUGAUAGAUAAGUAUUCCUAGGUUUAAGACUGAAAGAAGAACAUAAGAGGUGUCAGUUGCAGCAGUUCAUAGAUAUAUACCUGAAAUGACUGUAACUACAGAAAUUUUAACAGAAAAUUCUGUAAUACAAAGAUAGCAUGGAAGAAUUAUUUUUAAAAAACAAUCAUUGGAAGGGAGAUAUGUCCCUUUUUAGAGCCAGUUGUAAUAGGCAAGUUGAUCCUUCAAUCUCCAUCAAAAAAUCCUAGUGGUAAACCUUGUUUUACUUUUCUUUUUUAUUAGGAAUCACAAAAUAAUUCACCUCCCUCACUUGGGAUCCUACUGCAACGGGUAUGACAAAUCGGUCCCCUAAGCAAUAAAAAUACAGACUCGAUUUCUGUCAGUAAUAUUGUGGUUCUUCCAACACAGUCUUUCCUAACUGUUACUUACUAACGACUGAAAUGCAUAAUAACAUAUUUUUCCUCAUAUAUGCACAUGUACUUGCAGCUCUUAGUGUUUAAAAAAAAAUAGGCUUUACUACAAUAUUUCUAAAAUAAGACAGGAAGGGUCAUGAAAGUAACAUUUCAAAUUUCAUGGUCAAAAGAAGAUCCCUACAAUGAACUUUUUAUCUUUCUAUUAACAGAAAUAUUGAAUUAACUAAAAAGUACCAAAUACCUGGGUGUAUUUAUUUCCAACGAGUUAAACAUUUGAGCUCUUGACAAUCUUGGAUCUGCCUCGACCUUGAUCAUUGAGGGCCUAAUCUGAAUUGUGCGUCGUGGCAGCUAAUAUUUAAGAACAGAACAUUGUAUCCAUUAGGAAGUUGACUUAGAGAGCAGAGAAAUUAAGGGGCAUUUAAGAUAAGGCUGCUUCAAUAAGGCCAUCGCACAGAAGUAUGCAAUUAAGUUUAAGAUAUUAGGCAAAGCCAUUUCAGGUGGAGCAGACUAUGGUUUUAGUACCUUUCUAUUGACUAGAAGGGUUCCCUUUACAGCAAGACCAUUGUAGAAUAGACGGCACUGCAUCAACAGAGGCUAAACAGACAGAGAAGAAUGAAAACUAAUCAGCUAAGAACCAACCUGACCAUGUUAAAUGAUAAAAAAUUGCUAACUGCAGCGGUCUGGGAUUCCAAAUCAAUUGUGGUAAACAUCAAAAACAUUUACCGGUUCCCCACUCUGAAAUUCCGCCUCUCCCAACUCAGAUGAAUUCUCCCCAAGUUUGACACCAUUGGUAUAUCUCUGAAAUGGUUAGUUAAAAAUUUAAUGGGAGGUUCUUCAAGAGAGAUGAAAGGAAACAGAUACAAAGAACUGAACAAUGAAUCUGCCAGAUACUUUUAAUGAAUACAAGCAUGCAAGAGAUAAUUUCUUGUGCACCGUCUAGUGCCUACAACCAAAGAAAAUCAAGGAUAUAAGAGAAUUCAAAUGAAUUUAGAAAAGAUAAAUAUAUGAACUAAGAAUAUAUUCUUCCAAUUUCUGCAACUCCCUCCGUUUCAAUUUGUUUGUUUGGUUUUGACUUGGCACGGAGUUUAAAAAAGUAAAGAAGACUUUGGAAUCUUGUGAUCUUAAACUAAAGAUAUGUAGAAUGCACUAAAAUGCCCUUUAAUCUUAUGGUCUUAAGCAUGCCAUGUGGAAAGUUGGAAUUAAAGAGUUGAAAAAAGGAAAGAGGCCUUUUUUUUAACGGACUAAAAAGGAAAGUAAGACAAACAAAUUGAAACGGUGAGAAAACUAUAUUUCAUCUGCUUGCCUGAUUGAGAAGCUAGCUACUGGUCCUCAAAUGUUUAUGUUAUUUAAUUUCUCUAAGAACUUUGUAGAUGAACUCACAAAAAAUUUGAUAGGUAUUUCCAAUGGCUACAUGACCAAAUGCAGGAACAGCAAAGAUAUGGGAAGUUCAACAAGAAAUCACUUGUUUGAUUUUUUAAAGAUUAUUGAUCCCCUCACUUAAGAAUUAUACUUCCUUUUAUGACCUUGAGACCUUCAAGGAUUUGCUUUAAUUUUAUUGACGUUUAUGCAGUGGCUUCUGCCCAGAGAUGUGAACUUGGAUACUUCAAGUCGGAUAAGGAUGUAAAAUGCCUCAUUAUGGACUGCAUGGUUAAUCAGAUAAAUUAGAAGGAUUGCGUCUUUAUUCCUCAGAUGAACAGCCACUGGAAUUAUAUCCGAACAUACGACAAAUUUUGGAAUAAAGCCAAAUUAUGUGCUUCUUGGGCCUCUAUUCUUGAAAAGAGAGCACCUACUUCAUUGAUUAGGUUUACUGGUUCUUAAUGCAAUACAAAAGCAUAAUCAACCUCAAGAAAAUGCUUAGUGAUUUAGGUUUAAUCAGAUUACCUCUAAGUUGGCACACCUAUGCUUCACAUUGAAAAAAUCUUGCGGACACUUUCUUGCCAAGUCUUCUGAAAUAUAUCCAGUCCCAUCUGUGUGUAUAAGUGGUUUCCCAUCUUCAUCAUAGAUAAUUCGUCCACUCUUAUCCUACAUUGUUUUCCCAAAGGAGGAGGCAAUUAAAUGAUAAAGAGAAGUCAUUAUCUUGAGACCGUGGAAAGAGAAACUAUAAAGAGAUGGUAUAUACAUGGAGAAAGAAACUGCAAAGAGUAUGCAUGAUUGUAUAUACACAUUAUAUGUUCGAUAAGUAAUAUACAUGACAACAUAUAUCUUCAAUUCUGUCAAUAUUCACUGAAUUCAGAUCAACUUGAAGCUUUACUGUCGUGGAUAAAGUUAGGGAGAACCUGCAUUAUCAGAGUAACUAUGCAGUUCAGAAAGAAAGACAGCAAGUAUGCAAUAAAUAUUAAAAAGUUAAAAGAGUCCGGGAAAUAGCAAACCUGGCCAUGUAUUUAGCCAUGCUAGAGACCAUGUGUACAUGCAUGAAAUUGCACCUUGCUUCAUGGACCAUCUUGUCACGCAAAAUGUAAGUUUCUUUUUCAUAAGGAUUAAGAGAUUCCAUUCGAACAAAGUAGCAUUUAACAGAAUCGAUCUUUUCCUCUUUGUCCUUUGAACUUCUCUUCUUCCCGUCAUCCUUAUAAACUGUUCAAAUACCACAAUGACACAAAACCUCAUUGGCAUCAAACACUUGAAAACAGAACCUCUCAGGUACUUCCACCCCUGAUUUUGAGUACAAUAAUGAGAAUGACGCUUCUAUUUAUUGGUAACCUGAGAAGUUUCAUCAAACAGCUACUUGGGAAAACAGAAGAUCCACAUUGACACAGGCCAAAAGAAGGCCAUAAGACGGGAAUUUCUUUUAAUUACAAGUUGUUGUAGGUAAUAAGCAAAAUAUUUGCCCUCUAAGUACAGUAGUUUCAUGUUAUAGAAGACCAUCAGACUUGAAUGGGAGCAACUGUUGGGCCUUACGCCCAAUAUAUCUAUGAUUUAGCGACACAUAUGUUAGAUGAAUCUACUAUCAUUCAAGAACAGACAAGAUUAUAUAUGUUCUUAUAUUUGUGUUAAAAGAAAUAUCAGCAGCACUCAAGCUCAACAAUAAAUGGACUUGGCCACAUGCAUUCCAAAAUAAAAUUCAUAAAAUGCACUGUCCAUCGGCAAAACUAUCUAAAAUUACAGAAAGAAAGACAAAUUCUGAAUUUCUUCUUAUAUUUCCAAGACAAGAUAGGAAUUUUGAAAUACUUUGGCGACAUAUGUAUAAGGUAAUUACCAAAAAAGCGAUAGCGCCUCAAACCAACAAGAAUUCCAUUCUGAACAAUCUCUUCUGGACACCCUGGGGUGUUUUGCUCAAACUUGACAAUCAAUACAUUCUCAUCUCCUAAUGACUGUUGCAGAUGGGUUCUUUCUGCUUUCAGGUAAGGACCCUGAGGAGGAGGGAAAUAAAACAAGUCAAGAAAUGGAUAUUAAUGCUUAGGGUAACGUGAUGAACUGUCCAAAGUGAAUGAAUGCUGCCCACUCCUUAAUUAAUAUAGGCAUUACAGUUAUUUCUUUCGGGCUCUUGUAUCAGUAUCAGGAGACAGCAAGCUUCAGUAGUUUUCUAUUCAACUUUUGAUGCCUAAAAAGCUAAAGUGAAUCAUUCGCAGCCUAGUGCUACACAAAUCAAAUAUUUACAUAAUACAAUAUUUACUGGAGUCCGAAAUCUUGUUCAGCCAAUUCAAGCACAGGAAUAACUUACAAAACACUUUAAAGGCUAAAGGAGUUAUCUUGAAUAAUUUUUAAUCACAAAAAGUUUUGAACCACAAGAAUAACAGACCUUAAAAGUAUAGCUUCCAUCCGAAUGGACAUGGCAAUGAUAAAGAUGAGUCCUUCCUGAAUCCCAAUCAAGAUACUGAAAGACACCGAUACAAGGCAGUUGUUGGAUUAAUAGUUCAAUAGUUAAAACUUAAGAGACUAUUAUGUGAGUACCUAGACCAAGGUAUUACUAGUCUCUUAUUGGUGGACACUAAUGAUAAAAAAAUACAUCAAAAGCAAAAAUGGAACGACAGAAAUAUAAGUUCAUAUAGUCUUUAACUCUGGAAAAAGAACAUCAGUGGUUGGGACCAAGACCUUAAAUCCGAACUAACUAAAAGAUUAAAACAGACUAUACAAGUGUGGUAAUUGAAUGGAAACUCACCUGCACCCGUUUAUUAUGUUCACAAAGAUGACCAUAUUUAUUCCAAAUAUAUGACUCAAAAUGAGACAUAGGUUGAUAUAUCAUAUCCAAAAUGUCACCAACAUCAUGGAGCAUAAUUACAUCCUCCACCUUCCUCCUGCAACGCAUACCAAAUCAAAUACCAACUUGUAGCAAUAUAGAAGUCACAAAGUAAAUAUUUGAAUAAAUGCUAAAUUUACCUCCCAAUGUAGUUUAGAAUCAAAAAGAAUUUCCUGAAUUCAAGCUUACUGAGUGCCAGUAACUGCUCACUUAUUCCUCGUGUGCUGGCCCUGUCUCUGAAUGUAGAUGGCCUAGGAUCGUAAUGAUCUCUUUGAAAGCUAGUUGUCACUGGACUCAUUGGAGGUGAUGGUAUUCGUGGAGCUGAUGUAGGAGAAUCAGAUGCAUCACCUACUAUGUCUGCAGGCAUUGGAAGACCAUCAUUGGUAAACUAGAAUUCUUGAAAGGUCUGAGUACAUUACAUGUUGUGUUGUUCGGACUCUUCAAAAGUGUGUAUCGAAUACUCCAAAAGUAGUGCAUUUUGGAGAAUCCAACACGGGUUCAACAGUUUUUGAGAGUCCGAGCAACAUAGUUUACAUGUAGAGUUGUAAAUAUGCAAAAAAAGGAAGAAGAGAUCGCAACCAAUAAAAAAAUUGAACAAGUUCUUCAUUAAGCCUAAACUAAUUCAAGCUUACUGAGUGCCAGCAACUGUUCACUUAUUCCUCGUGUGCUGGCCCUGUCUCUGAAUGUAGAUGGCCUAGGAUCGUAAUGAUCUCUUUGAAAGCUAGUUGUCACUGGACUCAUUGGAGGUGAUGGUAUUCGUGGAGCUGAUGUAGGAGAAUCAGAUGCAUCACCUACUAUGUCUGUAGGCAUUGGAAGACCAUCAUUGGUAAACUAGAAUUUUUGAAAGGUCUGAGUAUGUUUACAUGUUGUGUUGUUCAGACUCUUCAAAAGUGUGUAUCGAAUACUCCAAAAGUAGUGCAUUUUGGAGAAUCCAACACGGGUUCAACAGUUUUUGAGAGUCCGAGCAACAUAGUUUACAUGUAGAGUUGUAAAUAUGCAAAAAAAAGGAAGAAGAGAUCGCAACCAAUAAAAAAUUUGAACAAGUUCUUCAUUAAGCCUAAACUAAUGUCCAGAUAUAUACUCAAUUUAUAUGUGAAUAAACAAUACGGGAAUUAUUCUUUAGAUAUUACCUAUUGUAAGGACAUUUUCAUCUUCAGAUACUCUUAUCCAUGUAUUCCUAAUAAAUGUAUUACUUAUUCCACCUUCUAUUCCGUAUAAGAUAAUACAUAAAUCCUCAUAUAACUUAUACCAAUAUUAGUUAUAUAACAUUUACUUUCCAGUAUUAAAAUCUGCAUAUUUUGUAUGAAUUUUAAUACCAAAAUCAACUAUGGUAUAAAGCAAUACUGAUUAUAUAUCAAGAUUAACUUGGCUUAUACCUCAAACCUAAUGACCCUUAGUACUUUACAAUUUAGUAGCUAGCUGUGUUUGCUUUUCCUUUCUAUCUUUUUGUUACUAUCAACAUUUGUCUGUCAAGUACAAUAAAUCUGAAGAGAUUCUUAGAACAGAGACUUUUGAGUCAAAUAGAUAGAAGGAGGGGAAUUUUUAACCCAAAAAAGAAGGGGCAACUUUGGGAUUCCGCACGGAAUGAUUAAUUUCCAGUUAAGAAAAGUGAGUGCAUUCUUCUGUCAAACGCUUGUAUUUAAGUGGAGAAGUGUAUUGGGACAUAAUUAUUAUUUUUUUAUGACAAGAAAAACCUACCGCCGCUACCCUUUGGGUGCGCACAGGGUAAAACCCUCGCUCUUAUGCAAUAGCUCGCAAACCACAUAGGAGAGGUAACCUACACUAGGCAAGCCUAGUGCGACGAGCUCGACCCAGAAGGCAAACCCCUUGCUUUCGCUGGCAAGGGGUUUCGAACUUGAGACCUCCAACUUGGAAGUCCCAAGCUCAAACCACUGGGCCACCCCGAAGGGUAUAUUAUUAUGUCUUUAUAUCUGGAGAUUUGUCCACUCCAUACGGACAUUGUUAUUGGUUAAUGUGCUUUCGCUGGCAAGGGGUUUCGAACUUGAGACCUCCAACUUGGAAGUCCCAAGCUCAAACCACUGGGCCACCCCGAAGGGUUAUUUGGGACAUAAUUAUUAGUAUUGACUACUGAGAAUAAUUAAGUAAGUAAAACUGAGUUAUCUCUAACAACUCAAGCUUUUCGAUGAAUGAUCCCACAAUUUGAUAUGGUAUCAAAGUAGGCAUAGAUUUUUAGUUUGAAUCUUAUUGCCACCUUAUCAAAAAGAAUUUCCACAUGCUUGAUCCAUAAUAAAGAAUCAAGCCUGCACGUGAGGGCAGGGGCGAAGCUAGAGGGGGCAAGGAGGUUUGUCCUAGUCCCCCUUCACCAAAAAAGUACAUUGUACAUAUAAAAGGAUAUAAUUGGUUUUUAUCCAUAUGUAGUAGGAGUAGAUAUUGAGGCUUCUUAGUUUUGUUGUGGAUUUACUUCUUUAAAUUUUAAAUCAAUAUAAUGAAAUCAUGCCACCAUCGUAGAAUAUGUUGAGAAUAUAAUUAAGUAACUAAAAAUAUCUCCAUAAUAACUUAUACUCUUAGAUGAGAUAAUCAUACACUUCAAUAAUGAUCCCAAAAUUUAAAAGUUGUGAUUGGUCGUAAAGGUUUUGACCCCAGAAGAGUUUGUCAAACACUAACAAAAAUUCUUCUACCAAACAAGAAACUUACUAAUGCUUCCUAGAAGAGCUCUCUUUGUAUUAUUGACUUUCUAGUUUAUAUUCAUAUAAGGAGAAUCAUAUAUGUAUCUUUUGGAACUCUUAAAUAGGAAAUAAAUUACUUAAUAAGCUGACUAGAAUUUUAUGUAUUGGAAAUAUAUUUUUUAUCUUUCCAAACUCUUAAAUAUAAUAAAGUGUAUCCCUGUUUUUCUAAGAACAAAAAUGUGUAUCUUCUUUUUAAAUUUCAUAAAAAUAACUUAUUUUAAUAUAUUGUAUCCAAACAUAUACAUAUCAUACGGUUGCAUGGUGUAAUUAACCAAUUUAUUUAAUGCUAUCAGUGAACAUAAUUUAACCUUUUGCAACAAGCCCAAAAAAUAUACAAAAAUAGAAAAACAUGCAUGCAAGUUCAACAGUUUAUGUAUUUUAAGCACACUUAAAUUAGUAAAAAAAAUUAUCACUUUAUCAUUACACUGUGCAAGUUUGAGAAAAAAAAUUAGGAAACUUUACCAUUAUCCUGAAAAAUCGGCCGAUUUCUGGGUGAAAAAUUGACAGAAGAACAAGAGGAAUUCGGAGAAGACAGCGAACUUCUUCGAAUCUGAGGCGAAUGAUAAAAACUUUCAGCAGAAGGAACUGGUUCUUCAUAAUUUUGCUUCUGAUAAAACUGUUGAGUUUCCGAUUGAUAGUAUUUUUUCGCCAUGAAAACAAUGAAUCCACUUAGGGUUUUUUUAAUCUGACAUUUUGAGAUUUCCCUCAAAAUACAAAGCGAACGUUCUUCUCCGAUUGCUACAAGGAGUCUUCGUACUUUAUCAUCUGGUGAAUUUUGUCUCUCUUUUUUGCAGAUUUGGUUAAUCAUUUGUUGUACUGAAUGUGGAAGUUCAACUUCUUCAUUGUUGUGAGAGUAAAAAUCUCCCAUUUUUUGCUGAUUGAAGUGAAGAAAACUGGGAUUUUUGAGAGAGAAAUUGAGGUUUUUGUUGAGGAAUGUGUACAGUGGGAAAUGUUUUGCCUGCUUAGUUUAAAGUGGAGCUUGGAAAAUUACUUUUCAAAUUAGUUGGUUUUCCGCCCGAUAUUCGAGAUUCGUAUUUGGUAUUAAAUUUUAUUUGUAUUAAGAUUAGAUUAACUUGAAUUCGGGCAUAUGUUGGGGGCGAGGUUGGUAAUAAAGAAAAAAAGUCAUUCUUAAAAGUUUAAACUUAAGACUCGAUUAAUAAGGAUAAAAAAAAAAAACUUACAUAAAUUUCAUUAGUUUAAGAGUUAAUUACUUAAAUAUUUUUUAAUUUGUAAUAUUAUGUAUUUUAUUAGAUAUUGGUUGUUCAUAUACAUUGUAUGAGGAAAUAGAAAGCAGAAAAAAAGUCCAGUUGGAAAGAAAUAAAAGUUGAAAAAAGCUCAAAAGAAAAAGAAGAAGUGACAAUUCAAGAUGUGACCAUUCAAGAUUACAGUGAAAGAUCUCAUAAAUCUUAAGUUUAUAUUAUUAUUUUUUAAAUCAUAAUUUAAAAAAAAAAAAAAAAAAAAACUGGCGAUGUGAAGAGGUUAUUGGUAUGAUUGUAUCGUAUUGCAAGAAUAUAUUAAAGAAUAACUAAUUAUUAUUAUUGUUUUAUAGUAAAAUUAUGUAUAUUUUUAAAGCAUGUAUUAAUAUGUAAUCGCAAUAGAAAUAUAUGAUUUAUUAAUGUGAUGAUUUCGUGCACAUCAUGUAUGAGUUAUUAAUUUUCUAAAAAAGACAUCAUGUAUUUUUUCUAACUAACUUUAAAAUAAUAUAAUAAAAGAAAUCAAUUUAAUUUAUCGUGAUUUGUUUUACUACUUAUUUUAACUUUAAAAGUUAUUUCAAAUUUAAUUCAGGGUCAAUACAGUAAUUUCAAAAAGGAGUAAUAGAAUAAAUAUUAGUUGAGAAAUUAUGAUUAAAUUUUAUAUUUCAUAAAAUUGACAUUAUAUAGAAAUUAUUAUUUACUGUGGUUAUAAAUCUCGUAAUCUCCAAAAUAAUUUUUUAUUUAAAUCUUUAAAAUUAAGAGAAAACCUUAUAUUAUUCUGAAUGAAUUAAAUAUAGUCUCCAUUUAAGUAUCUGUCCAAUCACACUUCUACUGAUUUGCCCAUGAUUUAACCGGAAGGACACGUGGCAUCACUAGGACAACUCAACCCAUCCCAAAUUUAAUAGUUCCGAUUUCUUUUUUUCUAUAACUAGGUAAUCUGUCUGCGCUUCGCGCGGUCAUAAAUAAUUGCAUUAAACUUGUAAAAUAAUUUUUACUAAUAUUCAUACAUUAAAAAUAAUGGAAAAAAUAGAUUCUUAAAAAAAUAUUAUCAAUAUUUCAACAUGAAUCUGAUUAUUUGUCAUUAUCACAUAACUCAAGAACCUCUAAUAAUUUAAUUAUUCAAGAAAUAAUAAAUCAUUGGUUCUUUAAUCAACAUUAAAAGGAAAAUAAAGAAGAAAAUAAGAAUAUAUACAAAGGCAUUUCGUAAGAAAAAAAACACAUUUAAGUUGCAUAGAUUAUACAAUUGGAAUAUUUGUCUUAGGAAAAAAUUCAAAAAUUUGUUAACAGAUUCAAAAAAGAAAUUAUGCUUGAACAUGAAAGCAAUUAUAACUUUUUGAACUUGCAUUAUGAAUUUCUUCAAUUGAUAAGUGAGAAACUUCAUAUCAACGUAAAAAUAGAUAAUAUGUAAGCUUAUAUAUAGUAAAUUAAGUUGUAGAAGUUUAUAUAGAAUAUCAAAACAUGAAUUCUUGAAAUUGAGUACCAUAAUUAUUUUCUGCACAAUGAAUAUCUUACUAUAUGUGUAUAUGUUCAAUAUAACCGAAGACAAUAACUUUACAGAAACAUAAACAAUAGAGUUUAAAACAUGUACUCAAAAACAAUAUAAGCAUAAAUUAAUGAAUGUAAAAAAACAUAUCAGGAUUUGUAACAAUAAGAUGAAAAAGAAAGGAAAAAAUUGAGUCCAUUGCACAACAUCUCCUUAAGAAAAUUAUUCUCCUCUAAUACCCGAGGUUUAAAGAAAUAGAUCCUUUCAGGAUGGAACGAUUUUAUUCACCAGUGUAUUGAUACAAAAGCAAUGGUGUUAGUGAGCCACUCAACAGGAGCAAGUACACGAAUAUUUAACUGCAUAGAAGAAGAAGAAGUAGUUCAGGAUUUUCGUUGUUUUAAAUGAGAGGAAAUCCCUCUAUUUAUAAACAACAAAAGGUAGUGUGAACAAAUGUUUAUUGUGCCUUAUCGGAAAGGUCACAACUCUUUGAAAAAGUCACAACCCUUUAGAAAGGUCACAACAUUUCAUAAAAGUUGCAACUUUUCAUAAAAUUCACAACUUUUUAUAAAAGUCACAACUUUUCAUGAAAGGAGAAGGCUAGUUUUGAAAAUAAAUAAAUUAAAAGGGAAUUCUGAUUUGUGGUGGCGCCACGUAGGCGGGCUUUGAGUCUCUUUAUAUAUAUGAUAUGAUAUAUGAUAUUUAUCUAGAUUAUAUAUAAAUAUUUUUAAAAUAAUAUUUUUGUUUAUGUAUUAAAUAUAAAAGAAUAAAUAAGAAAUUCACUUAUUUUAUUUUAUUUUUAAAAUGUUUUCCUUAUACACACUUUUAGAGGUUGUUUGGUAACUGAAUAAAAAAUAAGUUAUUCAUGUAUUAAAUUUUGUAUAACUUAUACGACGUUUGGUAUGUAGCUAAAAAAUAAGUUAUUCAUAUAUAAAAUUAAUAUGAUAUUUGAUUGAUAAUUUAGAAACUCGUAUAACUAAUACAUGUACAAGUUAUGAGAAGUGUGUGUAUUUUUUUAUAGAAUAGAAAGUGAAAUAAUUAAUACCUACUAUAAAAUAAUACAUACAUUUUCUUAUAAUGAAUUCCUACAUUAUUAAUACCCGUAUAAUUUUAACCAACUAUCAAACGAGGUCAUAACCCUUUAUUGCCUUAACCGUGGUCCGUGUAGUAUAGUUUGGCUAGUUUUGCAUACUAUAAGGACUAUUAAAUACUCUAUGUAAUAGAAUAAGGAUGAUUAUCAUUUUCUUUUAGUUUCUCUCCUGAUGUUCGGAAUCCACAUUAGAGCUCCGACGAAAUUCAGAUCAUGCAUUAUAGGGACUUAUUCAGGGUCAUUUCGAAACAAAAGGGACUAUAUUUUGGGCCUUUUCUCACUAAUAUAAGUCUAGGGGUGUUCAUGGGUCAAUUGGAUUGGUUAUUGGUCAAAAUCAAAACCAAACCAAAUUAAUCGAUUUUAAAAUUAGCAAAUCAAACCAAACCAAAUGGAAUAUACAUUGAUCGGUUUGGUUGUUAUCGAUUUUGAUUUGGUUUGGUUUGGUUAUUCGGUUAUUAAUCAUACACAAAAAUAAAAGAAACAAUUCAUUCAAAAUGUGAAAAGUGACAACAAUUCAUUCUAAACGAUUUAAAAAAAAAAAAAAAGACUGACGUACAGAACUUUCGAUCAUUGAAAUUACUAUGAAUAAAGCUUCAAAAUUCGCUAUUUUGCCCCUAGAAGGAAGAGAUAGUGACAUAUUCGGUCUCACAAAGAAUUGUCAUAAACACUCAUAUACAUGAAACCAAUAAGAUAAAUGUUCUCACCUUAGACAUUUUUGCUCUCAUAAGUAAAUUAUAAACUAAUUUUUGAUGAAAACAUAUAUAAGAUCUUUAAAAUUAUUUAUAAAAUUAAUAUUUUAUGUAUGUAUAAUAAUAAAAUAUAUGCAUAUAAUUUAUCGGUUCAGUUCGGUCAUUUCUUUGAUUUUUUCAAAUAAAAUCAUAAUCAAACCAAAUACUAUCAGUUUCAAAAAUCUAAAACCAAACCAAACCCAAAUAAAACCGAUCUAUUUAAUCAAUUUGGUUCAAUUUUUUCUAUUUGAAUCGUUUUUUAUCCAAACCAUAAACACCACUAAAUAUAACAAUAUGAUGAUGAAAAUAAUCAAACCAUCAUUAUCAAUUCCCUUUCCCUCCCUUCCAUUUUUCCACUUUUCAUCAAUGAAGCCAUUAAUGCCUUAACCUAAAUUCAAAUCCAAUCAAUUGAGCACUGCCAUUUUUUUUUUGUCAUUUUUAAGAGGGACAUUGGCACUUUUAGUCCCUCAAGUAUUACAAAUUUUUAUUAUUACCCUUGUAAUUUUUUACUAAGCAUUAUGAGCCUUCAACUAAUUGAUACACAUGCACUUUUGAUACCUCAAAUUGCAAAUCUUCACAAAUUUAAUGAAUUAUCAAGUGUUAAACCAUUUAAUGAUUAAUAUAUUAUGUCAAAUUUGUAUUGCUGCUUCAUUUUUUUAGGUGAUAUAGUUCUAAAAAUACUUUAAAUAUCACCUAAGUUGCUCGGACUUGGGUGCGGGUGUCCGAUACGAGUGCGGAUCUAGAGGUCGGAUCCUCUAUAAUUUAAAUUUUAAGAUUCGGAGAUAAGGAUAUAUGUAUGGAUGCGGGUGCAGGGAUUUAGUUAAAAUAAUUCAAAUAUCUAAAAAUAGAGUUAUAAAACCUAAAUUAUGAGAUAUUACGUGAGAAACUUGAGGAGAAUAUUGAUCAAGCGAAGAAUCCGGGAAGGUGAUUAAAAAAAAGGGAAUGACAAUAAAAAUUUAUAUAGACAAGCUAUUCUGUUUUCUUCAAUUUCCCCUUAGUUUUUGUUUUGAUUAUAGACAUCAUUGAAUAUGUUCAGAAUUUCUCCUCGAAUUUGGUCAAAUUACCCAAAAUCGGUUGACCAGAUCAGGUACGGAUCCCACACUCACACCCACGUCAUGUCGACACAAAAGUGAAGAGUCCAAACAACUUAGAAUAUCACAUAUUCCAUAUGUAAAGAGACCAAAAAACACAAAUUUUAGUUAACUAAAGGUUAAAGACCUUAUUUGAAUGAAUUUAUAAGUUAUAACUUAUGAAUUAUAAAUUAAUCGACUCUGAUUUAACUAUAUAUUUGGUUUUUUAAUAUGUAGCAAUCACUAAUAAAAUAAAAUAUAUUACCUAUUAUUACUUUCUACUACUAGUUUAAACAAACCAAACUCAGCAAGCUAGACAUGCAUCAUGAAAGACAAGUUGAGAAUAGACCAUACUUACACAAUUUAAUGUAAGGAUUAAGAAUCCUUACCUUCCACACAUCCAUGGUAGAUUAAUCAUUAAUGGGGUUAUCUACCUGAUUUGACAAUCAAAUGAUAGCUAAUCCUCCAAUGAAUAUAAGGAUUUCUUAAUUCAUUUUUUCUUUUUAAUAAUUGUAGUGUCCGAGCAAGCUUGCACCAUCACAAAUAUUAGGUAACUUUAUCUAUUAAGGCUUGGACAAACGAAAAAAAAAAAAAAACACUAGGUGUUUUUUUUUGCCUCAUUUGAGAUUUAAACCUGAAUUAUGAUUCCCAACCUAUUUCAUUGUCGACCAGGUCAAGCAAGCCCUUGGGUGCAAAUGAAGGAUACUAUUAAUGCCUCUCAUCUUCUUACAACCAAAGUUAACAUUCCAUAAUUGAGAAUACAUCAAAAUCCACAUAUGGAGAAGUUAUACCUUUUGGUUUUAACCUUCAUAACAGUUUGGUUGAGUUCAGUCAGGGGAUUUACAAACAUAGAAACAGAUGAAUCUGCUCUUAUUGCCUUUAGAGCAUAUAUAACUUCAGACCAUGAUCAUAUCUUGUCCAAAAACUGGACGCCAUCCAGUAACAGAUCCUCUAUCUGUUACUGGAUCGGCGUCUUUUGUAGUGGAGACAACGAAAAUCAAAGAGUGACAUCUUUAAAUGUCUCAGGAUUCAGACUUUCAGGCACAAUUGCUCCUGAUUUAGGAAACUUGACAUUUCUAAUAUCAUUAGACAUCAGUAACAACAACUUCAGUGGCUUGAUGCCUAAUAAGUUAGGUAAUCUACAACGAUUACAAGAGAUAAACGUAGGAUUCAACAAUUUAAGCGGAGACAUUCCAAGCUGGUUUGGAAACUUGCCACAGCUCGAGAGCAUUUUUAUGAACGAUAGCACGUUUAGUGGUCCUAUUCCACCGGUUUUAGGCAACAACACAAAGCUGAAGAGAUUGGUACUGUCAUACAAUUUGUUACAUGGAAACAUACCUCAAGAGAUAGGAAACCUUUCCAUGCUGAUAAUAGUUGACUUUAAGUAUAAUGUGCUUACAGGAUCUAUACCAUCUGAAUUAUUCAACAUCUCAUCGUUGCAAAGCAUCGAUCUCACUGGUAAUAGUCUAACAGGUGGACUAGCACCGGAUAUCUGCAGUAAUCAUCGUUUUGUUGAGCUUCAAGGAAUAUUUUUAUCCGCGAAUCAGCUUCAUGGACUGAUCCCAUCGACGUUUCAUCUUUGCAAGGAACUCCAGGAUUUAUCCUUGUCCUACAAUCAAUUUAGUGGAAAAAUCCCAGUUGAAAUUGGAUAUAUAACCAAGCUCAAGAUAUUAUAUCUGGGGAUAAACAAUUUCAUAGGUAUCAUAUUAUAUUUAUUCAAGUUAUAUAGUAGUCAGCACUCUUAUAAUAUUGCUAGUGUAGUUAGUGAUUAGAAGAGAAGUCAAGUUCUAUAAUUUUUACAUAGAAAGAUGACUGUUGGAAUUGCAUGUUCAAAGAAUUAUGUUUCUCCGAAUAGCUGUGUUUUAACAGAUAUCUAAGUAGGGGCAGAGCCAGGAAGGGCCAAACUAUAUAUAGCAAUGUUGGAACCUUUGGCUUCUUCAUGUGUUUACUUCUUCAUAUUUUGAACCCCCUUAGUGAAAAUAGGAUCGGGGUUUAAAUUCCUUAAUGAAAGAGAUUUCAGUCAAAACCAUCAGUUUUCUGUUUCUCACAAGUUUAUCUUCCCAACAUAAAUGUAUAGCAACUUCAACUUAUCGAGGAUAUGACCUUAUAUAGGAGGUUGUGGAGUACAUGGAUUAGAGUAGAAGGUUAGUAGGUAGGAGUGCAUUGUCUUGAUGUCAGUCCAUACUAGUAGUCGUAGUAUUACAACUAUCGUAAUAGUAUUUUGUUGUAGUACUGUUCUGUUACUAUAUGAUGUUUUUUGUACUUCCGUUACUUCUUUUUCUGGACUACUGCUGUCUGCUUUGGACUUUUUUUUCUUGAGUUGAGAGUAUAUCGGAAACAACCUAUCUACCUCUGAGGUAGGAGUAAGGUCUGCGUAUACUCUACCUUCCCUAGACCCUACUUUGUGGAACUACACUGGUGCUGUUGUUGUAUAUGUAUAGCAACUAAAUAAGUGUUAAGUGAGUUUAAAUCAACAAGAAAUUUCUACUUACUACACCAAUCGAUCGAGGUGUUUUGCUAUCUAUAUUUAUCUAGUUUUGACAAUCUUUUUGCAGGUGGAAUUCCUGAAAAUUUAGGCAAUCUUACAUAUUUGGAGAUGCUAAGCCUAAGAGGUGGUUCACUAACAGGUCAAAUUCCACACACUCUAUUCAACAUGUCCAGCUUAAAGCAACUCGAUCUUUUGAACAACAGCUUGUCCGGAAACCUACCAUCCAUGAGCAGUCAAUGUAAUGUUCCUCACAUAACUGGUGAAAUCCCAGCAAACACAUUCAGAUGCAAACGCCUUCAAGUCAUACAAUUAGCAGACAAUAUGCUUACAGGCAGCAUUUCUAAAGAUAUUCGGAACUUUACUUUCCUUCAGAAUCUAUAUUUAGCAGACAACAACUUCACAGGUACGCAACGCCAAAUUGUUAUUGCCCUUGUAGUUUCUAUUUAUAGAUAUCAAAGUCCUAACUUUACCACAUUAGAUAUUUCUACCUCAUACUUUAACGACACCAUGUAGCUUGUCUCAAUGCACGUGUAAAUUACAUACAUGGUAUCAGUUAUAGUAUAUAUUACAUUCCUAAUUCAUUUGAUACUUUGUCAGGGAGAUUACCAGCUGAUAUAGGUAGCAUAAAUCUGAAGGUACUUAAUGUCGAUGGAAAUCACUUGUCAGGUGUCAUUCCAUCUGAAGUAUUCAACAUAUCGACGUUGCAGAUUCUAGACUUAAGCAGGAACCGGCUCACAGGAACUCUUCCCUCAGGCUUGGGCCAUCAGUUUCCAAAUCUGCAAGAGCUUUAUUUAGGUGAGAAUGAGCUUACAGGAUCAAUCCCAAGCUCUAUCUCAAAUGCUUCAUCACUGGCUCGAUACCCGACCUUGGUAAUUUAAGACUUUUGAAGAGGCUAUUUCUAGAAGAGAAUAACCUUACAGGGGAAACUUCCAAAGGAGAAUUAAAAUUCCUGUCCUAUUUAACUAAUUGUAGACAUUUGGAAAAGAUAGAAGUGUCUUUAAAUCAGUUAAAUGGUGUCCUUCCAACUUCAUUAGGGAAUCUCUCUGCUAGCCUUCAAAUUUUCUCAGCAUUUGGAAGCAAAAUCAAGGGGACUAUACCUGUCGGAGUUGGAAACUUGACAAGCUUGACCGGUAUGUACUUGGAUAGCAAUGAGUUGACUGGAGUUAUCCCAAAUACAAUUGGAAAGUUAAAAAAUCUCGAACGUAUAUAUCUGGAAUACAAUAGACUGGAAGGGUAUAUCCCAACUGAUAUUUGCCAGUUAAGUAAGCUGGGGGAUAUCUACAUUAGUCACAACAUGAUCCGUGGAGCCAUACCAGCAUGUUUUGGUGAACUCAAAUCACUACAGAGAGUUUUCUUGGAUUCAAACAAUUUGACAUCUACCAUUCCAUUGAACUUUUGGAACCUGAAUGACCUUGUAGGUUUGAACUUAUCCACAAACUCUUUCAAAGGCUAUUUACCAUCAGAGAUCUCUAAUCUGAAGGUUGCAACAGACGUGGACUUAUCAUGGAAUCAAUUUUCAGGAGAUAUCCCCAGCAUAAUAGGCAGGGCGCAAUCAAUAGUUUACCUUUCUUUGGCACAUAAUAGAUUGCAAGGUACUAUUCCUGAAUCUUUGAGUAACUUGAUAAGCUUAGAGACAUUAGAUUUGUCGUCCAACAACUUGUCCGGAAUGAUUCCAAAGUCUCUCGAGGCAUUGAGGUAUCUCCGACACUUCAAUGUCUCUGUGAAUGAAUUGGAAGGAGAAAUUCCAUCAGGUGGAUGUUUUUCAAAUUUCAGUGCUGAAUCUUUUAGGCAAAAUCCUGAGCUAUGUGGAGUAGCUCGGCUGCAUGUUCUGCCCUGCCGGACAAAACAUUCCAAGUCAAAAAGUGUUUCAUCUUUGAUUAAAUAUGUUGUUCCCCCUCUCUUGUCAACAAUUCUCAUGGUGACUGUUGUACUUAUAUUGAUAAGAAAACGGAACCAAUACGUAAAGAUGAAAAUGGAGGAAUCACAGCUUGCUGCAAUUCUUUCACCUAAUGCAUACUUGAGAAAUGUUUCAUAUCUUGAACUUGUACGAGCAACAAAUUCUUUUCUGAAUCCAAUCUACUAGAAAAGGGAAGUUACGGUUCAGUUUAUCGAGGGGAACUCAACGAUGGAACAGAUGUAGCUGUAAAAGUUUUUAACUCAUUGACAGAAGAAGCAACCAAGAGUUUCUAUGCUGAAUGUAAGAUAUUGAGCAAUAUCCGUCACCGAAACCUUACAAAAAUCCUUAGUUGUUGUAGUACCACAGACUUCAAAGCUCUUGUAUUAGAUUACAUGCCAAAUGGUAAUCUUGAGAGGUGGUUACAUUCCCAAGAUUAUUGUUUAAGUAUGCUUCAGAGAUUGAACAUAGCAAUAGAUAUUGCUUCAGCUUUAGAAUAUCUUCAUUGUGGUCUAACAACUCCUAUUGUACACUGUGACCUGAAGCCUAACAAUAUCUUAUUAGAUGAAGAUAUGACUGCACAUCUUUGCGAUUUCGGGAUCGCAAAAAUUUUUGAGCAAGACAUGCAUAUGGCUCAAACCAAGACACUAGCCACCAUUGGUUAUAUGGCACCAGGUGAAACUAAAUCCAAAUCCUUCUUAUUCUGCUUUCUUUAGUAGUAAAUCAUUUUUUGGGUAUUUUGAAACAUACUAACUAUCAAAAAUCAUUCAUAAGCUACAUUGCUUGAAUCUGUCAGGAGCAAGAACUCCAUUUCAUUGAUCACUUAUCCCCAUAUUACCAAAUCCUUUUCAUGUCUAUGACCUUUAUUCACCAGAAAAUCUACACGUUUAUCCACUUUCUUCAUUCAUCUCUUAAAGUUUUUCCGAAAACAGCAUCUCCGGUUUGGAUCUUCACACUACCAUUAGUAUAUAGCUUAAUUUUUCUUGCACAAGGAGGACCAAGCAAUUAGUUUGACUUGUUUGGAUAUAGAGGUUUUGCAUAGGGAAAUACUUGAACAAUUUCCAUAGUGUAAUUUAAAUGUGUUUAGAUAUACAUUUCUUUCUAGUUAUCCCUCUAUUAUAAUUUGUUCGUCUUAUUUUCCUUUGAGUCCGUCUCAUAAAAACCACAAAACAUGUUUAAGACCACAAGAUUAAAAGAUAUUUGAUACAUUCUAAGGUUUUCUUCACUUUCUUAAUUGAAAUCCGUGUCAAGUCAAAACCAGACAAACAAAUUGAAACAGAGGGAGUGUAAUAUAAACUAGAUCUUAUGCUAUAUAUUUUUCUUAAAUUGUAAUGUCAUUGCAGAGUAUGGAACUCAUGGGAUAGUUUCAACAAGUGGAGAUAUCUACAGCUAUGGCAUUAUAUUGUUGGAAAUGUUUACAGGAAAAAAACCAACUGAUGAUAUAUUCGGGGAAACAAUGAACUUGAAAUGUUUCGUGGGCGAAAGCUUAUGUAGAAAAUCUUUAAUGGAAGUUCUGGAUUCUGAUUUGAUUAGAGAUGUUGAACAGUUCUCUGAAGUAGUACAACAGUUUGUGUCAUCUAUCUUUUGUUUGGGAUUGGAAUGUCUGAAAGAUUGUCCUGAAGACAGAAUGAGCAUUAGUAAUAUUGUGGAUAGCCUUAGAAAAGCUAAAAUUGAAUAUUUAGCAAUUAGAGGAAAGGCAGAAAAGGUGGUGUAAAUUUUCUGAUUGUGAAAAAUGUUGUAAACAUUUUGUUUUGUUUUGUAUUAGUGGUUACAAUGGGAGUUCUUUUCAAAUCUGUUUCUGAAAAUACUUUUUCUUGAGCCGAACAACGGUUGAAAAUAGUCUCUCUACCUCCCACAAGAUAUAGUGGAAAGGUUUGUGUAUUUGAUUUCCUUUUGGACCACAUAAGAAUUUGUCGUCCGAUUGAAUAUUCCUUUUUUCUCGAUGCUCUAUUGGAAAGGUUUGUGUAUUUGAUUUCCUUGGACCAUGUAAGAAUUCAUCGUCCGAUUGAAUAUAUUUUUUUUCCUCGAUGCUCUAUUGGAAAGGUUUGUGUAUUUAAUUUCCUUGGACCACAUAAGAAUUCGUCCUCCGAUUGCUAUUUCUUUCCUCCACAAUCUCUCUACCUCACAAGGUAAGGCGUAAGGUCUGAAUACAUUCCAAUCUCUCCAUGAAAAGAAGUCUUGCUGAGUUCCUCUUUUCCUGCUAUUGAACUUGUCCAAUAUCUACUUUAAAACCCGACUAAUUUCUUGCAAGAAAGUUCCACUUUGGAAGUAAAACACUUUUUACCCAAGAGGUGUAUUCAUGACUAGAACCCGAAACCUCUAAUUAAUAAGUUCUUCUGUCAUGAAGAGAUUAUUGUGGACUUCUGCAGUAGAAUUCAUCUAAUGAGAAUCCUAUAUAAACCACAAGCACACCUUUCCUAAUAAUCAAAAAGGUAAAAACUGUUAGAAUGAAAAAAUCUGUAGUCAUAAUUAUUAAAGAAUAUACCCUUCCACAAAAUUACUUAGUAUAUAGUAUAUACAUUCAUAGCAAUUACUGAAAACAUUUCCCUUACAAGUUAAAAAGACAAAUCUCUGGAUUAAGUAUUUGAUAGCUUACACCAAGUGUUCGUGUACACACAAUUCCAAUCAAUGGAGUAUCAUUUUUGUUAGAAAUGUUGAGUUUGUUACUUCCCAGAUCCCCCUUCUCCACCCCCAAACCAAAAAAAAUAAAAUGAGUGUGUUUGUAUUUACUCGAUGCUCUCCCCGUCAGUUUUCAGCUCCUACUUACAGUUUCUUUCCAUUUUCUGAUUUGUCAUAACAUAUUGACAUUCAAUUACUGGAGAAGAAUCAAUUGAAAUCUGCCUAGACUUUGUUGAUGUUCAAUUUCUUUUUUUUGAUGAACUCAUCAGACUGCAGUUACAGUAUAAAUCACGCUAUCAUCCAAGUUGCGCUGAAAGCAAACCAAAUGCAAUAUUCCUCUUCAAACAUUUUGUGAUUCUGCAAUACUACAGGGUGCUUAAAUGAGAUUGCUUUAUCGAGCAACUCAGCAGAUAAGAGAGAACCUGAAUGGUCCUCUACUAGGAAGGCUCAUGGUAAGGUUUGGUUGACGAGCCCCAUUGAUAUUGCAACUUCUUUGGAUGCAAAAGUAUCAGCUUGUUCCUGCAAUGUCACAUUAGAUCAUUAUUUGUUUCAAUGUCUUUACAUUAUCAUUGAAAAUAAUACUUGAAGAAAUACUAGAGCAGGUGCCUCUCUGCUGAGAUAUUUAAAUAUAAUCAGAUCUAUCGACUACAUGAAUUCUAAGAAUCAGUAAAACAUAAAAUGGGCAUGCCAAUGUACAUGCACUUGUGCCUAUAUGAGAUACAGAACAUCAUCCCACAAAUAAAGAUAUUUUAUGUACAAUUUCAAAACACAGUCUAAAAUUCACGAGACAGGAAAAGCUUUAUUAACGUAUACCUUUUAUACAUAUGUUACAAAUGGAAAACAAAGGUGCAGACUCUAUAAGUGUUAUGACAAAGUAAAUGGUAAGAGAAGUGGAUUAAGAGAUGUGUCAUUGUCAUACAAUACCAACACAACUACACCUCAAUCCCAAGCAACUCUGGGGUCGACUAUAUGAAAACUUUAUAUCCAUUUUGCUCCAUUUAGGCCAGUCUCGUUUCAAAACCCAAUUAUAUUUGUUAAGACAAACCGCAGUUCUCAAAAUGUAGAGGUAACCUGAACGUUUAGUGACAAAAGAAUCUCUGGACAAACUCAAAACACUCCUAGAAAACACCAGACAUGAUUGUAAAUCCAACUAAGCCUAAAUUCAACUAGUAGGGAUCACAUAUAUGAACUUUUUUGCUGUUAUUGAGUUCUAUUAUUUGCUACGUCUGUAUGGAUUUUGAGAGAUUCUAAAUCUUUUAAUAAAACUUCCUUCCAUGUAAUCAUGAGGCCUAUCUUAUUCUUUUUUAACACCUUCAAUCAGCUAAGUUUCAUCAAUUAACAUAAUAUCAUCCACAGAAAUCCUUUAUCAAAAAGAAAUAAAAAAUCAUCCACAGAAAUUAUGCAUCAUGGAGCCUCAUUAGCUAGACACUCAAUUAUCAAACUAGGGCGGAAGCUCAAAUAAUCAUACCUGAAGGCGAUGCAAUAGAUACAUCAAGAACAAAUGGACAAACACCUGUCAACAGUACCAUAUACCUCAUUAAAUAGCAGGUACAAUUUUACAUCAAUUCACUUCAAACAUUCAACAGACACUAAGGUUUUUCCAGAGUAAAUGAUCUGUUCUAACCAGAUAAAAAAGCAAGAUAACUCGAGCAGUUGGAUAUCGCCAGAGAAAUCGUGUUGCCCUGACAGCCCCGGAAUCCAGAAGCUUCGCAGCCUUCUGUAACUGCACAGCGAAGUUUAAGUCAUAUACAAAAAUAGUACAAAUAUAUGGCUCUCUUCCAGUUAAGUACAAAACUUGUACUCUUUUUUUUCAUGCUUCUUUUUACCCCCUAGUGUGAGGAUGUGGAUGUGGAAAAUAGGAAAGAGCUUACCUGUAUCGUCGCCCUAGUCAUGUGUCGAUGAUGUAAAGGGAGAGGCCUGUAAUAUUAAAAUGUUUCAGAAAAGCACGUCAUGCUCAGAGGAACUUGAAAACUGGGAGGCUUCCUUUAUUUUCCGAUAAAUAAAACUUUGAAGGCUCACUGAACAGCCUAUGAAUUCUGAUCACGUGUUACAACUACAAAAGGCUUAUAAAGUGAUUCCCUCCAUCCCAAAUUUGUGUGGAGCGACUGGAAUUUCGAGAGUUAACCAAGUUUUUCUUUGAUCGAAAUUUCUUUAUAUGUCUUUCAAAUAUUUUAAGUUGUUAAUUAUUGUGAUUUAUAGUACUUUUAACGUAGUUUUCAAUUAUAUAAAUUUUAUUUUAAAAACUUAAAGCUUCUAUGUCUGAAUUCAUGGUCAAAGUUUAGAAGUUUAAAUCUCAAAAUUCCAAUUGUGCCACAUAAACAGGGAUAGAGGGAGUAAUUUUGACGCAAAUGAAUUACUUUUUACUUGUUUGAUUACUGAUCAAAUUAGACUUUGAAGCAAAUGAAUUCACAUUAUUGUAACAUAUUUUUUUAUAUCUAACAUGAUAGUUUCAGUUGUCCUUCAUUUUAAGUUAAUGAUGGCAAUAAACUUGGAAUUCUUUUUAAUUUUUAGUAGUGUGUCUGAUCAACUAACCCACCUCGACAAUUCCACUGGAUACUGGGAUCCUCCCACUGUGCCAAUUUUGGCAUAUUUAUUUAAAACAAGUUCUUUCUUAUUCAUUGAAAAAUUAAGAUCGCACCAAACAAUUAAUAUAUUCUUUGCAACCACAUUGUUCCUCCAUUUACUCUUUCGUUUAACCAGGCAGGAGAUGCCAAUUUCUUCAACUUUCUUUGGGUGAAAAAAAAAAAGGAAAGGCUGAGCUGGAAAAGAAAGUUCAAGAAAUAAUUUUAAUGAACCAAUUUCACAUUUUCCUAAUGGACAGGACUGGCCAAAGUAUAACGGGAAUCAAGGUCUAAUAAUGAAGGAAGAGAUUCAAAAGUGUCUCCCAAAAGCAUAAAGUAAAUUCUUAAUAGUAACAUACUCAAGUGCUUUGAUGUCAGUGUCUUCCUCCCACGAGGAUGAUGCUCGACGAGAAGAUCUGUUUCUUUCAGCUUCUAACUGUUGUAAGAGAAAUUCUUAAGUAAUUUAACCCACUUUAUCAAACUGCAACUGUAAAUACAAGGAGUAGAAUGUAAUGCAAUGCCAAAAUACUGAUAAACUUAAGCACAAACCUGUACUUCCUGACGACGCUUUGCUUCCUUCUCCAACUGAAACGCAGCCGCAGCUUUUUCACUGGCCAUGGCUUCAAGCUGUGUUUGCUUGUAAUACUGAACUUGCAGGCAAGAAAUACAGCUUAUUAAGUUACCAACAGUAAAUAAUGGGAACUAUAUAGAGCAUACAUGAAUUAGUUUAAUCUUACUUACCAAUAGAUCAGUUAAUUCACGAUACCGCUUUUCAAGUUCCACAUGUUCCUAUUACCAGCAGCAAUAGAUUCCAAUAUCAAUAUGUAUUUAAAGAUUGAUAAAUGAGGAUAUCAAAGUCAUACAAAGCACAAAAGAAGAGAGAUAACAAGCAAGAACGAAAAUUCCAUCACAUUCACGUGUUAAUACCUAAAAGCACAGCCUUGGUGACUUACCAAUAUAUGGAAAAAAGAACAUAAAAGGUAUGACACAAUUAUUUUUAGAUUAUUGCUCAAUCAUUGACAUAUAUAAGACUAAAAAGCAGGGAUGGGCACCAAAAAUUUCGUAGCUUCUAUGCUGCCUUUGCUCAAGGAAAGCGCUCUCUUAAAGUAACAUCAUGUUGCUAAUUCAAAGUUUGUAAUAGAAAAAGAUACUGUGUGAAUGGCCUAGUGAUAAAUAUCUUGCCACCUGUGACAAUAUCUCUUCUUACAUUUCAGUGUUCUAAGACUAAGAGCCUGUUUGGAUUGGCUUAAAAGUUGGUCAAACCUACUUUAAAGUCAUUUUUAGCUUUUGAGAGUGUUAGACAAAGUUGAAAAUAACUUAAAAUAAGUUUAAAAUGACUUAAAACCAAAAGUUGGACUCUUCCUACUUUUUAUUUUUGAAGUUAAAAGUCAUUUAAGUUUGACUUUAAAAAGUUACUUUUUAAAAGCUAUUUUUUUUGGCCAAUCCAAACGGGCUCCAAGUAUAAUUCACGUACCAUAUUUACACCCCAAACCUACCUCAAUCUACAACUAAGUUGAAAUGACGAAGUCUCAAAAUUUAUCAACCACCAAAAGUUAAUGUAGACUAUGCGACUGAAAAAUGCUAUAAAUUGCAAUAAAAAGUAGAAAUUUUACGCCCAUAACCAAAUUAGUGCAUAUAUAUUCAUCGAGAAAGGAUCCAUCCCUCAUUUAAUCUAAAGCAGAAAAACAUCUGCAAACACAAGAAGAUGUUUUCCCCCAUCAGCAGAUUCCUAUUGCAAUUUGGGAUCAAAUUAAGAGGGAAUAGGAGUAGAAGUCCAUCAAAAUCACAGUGGAGUAAGUAUCCACUAAGGCCUAUUGACAAGAAUUCAAGUUCUAUCACAACAUUGGUUUGGCAAAUCUCUUUCCCUAUGUUGUUUCGGUAGAUCAAGGUGAGUUUCAGAUCUGAGCUUCUCACCCUCUUUUGGGUAGGCAAGGAAUACCAUGUAUUGAAAUACACUACUGUGAUGCACCUUUUGAGCUACCAAAGCACAAGAACAAUUGUGCAACAUACAAUGCUCAAAUUAUCGAGGGCAAAAAGAACUAUUCAUGCCUGAAAGAAAGAGCUCACAGGAAAUUCAUUUAGGAUAGACACUUUAAAUGGCUGAGAAAAUAUGUGAUCUUCUGAUAGAAUACCAUUAGUUUGACUGUAUGAGUUGUAAACUCCUUAAUCCUUAUAUGAUCUUUGGGCAAUUCUCAUCACUUGAGCUAGCUUUCGAGAAUGAGUUUAGGGCGAAGGUCCAUUUCCUUAACAUUGUACCAAAGCAAUAUUGGGCUAACCAAUGUUGGAACACCCACAUUUUACUCCCUUAGAGAUAUCCAGCCUUAGGGGUAUGUAAGAUCGUUUAUAAUCUACUUAUAUGGUCUUGGUCAAUCCUUGUUACAUGAGCUACCUUUUGGAAUUGUGUUAGGCCCAAAGUCUAGUUUCUUCAUAUGAUAUUAGAGUAGACAGUGGUCCCAGGUUCAAUCUCAUUACAAUUUACAACCCAUUAUCAAAAUAAAUCACAUGCUUAAAUCAAGAGUAAAAAAAGGGAUCAUGACAGCAAAUGAGGAGAGUGUUAAGACAUAAUCAAAUAUAUCCUCUUUAACAGCUUAAACUUUAGAUAAAGUAAUCAUACAAUUUAACAUGGAAUAUCAAGAAAAUGGGCUUGGGUCUAACUACAUGCCAAAAUUUAUCUCAUGUUAUGAAGACUUUCAAGGGCCAUACAAGAAUACAAGAAUACCACUACUAAUACACUAACCCAAUGUGGGACCAUAACACUCGCUUCACGCCUGAACUAGAUAUUUGGAGCGUGGAGUAACAUAACAUGGAUGACCAAACAUAACACAACUUAUUUUUAGGGAUAGUUGUGGCCCUGAUACCAUGUUAAGAUAAUGAACCUACGGCAUAACUCAACUCUAAAGUUGGCUCAAGUGGCAAGAAUUCUCCAAAACUAUGUAAGGAGACUACAAACUAUGCACUUAACUUAUGUGGAAUCUGACACUCUAAACACCUCAUAAUACUUUCAGGCAACAUGCAUGGGUAUUCCAAUCAUUAAAGAAACACCUUAACACCCCCAUAAAUCUUUCAAGCUACGUUGCUCAGACUCAUCAAAAAUAUUGUUGAAUGUGUCGGGUCCUCCAAAAGCUAUGCAUUUUUGGAUGGUCCGACAAGAGUGCGGCAGAAUUUUCGGAAGGUCCAAGCAACCUAGCUUUCAAACGACAUGCGUGAGUAUUUUGAUCAUGCUAUUCGUCACCAACUUUGGCAUGGAUUAAUUUACUACUACAACACAAAGCUAUACGAACUCUAUUCACUUCGUAAAUUUUGAAUUGAGCAUUGGAACCUCAAUUUUUAUUUUAUUUUGGGACAUCCAAAUAUAUAACCAAGUACGCUAUUAAAGUUUACUUUAUAUAUCUAGCUUUUGAGACAAAUAAAUAUCAGGACUACUAAAUUAAGCUAAGUGAAGGGUACUAUUGGAGCCAAAACUGAUGAUGAUCUAUCUGUAUCUACCUGAAUAAGUUGAUGCCCACUUAAAAGUUGAAUACCCGAGGUUAAACUAAGUAGAAGAUGAACUGUGUGGAAGAUCAGGAAGUCCCAAAUCUUUUUGGUAAGGGCAAAAGCAAGAGUUUACCGGGCGAGAGUAAUGUUCAGCAUCCCUUUUCAUGGCAGCUGUUUCAACUCUUAACUUUUGCAUUUCAGCCUAAAGUCAAUAGAAAAAUUACCCAUUAAUGAUCAUCAUUAAGGCUGAUACUUAGAGCAAAAGAUCAUUAUAUUUACGAUAAAAAACGAACAAGUACAAUAUUAGCACACACUAGUUAAUGUUUGAGCCAAACUAUAGAGCAAUAAACUUGCCUCCAAAGAAGCAAGUUUGCUUUCAGCCUCCCUCUGACCUUGGCGUGCACGCUCCACUUCUUCUUGCCAUGCCUGCACCUGCAUGUUCAGAAAAUGAAGUUAAAACAGACAUCUGGAGGGUGUCUGUUUUAUCUAGCUUACUGUGAUGAUUCAGUUUCAAACAGUCUCAGGUUGCAAUUGAACAAAGGAUUAUGAAAAUUGAUGGAAACAUCUAUGUAUAUCAAGGAUCCAGUUGCAUGUGUAAACUUUUUAACUGCAGCACACAUGACUGAUAAUGUCAAACACAAAGGUCCCUUGUCUUAGUUGAGAAUUGUAAGUUUCAUAUUUACGAGAUUCCAUGACAGUUCUCCAGGCAUAAUAUGUAGAAUAGGCAUGAAAACACCUAAUUUUGCAUGAGUUACAACUUCAAUAUCAGAGCAUAACAAUUUACUUAGUAAGAUGAGAAUUUCUCUCUUUGUAAUCUUUUUCUAACUGAAGUGUAAACUUUUUAACUGCAGCAAGCAUGGCUGAUAAUGUCAAACACAAGGUCCCUUGUCUAAGUUAAGAAUUGUAAAUUUCAUAUUCACAAGAUUCCAAGACAGUUCUCCAGGCAUAAUAUGUAAAAUAGGCAUGAAAACACCUAAUUUAGCAUGAGUUGUAACUUCAAUAUCAGGAGUAUAAUAAUUCACUUAGUAAGAUGAGAAUUUCUCUCUUUGUAUAUCUUUUUCUAACUCAAGUGUUUUGCUGCCACCAACAAUUUUACGUUUACUUGUAUCUUCAAAUUCCUGGUUCUCUCAUGUUACUUCAAAAUGCAUUCAUGUUAAUGACAAUUAUAGAACCUGAAGCACUUGAUUUGCCUCUUCUGAGGACUUCUUUUGUCCACGACGAGUACGAGCUUCCAUUUCUUGCAGUUCUUGAUUUAGAGUUGCACAUUCAACCUGCCAGAUUCAGACACCCUUGGAUAAGUUGAGAAGUGCUGAAGAAAUCCUUUCAUUAUUCUUUUAGGUGUCAUCAUUUCCAAUUAAGCCAAAGAGCCACAUAAAGGAUUUUCUUUUUUGACAAGGAAAGAGCCACCUAAAGGAUGACAUCCAAAAAUAUAUUAUUUACCUCAAGCAGUGCCACCUUCUGCUCAAACUCUGUUGUCUUGGCAGUCCUUUCAUCAGCUGUUCUCUAGUGCCAAUAAUCAUACAAAAAUUUUAAGACAUCUUUACUUCAUUGAAUAAUAACAAUCAUGCAUGCAAUAGUAAUGAGAUUAUGUGCUGCCAAAUGAAAGGAACUUAUGAUGUACAAGUAGUCAGUACAAACAAUAAACCAAUUGCUAGGAACACAGGUAGAAUUAAAGAGAAGCUAAUUGCUUCAGUUCUUUGAGAUUCCUGCUUAAGACCAAAUGACAAGUACUAGAACCUAGCCCACUUAAGCACGAUGACUGAAGUGGUAGUAUGGACCAAAGACAAGCUGUUGGGAAAAAAAUUGAAAGUAAAAGUAAUCCCUCUUCUUUUCAUAAUGUCACGACAACGUCUUAACGAUGGAUAACUUAGAAAUGGUUACAAUAAAUUAUUACUAUCAAUUACAAUGUAGACAAUAUGUUCAUGCCACAAUUCUAGCUCUUAGAGUCAGGUCAAAGUCAACCUCUUAUUAUCAACUUAUCACUACCAUAAAUUCACUCCCUAGAAAAACAAAUUAUCAAAGAGCAGGAUACUGCAUCAUAACCCAAGCAAUGCAUUACAAGAACACUAGAACUUUUCAGCGAAAGUUCACAUCUUUAUUCUAUUCAGGCUAAUACCAUGCUGGCUUGUCAUUAUAUGUGGAAGGAAACAGCUAAAUCCCACUGUUACAAAAGCAAUAGCAUGAAAAAAUCGAAGGAUCAUAAAUGUGUACUUUAUUACAAUUCAUGAUGUAACAGCAUAAAAGAUUAUACUUGAAGAUGGAGAAUACCUGCGCCCUAGCCAAGGCUGUGGAUGCCUCUAAAGCUCGGUGCUCCAGUUCUACCUCCCUUUCCAUAAAAGCCUAUUAUUACAGACGAAAUGAAUUACUAAAUUGCAAACAGCAUAUCUCCAUUAUCCUUCAACAACAACAACAAACCCAGUGUGUGGGAUCUGGUGCUAAACAUCCAGAGUUUGGCAGAUAUACUAGGAUGCAAAGUGGAAAUCUGCUUACAGUUUACUUGGGCAUGCCUCUUGGUUACCAACAUGAAGAGAUAGUUAUAUGGGAUGUCAUAAUAGAGAAGGUUGAAAAAGAUUGACACGGUGGAAGAUUCAAUACUUAUCACUAGGAGGAAGGCUCACUCUCAUAAAAUCAGUCCUUGAUUCUCUACCUUAUUAAUCUCUUCCAUUGGAGCAACUUAUCCCUUGUAAAUGAUAUAUUACCCCUCUUAGAUUUCAUUAGCUCCCUCAAUAUGGCUUAGCGACCAUUCUUUUGCUUGUGGUUAACUCCCUGAUUAAAUAGUGUUUUUGUUCUCAGGAGUUAACCAUGUUUUUGUGUAUGUAGUUUGCAUCUCCUUGAUGCCUUUCUAAUACAACAUCUUACUUCAUCAAAAAAAAAUGUCCUUGUUCCCCCUUCCCAAGAAGGUUUUGAAGAAACUGGACAAACUUAGAAGGAAUUUCCUUUGGCAUGGUUGUAAGGAGAACAAUGGAUACAACCUGGUGAAAUGGGAUACUACACUGAACAAUAGAUACUUGGGAGGUUUGGGUAUCAGAAACCUAAAGAAACAAAAUGAUAGCCUUCUGAUGAAAUGGCUCUGGAGAUAUAAUGAUGGAAAACAGGUUUUAUGGAAGGAUGUAAUUAAGUGCAAAUAUGGUGAGAACAACCCUUGGUGCAGUAGUGAAAGUUCUUUACCUUAUAGGGUUGGGGUAUGGAGAACAAUCAGAGAUCUUUGGCCAAUGAUAAAAGAGAACACGGUAAUUAAAGUGGGAGAUGGGAGAAAAACAAAGUUUUGGGAAGAAGCAUGGAACACCCAGAUCCCUCUGAAAGAUAUUUUUCCGGACCUGUUCACCAUCAGUAACAACCCUGAAGCAACUGUCAAAGAGUGUUGGACUGAACAGGGAUGGGAUCCAUCUUUUAGGAGAUUCUUGAAUGACUGGGAAGUGGACAAAGUGGCCAACCUACUCCAUGAAAUAGGGGACUUCACGGGAACUACUUCAGCCCCAGAUUCUAUGAGAUGGAAGCACAAAGAAGAUGGGAAUUUCUCUGUUAAAGGGGUCUAUGAACAGUAAAUACAACAAAACAGAAAACAACAAGGUUUAUGGGAAAAUGUCUGGAAAAACAUCGCAACAACAAAAAUAAAAUGUUUCACAUGGUUGGUUGUCAGAAAAGCUUGCUUGACACAAGAGGUUUUGAAGAAAAAGAGGAGAAUUGUAGCAUCUACAUGUCAACUUUGUGGGAAAAUAAAUGAAACAAAUAGGCAUCUUUUCUUGCACUGUAAAUUCACUGCUCAGUUGUGGAAUUUAUUUCUUACUCUCACAGACACAAAAUGGACCAUGCCUGAGCACACUGCAGAUCUACUCAGCUGCUGUAUUAGAAGAGGUGGAAGCAAGAGCCAGAAGAGAUGGUGGAAAAUCAUUCCACAUUGCAUCUGGUAGACAGUGUGGAGAGAGAGAUAUAGCAGACGUUUUGAAGAUAAGUCCAAUUCCAUUCAUAGAGUUAAAUGGAAUUGUAUUGUAUCUUUGUUCUUCUGUUGUAAACAAACAAAUAUAGAGGAAUUAGAGCUUGUAGAUCUGUUAGGCUCUCUGUAAGUAGUUUCUCCCUUUCUCUCUUGUUUUUGUUUGUUUUGUUCCCCUUUUGAAGGUCUCCAGCAUAUCCCUAAUGCUGAGGAAUACAACAUUUACCAGUUUCAAAAAAAAAAAAAAAAAAAAAGUGUACGCUGACCUUACCCCUACCUUUGAGAAGGUAGAGGGUUUUUUUCAUAUAGACCCUCGGCUGAACGAACAGUGAAAAAGAGGCAAUAGCAACAAGUAGAAACUACAGCAAGGUAAUAAGAUGCCGAGGCAAAAGAAACAAUACGUAGUGAUGGAAACCUAAACAUAAGGGAAAAGGAAUAAUACUGAUACUCUGAGAAAGGGGGCACUGCGGAUGCAAUUUUAGAAUCAGAGAGGGAGCAAGGGAGGCGCAUUGGAAACACAUCUAUGCAGAUUAAAGCAGAAAUCCUAUAUUAGGGAGGAAUGAGAAGUUCUCUGCUAUUUUGACUAAAAUGAUCCACAGCCAGUGUGAUAAAGUUGUUGCAGAUUUCAGGAUAUAAACUUGUAGUCGCUCAAGACUUUAAAUCACUUUUCAAAAUCUGAGUACAAAUAUUUAGCUACUUCUUUUUUAGAAUGCUCAGUAAGUAAGUUUUCAGUUAUAAACCUUUUUGGUAGCAUUAUGAGCAGCACGCUCUUCUUCUGAUCUUCGCUCUGCAGCACCCAGCUCCUCCCUUAAAGCCUGAGCACAUAAAAUUUUCUCACCGGUCAGGAAAACUGUAGUAAUAAAGGUGUUCAGGAGCAGCAAAACAGAGUAAGUAAUAUCCAAAAGUUGUUGUGAAUAGAGAUCCACAUACUUGCAUCAUCCUUGUCUCCGUUAGUUCCCUGUUUCUCAUUAAAGACUCCAUAUUAGCCUGAAAAAAAGCAGACAAAACUCAGCCUUCCUUUCCAUUUAAAAUAAUUGAUUUCCUGGUACACAGUGGUAAAAGAGCUGAUAGCUCAAGUCCUCACAGGAAGUCCUUUUUAAUUAUAGAAGUUUCACUUGUAUUGGCCAAGGAAAGCACCAAUAGACACAAUUCCAAGUACCAGAAUUUUAAAGUGAAGUCAUAACAAUAAAUCAAACUGAUGCAGAUGAACCCAGAAAUAAAAACAGAUAGAACGAGAGGUCACUUCACAAGUGCGGCAGUACAACCCUAUAAUAGGUAGUUUGAAAUGAACCUGCAAUGAUGCCAGGUUUCCUUCGGAGAGUGCAGCUUGCUUCUUAAGUGCAUCCGUAGAACUAACAAGAGCCUCAAUUUCAGCAUUCUUUGCAGCAAGAGCCUCAGCCAUACUGGACUCCGCCCUUGACACCUCUUUUUUGGCUGCAGAUAAAUCUUUCUGAAGCUGCUUUAUCCGAGCCUCGCAAGAUUUACUCAAUUCCCUCUGUCACAUCAGAAUAAAUGACAUAUAAUCAAGACUUGAAUGCGGUUAUUUUAGAAACUCGGGAACUCUCCAAUCAAAUGCCCAUAUUCACCUCUGCUACAAGAAGCUCCUCUAGCUGAGCAUUUUCAGAUUUAUACUCCUGAAGACGUGAUGAAAGUCCAGCACAAACCUGCACAUUUGAGUUAAAGUACGAUAAUCUGUGAAUAUAAAUUUCCGCAAAACAAGAACCUGUUACACAGCAGAUGACCAAAAGAUCAAAAAAGGAAAAAAUGUUAAUUAUAUUAUGAUCAUGAUAAUGAAUCUAUUCAACCAUUUACGCUGUUCACAUAAUUUCUCAAGCAAAGUCGCCUCCCAACUAUCCAUAUCAGGAGUUUUUUUUUUAUAAAGCCAUAACAGGAAUUUGAACUACUUUUCAUCUCUCAUGAUAGGUAAAUUAGGAUGCGACGAGAUUAUUUAUGUUCGUAGCAUUUAACCUAUUGACACUUAAGAAGACAAUCUUACAGCAUAACUCAAAUUAACACGGAAUACUGCUCUCUCCUUCUCUUCUCUUUUCUUUUGAGUGAAAAGGAGACCUUCAAUUGAUGAUAUUAAUGCUCAUUAAUCUUUGCAACAUUAAUAUUAUACGUACGUCCAACUUGAGAAAGUAAUAUUGCUGAAAUGAAGUCUUUGAACAAAUCAUAUUCAUAAAAAAAAAAAUGGGUUCGCAAAGGUUCAUUUAAUUGAAAAUUUUGAAGGGCAAGACAAUACUGCAUUUACAUGUACUAACAUCCAGCACCAUUUUACAAGUAGUUGGUGAGAAAAACCAAACCAAAGGUAAAUUCAGAAGCUAGUUGCCAGAUUAAAUUUCUAUUUCUCUAAGUUAAAUAGCAGCUAUUUCUUUGAAAAACACUCUGAAACGGCUUCUUCGAGAAAAAAGUUUUUUGGAAAUACUUUUUGGGGAAACUUCUUUAAAAACUUAAAUGAAUAUGUUUGUCGAAUUCCCUUUUUGCAUCAUUUCGAAAAAAUAUGCACAAACAAAAGCACCCUAGCAUUCUAAAUCAGAGGCAAAUGAAGUAAUGAACUCUUACACGGGCUAACCGUGCUUCUUUUGACUGACCGGUAGAAGUUGCAUUCUUAAGCAAUCCCUGAGCCUGAAGAAAUAAAUGUAGUCAAAAGAACUUAUCAAAAGACCUAGAAAUACACCAAAAAGUUAGCUUAGAAAACAGACUCUACCUCUUCAAGUUGCUCUUGUUCUUUCAUGGAUGACUUAACAGUUUUACGUUCUGGAAGCUGCUUCUCGCCUGGAUUAACAGUUUUAUGUUCUGGAAGCUGCUUCUGGUCUAAAUCAGGUUCAGCAUUGGUUUUAGCAUCCGUCAUCUGCCUAUCAAUUUUACCAGGUUGAUCUGCAGUUAAAGAUAUAGAUCUUUCCUGCUGAAAGUUCACAGGAGAUCCUGCAUCAAGAAGAACUGUGUUUUGACUGGAAUCUACGGGAGACUUGUCUUGCACAGUAUCAACCACUUUUGCAGUAGGCAAGAGAAGAGUCUCUCCAGGAAUAUCUGGGGUGUUUCCACUUGUAUGCUCACCAGUAGAUUCUGAACUCACAACUCUUACAUCAACAGGUUCUGCUGCUUCCAUGUGAUCAGCAUGAUGAUUUAACUCAUUGUUAGAGGCUGUUUCAGAUAUAGGAGCAUCCAAUGACGCACCAUCUUCAGAAACUUUUAGCUUAUCUUCGGUGCUAGUUUUGCUGCUAGGACUACCUGGAUUUGUCCUACUAUCUUCAGUAAGUACGAUCGCUUUAUCUUUAUCAGAGGCAAUAUCUGACUGUGACAUCCCUUGGCUAGUUUGUUCCCUUUCAAAAUUGACUGGCUCUGAAGGUUCACUAGAAGAGAGUCGUUUUUGAGGCUGCAAAGAAUCUCAUUGUUAAUAUUCUGAAAACUGUCAGUAGAUAAAAUAGCAUUGUACUGAAAAUGAACACACUACCUUCUUUUUAUUCCUUGACCUUUUUGGUUGAGAUCCUUUUUCAUUCGGAACUAAGCCAAAGAAAAAAACAAAAAGAUGAUGUAUUCACCAUCCGCAGAGGCUACUUUAAAAAUAAUAAUGUAAUAAAAAGGGAAGUUAGAGGACUCUUAAAUAAACACAUUUCUUUUCCAAUCAGCAUGAUCGCAAAUAGAAUCCAAAAUGUGCAUCUUGCAGUAUCCUACUGCUUUCAGUUAGUGUACCAUUAUUUUUAUCAAAGACAAAAUCUGAUUGAGAUAUCCCUUGGCUAGCUUGUUGCUUUCUCUGACUGUUGCUAAAGGUCCAUGAGAAGAGAGUCGUUUCUGAUGCUAACUACAAGAAUUCUUAUUUCUUAAACAGGAAAUUUCUAAAGGGCCUGUUUGGAUUGGCUUAUAGCAUAGCUUAUAAGCCAUAAGUUAGAAAUCCUAACUUAUGUUUUGGCUUAAAAACAUGUGCUUAAAAAAACUUUUUUAUUUUAUCCAAGCACUAGAACAGUGCUUAAAAGCACCUAAAAUAAGUCAAUCCAAACUGGCUUUAAACCAGUUCAAAAGCAGAAACCAGAAGGUGCAUUUUGAGGUUGAAAAUUUUAUAAUAAAGGAAGCAACACUAUAAAAGUUAUACCUGGACUCCGAACAUUGGGCUGUUCAUCAGAAUUCUCGCCGACUACACUCUUUGCCCUCUUAUCUACAACCUCAAACAAAUCUGAUACAACAAAGUACAUUUCACCUUUUUAGGAAAUCAUACAAGAACUGGAAAAAUCUACCAUGUUGAUGAGUUAGAAAUCGAUAACCCCGAAGAAGAUUACAAGUCAAUUAGGGUACAUUUCUAUUAGCGGAAGCUGGUUGUUAAUAUAUAAUUUCUCAUUUUUCUUAUCAGAUUGGUACAAUGGGAAGUAGGAAUACUUUGAGAAUCCAUAAAAGCAGAAUGUACUUAAAACAAUCUUUGGUAGUGAGUGGAAACAGGCUUUUUGUACAGCAUCGAGUUCCAUUUACAAUUACAAGCAGCAUGCACAUCAACAAACUUGCAAUGCAGUAAAAUCUAUCAAAAUCAAACUAAAAGAAAACUUGUGAGCAACUUAUAAUUUAUCAACAUUAGAAGGGAAAGGGUCAAAUUUUGCCUCUUUAUUAUACGAAACUGAUCAACUUUGUUCCAUGUUAGACUUUUCGUUUAACAUUGCCCCACCAUCAGGAGAAGGUCUCAAUUUUUCCCUCGAUUCCCUAAGCAAGCUCCAACCUAUGGUAAUAUUAAACAGUAGUCGAAAGUUGCGGGGUAAAUCUAGACCUUUUUUCUCAAAUAAUUUGGACAUGUUGCGUUCAUUUUGAUCUCCAUUAAAGGUAAUGGAAAACAUGAGACAAUGGGUUAACAACAAGGGUAUGAAAGUGACAUGGAGGACACAAUGAGCACUUCCGGUUGUAUAUGAGCAAAGUUAGACCUUUUCCCACAUUAAAAUAGCCAAAGCUGUCUAUCCCACAUCUCAUAAUUCAAUUUCAACACCAACUACUAAAUAAACUCAAACUUCAUGCAUCCCAGCUCAGCUACUGAGUCUGAAGCAGAUAUUGCAUUCACUAAAGGUGUGCCUCCCUAGUGGUCAAUGAAGUGACUUAAAACCAGUAAGUCUUAGGUUCAAAUCCCAAUACAGACAACAUUAGGUGAUUUCUACCCAUAUGUCCUAGCCUUAGCCUUGAUGGACAAACUUACCUACUACCUGUUGCUAGUAGGAAGUGGCAAGGCAAGUAAGUAUCCCAUGAGUACACCCAACAAAAAAAAUUAUCUUUGACUUUAUUGUCAAAAAUGAAAAUUUAACACCUUAAACCAACACUACAAGCAACAACAACAACAUACACAACAUACAGUGUAAUCCUACAAGUGGUGUCUGGUGAGUAUAGAGUGCACACCCUACCUUGGGACAAGUUAAAGAGACUAUUUCUAAUAGACUACACACAAAAACGCAAACUAAAUUCCCAAUUAAAAUACACUCACUAGUCUAUGCCAGGUAAUCACAUUUCUACAAAAUCAUCUUAAAUGUAUAUAUAUAUAUAUAUAUAGACACCAUAGACACUGAUCUCACAUGCACAUACUGCUACGAACACAUAUAUAUAACAAUUCAUCAAUAAAAUUGACAUACCUAUAUACAUUAAACAAUGCAUUCACCGAUUUCAACAUUCUGGAUCCGCCUUAACAAUAUCACUUAAAUAAAAAAAAACAAAAAAAAAUCAACCAAAAAAAAAAAACUCAUACCUUCAGCAGCUCUGAGCCACGAAGCCAUUGAUGGAAUAACUGAAGCAGUGUAUAUUCACCUAUAUAUCAAUCAUCAAAAUGCAAUAAUACAUAGAAUUCAAAAUUUUCUGAGAACAAAAAAAAUCUGCAGAAACUCAACAACGAAGAAGCCAAAUUGAAUAAUGAAAAAGUGAGAAACGAAAUUUUUUAAAAUUUAUUUUUGCUUUUUUCAGAUCGCAAAUUGUAUAGUUUGGCUGUUUCUCUCAAUAUGGAAUCGUUAGUUAGGAGAUCUCUGUUAGCAAAAGAGGAAGAAGGAAAGAGAGUUGAUUCGGUGUUGUCGCAAAUAUGGCAACUAAGGUAGGACCGUGUGAGAAAUUUGGGAACCCCGACCCGGGAAAUAAAUGGGUCGUUUGAGCCCAAGUUAAUUGGGCCUUGAUUUUGGAUUAGAUAGAGGAAAAAUUAUGCGACGUGACAAAUGUUUACGUUGUAUUUACGAAAUGUAGAUAUGGUUUUAAAACGAUUAUGAGACGUAGCUAUUAGUACUUAUGCAAUAUGUGUUGAUAUAGCUUUUUCACAUUAUUUUCAGUUGAUAUAGUAUGCGAUGAUACCAUUGAUAUAUGUCUCAUACAGUUAAGUUGAUAGUCGUUUGAUACAAUCUCGAAGCCCUACCCUUUUGAAAAAAGUUAUGCUAUUUAUAAAUGGUUAAAAUUAUUUUUCUAUGUAUGUGUAAUAGAUGUUGAACCCCUAUCGACUAGUUUGCCUAUUUACUUCUUCAUAUUUUGAACUCCCUUAGUGAAAAUUUUAGCACCGUCAUUGAAUACAAUGAUACAAAAUUAUAGUUAUGUCUCAUAAAUAUGCAAAUUGUAAUUAUGAUUCGAAAGUAUGCUCUAAACUAUGUCAAUUUAUGAUUAUUUUUUUCCAUAAUACAAUUACAUUUGUUACUUGUGCCUCUUGAUAGUUUCAUUUUGGGAUCUUGACACUACACAACAAACCUAUAAAGCUCAUAAAAAUAAUAAUAACAUACCGUUGAUAUAUCUUACUCCUAUCUCAUGAAAAAGCUAAUGGAUCCAAACUCUUUUUUCCUUGUUACUAGAGUGAGACAUUUUCAGCCCAAUCAGUUUUUAGUUGGGCUGGGCCUCAUUGUGGGAUCAAGCAGAUAUCACCAGCCAAAUAUGGGCCCAAUCACUUUCAUGGAUUCACAACUCCAAAGUCUUAACAAAAAAUAAAAACUACAGAUUUUAAGUUAAUAAGUAUUAUUUUUUUUAAAUAUCGUUUUCAUUAAUCUUUUAGGGCAGUAGUGAGAACAUGUUUGUAUGUGUAAAUAUUUAUCUAUAUAAAAAAAAUUGUGGAACUAUAUAGUGUAAUUUUUUUAUACCAAACUGAUUAAUACAAGUCUUUCUUCCAUAUAUUUAUUACUUAAUCAUGUUGUUAAUUAAGAAUAAAUCGUAUUCUUAACGCUAUUUCAAAAGUUAGGUGAUAAUUGUCAAAAUCAUAUAAAAGAGACGCCACCAUUCUAAAUAGCUUAUAUAGGAACUUAACACCUUCAUGCGCUUAGAACUGCCAACUGAAGCGUGGAUAAUAUAAUAUGGGGGUCUAAAAUAACCGAAUCAAGAAGAAAAAGAGAAAAACUAUCGGCAUUCGACAACACAUGUCAGGUGAAAAGCAAAAGGAGAAACUUAAUAUCUUCAAUUUUUGUCUGCCUAGACUUGUCAACUGAAGCGUGAAUAAUAUAAUAUGGGUGUUUAAAAUAGUAAGAAGAAGAAACUAUUGACGAUACAUGUCAAUUCAAAAGUAAAAGGAGCAACUUAACACCUCCCUACACGCCUAGAUCUGCCAAUUGAAGCGUGAAAAACAUAAUAUGACGUUUAAAAAAACUGGAUCAAAAAGAAGAAGAAACUAUUGACUAUAUACAUGUCAAUUCAUGAAGCAAAAGGAGGAACAUAACACCUUCCUACACGUCAAAACCUGACAGUUGAAGCGUGAAUAAUAUAAUAUGAGCAUCUAAAAUAACCACGAAAAUAAAAAACUAUCGACUAUACAAGUCAAUUCAAAAGCAAAAGGAGAAAGAAAAAAAGUAAUUAAAGAGCAAGACGACAAUGCACUAAACCAAAUAAAGGAGAAUUACAAAUUUGUACGACAAAUAACCAAUAAACAUUAUCUUUUUUUACUUUUUCAUUAUAUUGUCAUUGUCUAUAUUUGCCACCAAAGUAAAAUGGUCCUAUGUUUAAUCAAAGCAAAGCAAACUUUGAACAAAAAAAUAAAGAAUUAUCAUCAAGGGGUGUGAUGAGCUGACAGAAGUUUAUAAAUUUUGAAUUUUAAAUUAAAAAAAAACAACAUUGUUUUGAACAAAUAAUAGUGUUAUAUACAUAUAAUUAAGUAGGUUUUAAAACAUAGAUAUAGAAUAUUGCCUAAACCUACGUGAUUUUGUUAAGCUUGUAAGCAGUAUUGUAUGAUUGGUUAAGUAGAGAUCUCAAGUUCGACCACUUAAAAUGGAGAACUUCUUGAUAGAGAGUGCUUUAAUUUACUUCAUAAUGAACGUAUCCAAUGUGAAUUCCAAAUGAAGAAUUUACCUAAAUAGUCGUUCAUCCAAUUGUUUAAACAAAAAUUAGUUGAUGAAUGUAUAAUAUAUGUAUAAUUGUGUAUCAUUAAUGCAUAAUCUAGGUAUAACGGCUAAGAAAAUUAGUAAAUAAUGAAUUUGAUCAGCUAUUUUAUAAAGAAUCCAUAUCCGAAUUAAUCAACUUAAAGGCUUUGAAAUACACAGGAUGGUUAUAUUAAACCAAAAAAAUAUAUGAAGUAUUAUACUUAUCAAUAAGCUCUAGUAGGCAAUAAUGGAGGGGCCAUGCAAAAAAAAAGGGACACUCUUUUGUUAGUUGAGUUGCAUGUUUCUUUUAGGGAUAAUUACUUUCUAAAUAUUUCGAUCAAUUAGUUUAUGAUAUGUAUAAUAAAAUGUAUAGGUUAUAUAUACUUUAUACAAAAAUAUAUAUACAUAUGUUAUACAUAUAGUAUCUAUUUUUAUAUACAUAUGCAAAAUAUAUACAUUGACCGUGUACAUAUAUUAGGCAUAUUUUGAUCAUAUUGAUAAACUAGUUAAUCGAACGAAUAUAUAACCGUAACUUUCCCUUUCUUUUAACCAAAAAAGCACGUAGUCCGUAGAAUAUUCUCUGCUUUAAAGUUACUAAUUGGUAGCAUGCACUAGUAAAUGUCCAGGGAAAAAAACACUUUAUUUUGUUUUAACUUUUUUUUUGGGUUAAAAAAGUGAAAUAUAGUGCAUUUGAUUCAGAUAUCCACACGUAGAUCUAUGGUAUAUAUCAAUUGGAAAGCAAAGAGUUGUAUAUUGAAUAUUUUGGAUAUGCAUCUUCUUAUUCUUAUUACAGAGCAAUCCGGACCGUAUCGAAAAGAUUCAUGAGACACAACAUAGAAAAGUAACAUUAUUAAAAAACGAGGUCCAAUAUAUCUUUGCUUCAUAAGGGAUCCAACUUGGGCGUCUGGGGAAAAGUCACACCCUAAUUAAAGAGUGUGAUGUAUUCAUAGUUAGUUACUUAGCAUUAGAGUCAUAUUUAUCACUUUUUUUUUAAAGAUUUCUGAUAUUGAGUCUCUAUCUUACCUUGUAUGUUUAAGAUGUCCAAUUCUGAAUGUACGAGCAAGGGUGGAUGUAAGAUGAUGGGAGUGGAUUUCCCGCAAAUCAAUAACUUUCGCACUGAUCCUGUAUUUAUAUUGAAAAAUCUAUUAAAUGGGAAGAACAUAACUCAAUAAUUAAUUAAGUAAUCACUUGAUCCAAUGGUAGAAAUUAUUGAACUUGCUUAAGUUUUUUUAGGUCCCUCUUGAUGAUGGAUCGAUUACUCUUAGGCACAUGAUAUGAUAAAACUUUCAUAGAAUAUGAAAUCACUGGAAAAUUAUUAACUUUAAAUCCUAGAUUCGCUUUUGAGUACAAAAUAUUGAGUCCCUACAUCAUAGGUAGGAUGUGAAUAUUUGGCUUUCUUAUAUAGUUUUAGAUAAUCCUCAUUUUCUUAUUAUUAUUGAUUUGAGUUAGAAUUGAGAUUCAUUUUUUAACGACUAAUAUUAUCUUUGAUAUUGUUAUGAUAAUCCAAACCUCAACUUUAGAGAAACAAAAACCUAAAAGGAAGUAUCACUUUCAAAAAUCAUGACAUCCAACUUGUAUAUGAUGAAUCUUUGAUGUAGAAAUGUAGGCUAAUCAAUUGGAUGAGCAAUGAGUAGAUGAAGAGUUCAUAAUAUGAUAGAGAUGUGCAUGUAUGCAUGGACACAUGUCAACUUCAUCAAAUUCAAUUACAUCAUAAAGUGUUAAAUAUAAAGAUAAAAUAACACCUAUACAAAGCAACCAGUACCACUAAAAUUAAACUAUAAUAACAUGUUUGAAAUUCAAGUUUAGUAUCAGAAUAUAUUCAGAAUUUUAAGUUUAUGAGUGUUGAAAAUUAGGAAAAUAAAAUGCUUAGUAAGUUCUGAAUAAACUAUGGGUAACUUUCUUAACUCAAAUACAUAUAAUAACAAAAAAAUGUCAUUUUUUUAAAGAAAAUUUUGCAAUGAAAUUCGAAACCUCUUAUCGUUGAGCUAAAUUACAGUGUGACAUCCAUCGAAAAUUAACCAUUUUCUAAUAAUGAACUUAAAAUCAAAGCUAUUAAUUACGUCGAAUCAAUAACUAGAACUUUAGCUCCGUCCUUAUUCAGUAUAUAUGUGUAUACCAUAGAAGUUGAUUUGGAAAUGUAGAGUAGUGGAUAAACAUCAAAUAGGCCAAUCAAACUUUUAAUUGAAGAAGAUAGAACUAAAAGGUAUAUAUGUGGAAUUAUAGAAGGAAAACCUAGCUAGGCCACCAACUUUAAAUGCAUGAGAAAGACUCUUCAUUAAUCAUAGAGAAUUCACAACCACAAUUUUUUAUUUUUCUCAACCUACCACUAGUCUCUAUAGUUAUGAUUUUUGUAGCUAGCUAGCUAGGUGUAAUUUGAUCUUCACCUUCUAAAGAGCCAAUAGCCAACAUCUAUUUCUCAAGAAUUAACAAUGGAUAAUUCUAUUAUCGACUCGUAUAAGGUUAUUGAGUAGAUAAAUAAUGUAUCAGCUUAUUCCGUCCUAUCUUUCAUAGUGUAACAUGCGUUUUCAUUUGUACCACAAUGAGAGUCUUACAUCUAAGUGAAAGAUUAUAUUAAUAUAAUUUCUUUUAUCUUGGUUUGAUUCGAACAAAUCUUGUUGAACAUAUCCUGAUUUGAUUCGAACAGAUCUUUUGUAAUUAAUUUGAAGAUGCUGCAACCAACUAGAACAAACUCUUAAUCAUAUAAUUAUUUUGGGUUAAUCGUAUUUUUGGUUUCUUAAUUAUUGCAAAAUUUUAUUUAAAUUUUUGUAAUAUUUAAUUAUGUAAAUUUAACUCUCAAUUACUGAAAAUAUGCAUUCUUAUAAGUUAUACCAUUGCUUAUGAAUAUUCAAAAAAAAUCCAAAAUGAUUAAUCGUUUUUACCAUUAAUCACUUUUAUGGUAGAUUAGGUUUAAACGUAUUCUAUUGUUAGUUUAAUUUGCAUUUUAAGGGUUAUACACUUCUAAAAAUAUCCAAAUAUAGCUUUUUUUUAAUAUAAAGAUUGAAAAUGUAUAUUUUAACUAAUUAAAGAUUAAAUAUAUUGAGUCACAUAUGAUAAAGAUUAAAAUUAAAAUUUACAAAUAAUUGAGAGACCGAAAAUGCUACUAGCUAUUCCAAUUAUUUUAAUUUCACCUAAAACAAAUAAAUUAAAAAGAAAAGGUAGGAAUUUAGGGGUGUUCACGGGUUGGUUUGGAUCGGUUGUUGGUCAAAAUCAAAACCAAACCAACUUAAUCGGUUUUAAAAUUAUCAAAACCAAACCAAACCAAAUAUAAUAUACAUUUAUCGGUUUGAUUAUUAUCGGUUUCGGUUUGGUUUGCUUCGGUUAUUCGGUUAUUAACCAUACACAAAAAUAAAAGAAACAAUUCAAUUAAAAUGUGAAAAAAGUGACAACAAUCCAUUCAAAACGAAAAAUAGUUAGAAUGACUUAAAUUACUNNNNNNNNNNNNNNNNNNNNNNNNNNNNNNNNNNNNNNNNNNNNNNNNNNNNNNNNNNNNNNNNNNNNNNNNNNNNNNNNNNNNNNNNNNNNNNNNNNNNNNNNNNNNNNNNNNNNNNNNNNNNNNNNNNNNNNNNNNNNNNNNNNNNNNNNNNNNNNNNNNNNNNNNNNNNNNNNNNNNNNNNNNNNNNNNNNNNNNNNNNNNNNNNNNNNNNNNNNNNNNNNNNNNNNNNNNNNNNNNNNNNNNNNNNNNNNNNNNNNNNNNNNNNNNNNNNNNNNNNNNNNNNNNNNNNNNNNNNNNNNNNNNNNNNNNNNNNNNNNNNNNNNNNNNNNNNNNNNNNNNNNNNNNNNNNNNNNNNNNNNNNNNNNNNNNNNNNNNNNNNNNNNNNNNNNNNNNNNNNNNNNNNNNNNNNNNNNNNNNNNNNNNNNNNNNNNNNNNNNNNNNNNNNNNNNNNNNNNNNNNNNNNNNNNNNNNNNNNNNNNNNNNNNNNNNNNNNNNNNNNNNNNNNNNNNNNNNNNNNNNNNNNNNNNNNNNNNNNNNNNNNNNNNNNNNNNNNNNNNNNNNNNNNNNNNNNNNNNNNNNNNNNNNNNNNNNNNNNNNNNNNNNNNNNNNNNNNNNNNNNNNNNNNNNNNNNNNNNNNNNNNNNNNNNNNNNNNNNNNNNNNNNNNNNNNNNNNNNNNNNNNNNNNNNNNNNNNNNNNNNNNNNNNNNNNNNNNNNNNNNNNNNNNNNNNNNNNNNNNNNNNNNNNNNNNNNNNNNNNNNNNNNNNNNNNNNNNNNNNNNNNNNNNNNNNNNNNNNNNNNNNNNNNNNNNNNNNNNNNNNNNNNNNNNNNNNNNNNNNNNNNNNNNNNNNNNNNNNNNNNNNNNNNNNNNNNNNNNNNNNNNNNNNNNNNNNNNNNNNNNNNNNNNNNNNNNNNNNNNNNNNNNNNNNNNNNNNNNNNNNNNNNNNNNNNNNNNNNNNNNNNNNNNNNNNNNNNNNNNNNNNNNNNNNNNNNNNNNNNNNNNNNNNNNNNNNNNNNNNNNNNNNNNNNNNNNNNNNNNNNNNNNNNNNNNNNNNNNNNNNNNNNNNNNNNNNNNNNNNNNNNNNNNNNNNNNNNNNNNNNNNNNNNNNNNNNNNNNNNNNNNNNNNNNNNNNNNNNNNNNNNNNNNNNNNNNNNNNNNNNNNNNNNNNNNNNNNNNNNNNNNNNNNNNNNNNNNNNNNNNNNNNNNNNNNNNNNNNNNNNNNNNNNNNNNNNNNNNNNNNNNNNNNNNNNNNNNNNNNNNNNNNNNNNNNNNNNAAUUGUUUAUAAAAACAAUAUAUUAAGUAUGUAUAUUAAUAAAAUAUAUGUAUAUAAUUCAUCGGUUCGGUUCGGUUAUUUCUUCGGUUUUUUUCGAAUAAAACCAUAACCAAACCAAAUACUAUCGGUUUUCAAAAAUCUAAAACCAAACCAAACCAAACCCAAGUAAAAUCGGUUUUAUUUUAUCGGUUUGGUUUGGUUUUUCGGUUUGGAUCGGUUUUUAUCCAAACCGUGAACACCCCUAGGUAGGAUUCCCACGUACGAUUAAAUAUUUGCACGACUCGUACGGUGGAUACAUAUUACAAAAAAAUUAAAUUAAAAAUAAAUAAUUAUACUAACUAAUUCCUUUAUAUUCUGUUUAAGCAAAACAUUGCAUUAUUGAUCCAACAACAUUAGUCCAGUAUUAAAAUAAAGUUGUUUUCAAUAAAUAUACAUGGCUAUUUUAGUUGGGGGUGGGUGGAUUUUGUUGGCAUAUAAUAUAAUGUGUGUAUAUCAAUGAAAUUUCGAUGUACUUGCAUGUUGGCUAAUAAUAAGUUUAUUCUAAGACGUUUUGUGUUCGAAUUUAAAAAAUGAAAAAAAUCUUUGAUAUGUUAGAAAGUGAUUUAUUUCUUUAAUGAUGAAUUUAAAUUAGUUGAAUCAAUAAACGUAAUUUCAUUUCAUCAAAUUCGAAUCAAAGAAAUUGAGUACUAAUAUGUAUAUCUAUGAAUAUUAUAAACAAGUUUUCUGCAAUUGCUAUCCUAAUGGAAUAACUACAAAAUAAAAUUCAAAAAUAUCGUAGAGUGCUAAACUUCCCUUUGAGAAAUGCUACGAUAAUGGACAUUUGUAAGAUGACUGAACUCCAUAUAAACAAUCAUUAACCUAACUAAGCUACAAGUUAAAUUAUAUGUACUUUUUAGAAAUUUGCUUCCUCUUUUUUAAGGUUAUAACCAAUUAAUGUUUGUAUAUAGAAAUGAGCUUUAAGUUUCACAAAUGAAAUCUUUGGAAGGUGGUGUUUAUGUAGUCUUACUGAUCUUAUAUUGUGAAGAUGGAAAAAUAAUUUUUAAUAAAUCCUCGAUUCAAGUAAAAUAUAAUAAAAACAAGUAUGAAUUGGAAAAAUGAAAGAUAUAGUAAUGAAGUGAUCAUGCUGAAAUAUAUUGGAGAAAAAAUUAUAGCAAUAAUACAUAUAAUAUAAUAUCAAAACAGAGAAAAAAAACAAUAAAUAACAUGUUUUAUGCAUUGUCAGCAUUACCGUUAUCAUAAAGGGUCAGCCCAGCCCCACUCGGCCCAAGUCUCGCGGGCGAAGGAAUUUGAUGGAUUAGGGCGGGAUGACCCUCAAUUUGGAAGGGUAUACAAAUGCUCAACCAAGUCAAUCCUAGAAGGAACGCGGGCUAGGGCAGGCUAGCCCUUCUUUCUUUUUUUCAUUUUUUUAUUUUCAAACUUAAAAUUUUAUAACAUCAAGAAAAUAAGAAGAUUUUCAAAUCAAAUAUGACAAACAAUGGUGUUGUUUCAAUAACACUAGCAAAAACUCUAAUGUGCUUAGCAUAUAUCUAGGAUACUAGAUACGCGAGAUACAUGUAUCUAGUGUGAUGCAUCCCAGAUACAUGAGCAAGAUAAGAGAGUGGUGAGUAAGAUGGAGGGAGGUGAGGGUGCGAAAUUUGUGUAUGUAUCCUAGAUACAUGCAAUUCCACUCGGAUAGAGUGUAUCUAGAAUAAAUUACACCUAAUUUUGAGUCCAUGUAACUGAAUGCACCAAAAUAUGAAAAGACUCGUAAUAUAACAACAUAGCAUGCAUCUAAGUAAUUAGCUGAUACACUAGUGGGAUUUCUGUAAGUUACCCUUAAAUAAAUAGUUUUCGUCCAUGGGCUGACCCUUACCAAGCCCCGAUCAAGUCUCAAGGGUCAAUGACUUAUAUGGACCAUAGCUUUAAAUGGGCUUGAAAAAUCCUUUCUCAACCCUACCCAAUAAUGAAUUGGGUUGGGCCGGCCGUGGGCUAAGCCCUUUUUGACAGCUCUAGUCAGCAUGUAUAAUUUUUCUCUUUUUACAGAAUUAUUAAAAAUUGAAAGAUAUAUAUAUGGGAAAUUUUCACUUAUAGCCACUCAAAAAUAACUUAAUUAUGCUCCAUAAUUAUAGUUUGUUAAUUACGAUUUAUAGCUACAUGUUAGAGGGAGGAGAGAGGCGAGCGAGAUUAGGAGAGGGAGGAGAGAGGCGAGCGAGAGAGAGCAGAGAGUGGAGAGACGAAUCAUAUAUGUAUAUCUAUCAGAUAAUUGUAUAUAUGUAACUGGUAUAUAUAUAUUGUAUAUCUGGCGAGCAAGAUCGGGAGAGGGAGGAGAGUGGCGAGAGAAAUUGGGAGAGGGAGGAGAGAGGUGAGCUAGAGAGGGCAGAGAGUGAAGAGAGGCUAAUUGUAUUUGUAUAUCUGCCAUAUAAUUGUAUAUGUAUGUAUAACUUGUAUCUGAUCAUUUAUUUUUGUAUAUGAACAAAAGAGGAGAGGGGCGAGAGAGAGGAGAUCCGAGAUAACGUAAUUAUAGCUAAAAUUAAGUUGCACACCAAAAUUAAUUCAAAUCAUAACUAUAUUAGCUAAUUAACUAGUAUAUAUUUACUUAUCUACAUAAUUUCCCCCAUAUAUAUCACAUUUAAUGUGAAUAAUAGUAAUAGUAAGGUCCUUCCUCCAACUCAAUAUUAAUUGAUGAUUGCCACAUAGCCACAUAUAAAUUUGGUUGGCUGACAUUUAAAUAAAUUAUAAUUUUUGCAACUCAUUUUCUCUUGCAACUUGUCAGAAAUUUAUUAAUCCUACAUUCUUCAUUGCACACAAAAUAAAUACACAACACGAGUUCAAUCGUUCAACAUCACAUGCAUAUGUAUUUUAUCUUUUUUAAUCUAUGUGUUUUAGUUUGAUUACAUUACUUUAUUUGAGUUGAGAGUGUUUAGAUAUAAUUCGUUUCUUUGUCUUUAUGAAAUUAAAGUAAAAUUUGCAUACAAAAUAUUUUUUUCAGAUUUUAUCUGUAUGAUUACAUUAUGUUGUUAUUAUUGCCGUCCCAAUUUGACUAGGUAUAAAGAUAACAAAAUUAAAAAGAUAAUCUUGAGAUCUUAAACAAGAUGUAAUUGUGUUUCACUUUUUGCUUGUUAAUUCUUCCCAAAAAUAAGGACCUUUAAUUUUUUACUAAAACAUAUAUUAAAAAUAGGUUUAUUCUUUCUUUCUUUUUUCUUUGAUUGGUUGCUCAUUAUGUGGAUGAAUUUAAGUCUGAAUGUUCAACUAAAAUUGCUCCUCAUUAUGAUUUUAUGUUCCUUUCACUAAUUGAAUGACUAUGAACAUGUCAAAUACUCAAUUAACACACAAAACAAAUAAUUUUCAAAUUCAAUACAAGUUUUUCAUGUUCUUUUCACCAAUUGAUUCACGGAACUCACCUUAAAUUUGGAUUAAUUUCUCACAAGUAUAUAUAUAUAAUCUAAAUAAAUAUUACGGAAGGUUGAGGAUGGAGGUUGGGGUGUGGUUAUGGGAAUGGGGACUAUGUGGGUAGAGUAAAAAUGAAGUGUUUUGAUAGGUAGAAACGACACCAUUAAUAUGAAAUGUUACUUGUUGAACUUGUUUAAUUUACUGUACUUCCACGUGAAAAGUCAUUUUUAGAAAAAUAUUUUCCUCCAUGUUGAAUACAUCCUAUAUAUCAAAUAUUUCUUUUUUGAUUUUUUUUUCCCUAUGUUUAUUGUACAGAUAUUAUCCAAAUCUAUAUAAAUGUCAUUAUCAAUCCAUUCCUCAAUCGAUGUAAGAUUCUAGCACAUUCUUCAAGUUCAGGCCUAACUGGAACGUGGGUCGGAAGCCCAAAAAGAGAUGAACCCCAUGGCUUUGAUACAAUAUAAUAAAGAUGUGACAACUGAACCAACUCAAUACCGUCCAAAAGCUAGUUCUAGCGGGAAUGAUUGACCAAGUCCAUAUAUAAGCGUCAUCACUCAUCACCAUUCACCAAUCCAUUUUCCAAUCUAUAUGAAAAUCUAAUAUUUUUAAUCUCUCAAUGAAAAUUUUAACUUCAUCACUGUCUCGACCAUCAAUGUCUCAUCAAAUUAUUAGUGUGGGUAUGUUGACAAGCUGGACUCACAAAAAAAAAAAAAAAAAACCAACAACUGACCAAGAAGAUGACUUUCAAACCAUUUUUUUUUUUGUAAUAAAAGUUGUACAUAUAUAGGACCAAAAAUAGAUUCUUUUUACAACCUAUAAGACACUAAGAAAGGGUAUCCUACUUACCACAUAAAUAAAGGUAUCUUCAUUAUUAUCUGAUUACUUACCCACAAACAUGAAUAUAUAUAUUAAAUCGAUAUUUUAUUUGGUAAAGUAUUUUUUUAUAAUAUUAUCUAAAAUCCUUGUCUUUAUUUUUUCCACUUUAUAAUAAUUUUACCAAAAUAAAUAAAAAUAAAUAAAUAUAUAUAUAUAUAUAUAUAUAUACACACAGACACACUUCCUUUAAACUUUCUGAAUUUUAUUUAUAUUCUAAAUCUAUAUGAUAAUUAUUGCAAAAAUACCAUACUAUUAUAAGUGAGAAAAAAGGAGUACAUAUUAUAUUAAUUAAUUAUCAUGCAAGGUUUAUGGAUGUUAUAAUAUUUGUAUGUUAUUUAGAGGAUUUACUACUAAGUAAAAAAAAAUGUUAUAAAAAAAAUAUCACCGGCCUAAUGUUUUUUUCCAUCCAUUGUCCUAUAACUACUUCGAGAUCGAGUAAAAUUUGGAUUCGCAAUGAAAAUUUCACUUUAACAAUAAAACUUUCCCUACCAAAAGCUACUAUUUUACAUAGCUCGAAUAUCGAAAUAUCUGAUAAAAGAUAAUUAAAAAGAUUGUUUCAUUAUAAUCUUUAAUUUGAUGGUCAUCAACCUAAUUCUUAAAUAUAUAACUUGAAUGAUCAUUUAUUCAAGGAUUAAACCACAAACUAAAAGAGUGUUAAAAUUUAUUUUAAUUAACAGUUAUAUGUGACACUUUAUAUCUAAUUAAUGAGAUAAUUAAUUUAUGUAAAAUUGGCUUAAAUGGAAACGAUUUCUCUCUUAAAACACCAAUAACUAUUUGUUAAUUGAAAUUCACACCUAAAACGUAUCCAUCAUAUAUUAUAACUUAUGACUUAUUCAAAAGCUUAGUGUAUAUUAAUCAUCAUAAAUGCUAUAAUUAAUAUUAUUAUUAUAACGUCUUUGCUUUUCUAUGUUUGACAGGUGACCUUCUAGCUACUCAAAUUGACUACCACAAUAGGCACAAAUUAAUCAUUAAUAGACCGUUACGAAUGGAAAAAACAGAGAAAAAAAAUCAAUAAAGUUUCCAAAAAAAAAAGAAAAGAUAAUGAUUAAUUCCAAAACAUAUAGUUUCUUCUUAUAGGUUCUUUUAAUUAUUUUUUUCCAAAAAGUUAUCUUUCACUUGGCCAACAAGAAUAAUACAAAUAUAAAAGCCAAAGAUAAAAAUGGAUAUAAUUCAUUCACCCUUAAUCAAAGAUUUGAGAUUCGAGUUAUCAUAUUAUUAAUUAAAAAAUAUUUUUACGAGGGGAAAAAUAAACAUAUAACAGUUGAAAAUAAUAAAUUUCUGACUGAUUUGUGGUUAUUGGAAAAAAUAGUGUGCUGGUAUGUCGAAUUGCUUUUGUCGGAAAAGACUUGAUUUUAUGUAGUGCGAGAAUGAAAAAAAGUCCUAUAUUAAAUCACUUUUUUCCUUUAACAAACUUUAUUUGACAUGAAUAUAGAUUAAUCAGGACUUCAAUGCAAAUAAAAGACUUGAUGAUAAACAAGAAUAAUAUAAGUAAAAUGAAAACUUUUAAGAAAAGAAAAGGUUUAAGAGAACUAUUUUUAAAAAAAAAAAAUUUUACUACCACAAUGCUCAUCAUUUAGACCAAAAAAUAAUAAUAUUUGAACUACAAAGAAGCUAAGAACCCUCUUUUCUUGAUGAAAGGAGUGAUCGUCCUAAGGUGAUGUGCCUAAAAUGAUAUAUUUUAAGUCAGCUUUCAAAUGAUAUGUGAAAAACUAUAUAUAUUUUUUACGUAUUCAUUUUUAAGUUAUAUAUAAAAAGAAAUAUAUUUUACAUAUUUAUUUCAAGUGAUAUGUGAAAAACGAUAUAUUUUAUACGGCUCUUCACCGUGAUAUGUAAAAAACGAUAUAUUUUACAUGUCCGCUUUCAGAAUGCCACGUGCCAUGUGUCCCAUCCCCAUCCCCACCCCCACCAAAAAAGAAGCAACGUGUAGCCCUAUCCACCAUACCAACCAAAGGUUCAAUGUCAUAAUUAAUUUGUAGAAGGAAAUUAAAGAGUUGGCCGUUUGUUGGGUUAAAAUUCAAGCAUUAUACAUCUCUUUAAGCAAAACUAAUGUCCCACCUUCAACUUCUAACCGAAAAAAGAAAAUUCCUCAAUAUAUAUAUUAAUUUGAUGGGUCGUAACUGAUAAAAUUUGUUGUUAUGUGUUCAUGAGAUUAUAGAUUUGAGCGAGUGGAAAUAAUCUCUUGCAGAUAUAUAGAGUAAGAUCGUGUACAAUAAACUUUUAUAGUUCAACCCUUCUCCGAGUCUCACUCAUAGCGAGAAUUUAAUGCAAUGAACCGUUUUUUUAUUAGUUUGACUGGGGCAAGUUUAGCAAUGUAAACAGAACUUUUGAAUUUUAUUAAUUCAAAAUUAAAUGUAUAACAUAACAAAAUUAUCUUUCUAAUAUUGUGAUCUUUAACAUGAAUAGAUAAUGUUAUUAACGAUAAAAUGAAAAUGUAGGAUUUACAAAUUUAUUAAACAUAAAAAAUGACAUUUUCUUUCCAAAAAAAUUACUUAAAAGAAAAAAGCUAAUUAAGACAUGUAAUAAAUUAAAACAAAAGAAAUAAUAUAAAAACAAGAGUUGCCCUUUUUUGGAUUAUAGGAUCAACCACAUACAUCUCUUCAAGCAAACUAAUGUCCCACCUUCAAUUUCAUAACACAAAGAAAAAAACUUUGAAAAAGUCAAAAAAAAAAAAACAUAAGCAAUAUAAUUUCGAUUUCUUUUAUUUCUCAUCUGCUAUCUGAUAUCCAUCUUAUAGUCGUGUCAGAUAAAGCGCUCCAUACCAAAAACUCCUGGAAACUUGACUUUGUAUGUCAAUGAAGGUAGUCAUGGAACUCCUAGUCCCAAAAAAAAAAACUUAGGAAAUAAAAAAUUCACUAAUUCAUUACACUUUUUUUUUUAAUUUUUCAUCUAACAUAAACAUGAUAUGGAGAUGGAGAUUCAAGAGAUGCUAUCUUUUUUUGUUGCUUUAAAUCUUUAUAAAACUUCUUAAUGAAUUCUUCAGCAUCUUUAUCAACUUGUGAAUUAUAAUUUUCCUCUGAAUCUUUUAUUGGAAAUGGUGAAUCAGUAACUCUUAAUUUUCUCACAUUAUUUGGACUUUUUCCAAAUCCAAGUAAUGCUAAAGGUGAAGCAACUGCAAUAGAAGUUGUACCACCAGCUUCAUAACUUGUACUUGUAGUAUUUAAAAUUUCAAAUACUUUUUGUACAACAUCAAUUUCCCCUGAUUUAUACGUACGAUUUCGCCUACGUUUAUUAUUGGCGAAAUACAGGGGAAAUUUAGGACUAUUACUGCAGCUAAACUCGUAUUCACGACGUGUGAUAAAUGACAUUGCUACGUCGUUGUUGUUGUUUGAUUUGCACGUAAAUGAAGACGAUGAAUAGUGUGGAGGAUGUAACAUAAGGUUGCUUAUAGCUUUACCAACGAUUUUACCUCUUUUUAACAUGUCUUGAAGGGUAAUUUGCAUGAGUUUGCUCUUUAACAUGCCUUUCCUCAACAUGUAGAACAUAAUUCUCACUAUAUUCCAUAGUUUUUUCCCCGCGAUUUGAGGUGCACUUGGCUCGAUUUCCAUGUUGUUAUAUGUAAAUUUGUCUGACUGUGAAAUCGACUGGUUAAGUGUGCAAAAAAAGAUUAUGUUUGUGAAAAUAAUAAUAUAAGUCUGUCUGACUGUGAAAUCGAACGAUCUCUAAGAGAGAGGGAGAGAGAAAGAGAAGAGGAAGAGAGAUGUGUUUGUUUGGUUGUGAAGAGAGAAAAAGGAUUAAAGAGGUAUAUAUAUAGGAUUGUAAAAUGAAGGUGAGAGGUUACAAUAAAUAUUUUUUUUUAAAUAAUAUUGAUUUUUUUUUUGGGAGGAAAAAAAACAAAUUAUUAUUGCACUCUCUUUCAAUGAUAGUGAGUGGGUACAAUAAUAUUUUAUUUUAUUAUUUUAAAUAAAAGGUUGUAAAGUGAUUAAAUUAAAUCAGUCCAAGAUUGUGGCAAGUUCUCCAGAAUUUUGGGGUAUCUUCCUACCCUCUUUCAUCUCUAUUUUGCGAAACAUAUAAAAAAAUAGUUGAGUAAUAGUACUUUUGAUCCCUCAAAUAUAUAUAUUGGUCACUUCAUGUUUAAAAUAUGUUGAACAAAUCAGUUCAAGUGUAUCUCACAUGAAUUGUCAUAUAUGAUGCUAAAAAGAGAAGGACGUAUGUCUCUAAUUGUUCAACUUUAUAUAAGUUUGAGUGUUUAUUUGUGCACACUCAAAAUUUAAGGGCAUAAAUAUCAAGUAAAACCAAAUUAAAAAAUACAUUUAUAUAUUAUGUCUUGAUUAUUUAUAGAAUUAUAUAAUUACUAUCAAAUAGCAAAUUACUGUACAAACUUAACAUAUAAGACAUGAGUAAAUAAGUUGUGAAACGGUUAACCGUUAUAGUAAAAUUGUGAAUAUUCAUAAGCAAAAAAUCAAAAAAGUGAGCACAAUGCAAUUAAAUGAAAGGUUUGAUGUGCUUGAAAUGAAAAAGGUUCGAUGUUUUUAGUCAUAUAUUAUAGAGAAAUUCUGAAUAUUCAUAAGCAAAGAAACUAAAAAUGCACAGUACAAUUAAUUGCGAGGUUUGACAUUUAUUAUAAGGACUAAAAUUAUAAUUACUAAUAAUGAUUGAAGGAUCAAAAGUGUUAUUAUCCAAAAAAAAUUUAUUAGAAUGCAAAUAAUGUUAUAUUUUUUCUCUCUCUUUGAUUUUCUUCGCUUUAUGUAUGCCAUAAAGAAAGUAUUUUAAUUUUUUGUGCAAAAUGUUCUUUAACGAAAAGGACUUUGCCUAGUUGAUUUUAGAGAAAUAAAAAGAUGUGACAAAAGGAUGGGAAAACACACACUUAAUAAUCCAGAUGGUCGUUUACAUUAAAAUCAUAAAUUUAUGAUCGGAGUCGAUAUAAAAGGGUGUGAACUUAAUAAUUCUGAUUUCGAUCAUGUAUAUGAGUUACAAAAUCAACUAAAUAAAUACUAACGAUAAAUUUCAUACAUGUAAUGAUUGUGGCUGAAUUCAGAAUUCUAUCAAAUUCAUAAUGUGUAAAUCCUAAAUUUACUUUUAUGCGUGACGUAUUUGACAUAUACACUUUAUUUUUCACUAAAAAUGGCCAAAUAUCACAUAUUCUCACCUUAUUUGAUCAUUUAAUUAUGGAAACUUAUUAUAAUUUGUUAUAAUUAUUUAGUGUGAAUAAUUUUACCCAUAUAUAGAACAACACAAUUAUGGACACUUUUUUUUUGCCUGCCUAAUUGGAGAACUCAUUAUUUAUGAGUGAAAUUGUGGUGGAAACUUCUUUAAUUGUUUUUUUUUUUGUAACAUUAAUUAUUUGGAAGUUGUUUAAUAUAAUAUUACUAGAAGCUGUCUUCCAGCUUCAAGAAUAGUUUAAAUAAUGCCUAAAAAAAUAGACGAAGCUUUGAUUUCAAUGAUUGAAGUAAGUAAUUAAAUCAAAUAUAUUUUUCUCGAAAUUGUGCAAAUUACUUUUUUUUAAUGAGGGACCAUGAAAGAAAGAAAUAACUUUUUUUUUCUCGAUCUUAUUUUAUAUGACUUUUUUAUAUUUAAAAGUAAAUUAAUUUUAAACUUGUUCUAAUGUCAUACUUUUAUAAACAGAUAAAUGUCAUGGCAUUUGCAAGACAAUAAUUUUAUUUUAUUUUAAAAUAUAAUAUUGAGUCAAACAUUAUCAUAUAAGCUGGAUUGGAGGAGAAAUCAAACCGAAACUUGCAUCUAGCUAUAAUACGUGAAUUCAAAUUAAAUCGAACCCCAAUAGAAAUUUUAACAUUAGGUGGAAAACAAUAAAAAAAAUCAAGAUUUUUUUUAAAAAAGAAAUGUUCGAAUCACAUCAUAGUACGAAUGUCUUCAAGUUUUAUGUUGUUUGGUGGUGUAAAUGUUUAUUUGUCAGUUGGUGUUAAAAGAAGCAUUUCAUGUAGGUCAUAUUAAAAAAAGUAGUUGCAAUAAUUAAUUAAUGUAACGUGAUAAUUAAGUUGUGUAAAGUACUUUUCAUUUUUAAAUACACAAUUUAAUUACUAAAAUUAUAUUUGGUAUUGACUCUUAUUUUUUAAAUUUAAAAAGAAGAAGAAGAAGUGAGAACUAUGUUUUAGUAAAAAUAUAAAAUCACUAACAACCUUAACCAGAGGUCUCGACCUCGAGUUGUGUAUGAAGUCGCUUUGUUAGGGAUUAUUUUAUUCCUCAAUGUGAAAUUUCUCGAUGCAAAUUCCAAUUUAAUUGAACGUGGAUAUUGGAGUUUUAAAAAAGAGCACCUUAAUGUUCUCCAAAAGUUAAACCAUGUAUAUUCUUCUAUAUUAUCCACUUUUUAAUUUAUCAAGUGCCUAAAUGAAAUAAUAAAAUAUUCAAAUAAUUGUUUGGUGUUGUAGAAUUAAAAAGAUUUAUAGGUUUUUAUUCAAUUGUUGAUCAUCUUAAUGAGAAAAAAAUAAUAUAAUAAUAACAUGCUUAAUAAUUAAUAUAAUUCUACAAAAUAAAGUCUGAGAGAGUGAUGAUAUAUUGUCUUACUUCUGCCUUACGAUGAUAAAAAUGUUGUAUAUCUUAAUAUAAUUCACUUUACUUAGAACUAGUUUAGAUAUUUUUAAAAAAAAAUAAUAAACAAUUCAAAUAUAUAAAUUAAAUUGCCUAUUUUUAUUUGAAUAUUCACCAAUAUGUACCAUCAGUAAUAAAACUACUUUAAUUCACAGCAAAAACCAAUUAAAUUUAGCCUGAAGUCAAAGACGGCAAAGAAUCUAGAAAUUUAAUAGGGAAAAGAUUUGGAAAAAAUUUGAUUUAAUACACUGACUCUUUUAUUUGCCAAUAAUUCUUUUUUAGAUAUUCAAAUUUAAAAUAUUCAUAUUAGAUAAUUUUGAUUAUUUUAUUAAAAAAAAGGGAAAAUCGUAUAUAAUAGCAAAUUAUUAAUUCAAAUUAAAUGCUAUAAAUAUAGUUUGAUUUAAUUGUACCUCAUAGCAAACUGUUGCUAUUUCACCUCUCUCCUGGUGAAUCUCGCUUGCCACUCUCGUUCUCUCCCUCGCCUCUCUCGUUUUUAUACAAACGCAAGUGUAUAAAGUGCGUUUGUGUUUGUAUAAGGCGAGAGAAAACUGUAUAUAUACAUAUUUUUUCGUUCCCCUCUCUCCCCUCUCCCAGAUCUCGCUCGCCACUCUCCCAGAUCUCGCUCUCUCACUCACCUCUCUCACUUAAUACAAAAAAUGCAAAUUGUAUAAAAAUGUGUUUGUGUUUGUAUAAAACGAGAGAAAAUUGUAUAUAUACAUAUAUUUUCGUUCCCCUCUCUCCCCUCUCCAUGAUCUCGCUCUCUCACUCGCCUCUCUCACUUUAUACAAAAAACGCAAAUUGUAUAAAAUGCGUUUGUGUUUGUAUAAAGCGAGAGAAAAUUGUAUAUAUACAUAUAUUUUCGUUCCCCUCUCUCCCCUCUCCCAGAUCUCGCUCGCUCACUCGCCUCUCUCACUUUAUACAAAAAACGCAAAUUGUAUAAAAUGCGUUUGUGUUUGUAUAAAGCGAGAGAAAAUUGUAUAUAUACAUAUAUUUUCGUUCCCCUCUCUCCCCUCUCCCAGAUCUCGCUCGCCACUCUCCAAGAUCUCGCUCUCUCACUCGUCUCUCUCACUUUAUACAAUUGAUCUUUUUGUAUAUGUAUACCAAAGAAGAUUAUACAACUGCUUUCUUUUGUAGAUGUUGCGUAUUCUCAAAUAUUUAUUACGAAUAGAAAUAAUUCAAUAUUAAGGAGCAAAUAAGGAAAAAGGAAUGAUAUAAUUGGCUGCGUUUUUUCACUGUGGUUUCUUUUUCUUUAUUACUUUUGCUCUUUUCUUUUUGGUCUGAUUUGACACUUUGCUGGAAAAUACAAAUGGGUCAAAUCAAAAUAAAUAAAAAAAUAAAAAUUAGAGUUUAAAUAACAAAUUAAAAAUACAAGAAUCUGAAAAUUUUGCUUUAGUGGAUAGACCAAACGUAGUAAAAUAUUCUCCAGUAAUUGACUAAAUGUACAUGGUCAAAAUUAUUUUGAUAUAUUUAUAGGAAGAAAUAUUAUUUUUUGUUCGUGUUGAACAUCUUUGACUUUUUUUCAUAUCUAUUUAUUUAUAUUUUAAACCCGCUCAAUAAAAUUUUUGACUCUGUCACUACUAGUUGUCUUACGUAUAUUAUGGGCUAUAUAAUGUUCAAAUAAUAUUUUUUUUGUAUAAAUAAUUAAUGAGUGUUGAAUUCAUUAACUUCUUCGAAUAUUUAUUUUUUCAUAUUUUAGUGAAAAUUCUGACUCCAUCUAAUAGUAUCAGGUCAACAAAACCAAGCAAAAGUUUUCUUCUUCUAUUAAUUUACUUAAUGAACAUAUCUUCUAGUUGUCUUAAAGGAUAUUUUAAUUAGCUCACUAAGCUCCAAAGACUCAGAAACAAUGUGUCUUUGUUGUUGCAUUAGAUUCAAUUAAUUAAUAAACUCAGCUCAAUAUCUAGAUAAUUGAGUGGUUAAUUUAUUAAAUUAAUUAAUCAUUAAAGUACUAAAAGUACCUAUACAUUAAUCAAUUGUACAAUUAUUAGAGCAUUUUAAAAUUAAAUUGAUAGGAUCACUUUCCUCAUGAAUGUUAAGAAAUUAAAGAAAGACACUUGAUGUUAACAUCCCAAUAAUUCAUGUUGGAGACUUAGUGAGGACCUAAGUAUAUAAUGCGGUUGGAUAGUUCAGAUUGCUUCAUUCUUUAAUUAGAAUCACGAAUUCGAGUUCUGAAAAUGAAAAAAAUUAUGUUGGGAACGCUCCCUUAAGAAUAAGUUUCAUAAUACGCAAAUUCAAAUUUAAUCGGAUUCUAUAUGAAUACCGAGCGGCGAGCACUAGAUUAAAAAAACAUUUUAAAAAGCAUACUAGGUUUUGUUAUUCAACCUAACAAAUAUUCAUUUAAUUGGUAAUACUAAAAUAGUGUCAUUACCUAACAUAUAUUUAUAACAAUUUUUUUUUAUUAUUUGGUAAUACUAAAUUAGUAUCAUCAACCUAACAUAUAUUUAUUUUUGGUGAUACUAGAAUAUAGAUACUACUACAUCAUCAGGGUGAAGCUGCAAAAAAAUAUUUAUACAAUCAAUGUUGGGAUAUAUAUAUAUAUAUAUAUAUACUAGAUGUGGUGUGCCCGUGCGCUUGUGGUCGACAUUAUUGUUUGUUUAUGCUAUUUAAUUUGACAAAAUAUAAGGAGAAUAUAAAGAUGCAACAAAGAAAUUUUAGUAAGCUAUAAAGUAAGCAAGAAUGACCUUUACCAAUAAUCAUUCAAGAAUGUGUUAAAAGAAGCUGACUUAGGAGAUUAAUUUGAAAGUUAAAGAGCUGCUUAACUCUUCUCCCAUAAAGAAAAAUAAUAGAAAUCAACCAACCUAUUUGUGUAUUAGAAAAACAAGGAACCAAAGAAGCAUCUGGAGCAGCUAACUCCACAAAUUCCAGGACACUUUGUAUCUGCAAUUUACAAAGUAGGAGUUGAAUAUAUCAAUUGUGUAAUGACACCACAGCACACCCACACACACCCACACACUGUGUUAUCAACAUCAAUUAAUUUUGGGCUGAUGUAAAAUUUGUUCAACUAUCUAGCAUUCUUUUUGUCCUCCGCAUCCACAUUUGCCUCAUUAGAUAAAAUAUUUAUUGACAUGGUUUAAAGUUUUAAGUGGGAUAUAAUGGAAGUAUAUACUAUUAAUUAUUAUUCAUCUCUAAGUGGGAUAUAAUUGAAAUAUAUACUAUUAAUCAUCUCUAAUUAGUGGGAUAUUGUUCCCUUUCAUUACUUGUUAAAUAAAUUUUUCUUUUUUAAAUAUUCACUUUAGCUAACUAGAAGAUUAGUUUUUAUCACAAAAUUUACCCCUAUUAUUAAUUAAUAUUUCCUAAACUCAAUAGAGUUUUAGUGGUCAAAUUUAAAAUUUUAAAGUAACAUUGAUAAUGAUAAAUUAGUAAAAUAAUCACUAUAUUAAUAUUAUUUAAGGGAAAGUAUAUAUUAACUAUUGUGCCUUAUAAUACAUUUUAAGAUGUUUUCCAACAUGAAGAUUCGAUAAAGAAAAAGAUUAAAAAGAUUUAUAUACUUGAAUUAACGUUGAAAAUUAAGCAAGUUGACACUUAUACUUCGAACCUCAUUACAUAAAGUUUACAACCAACAACAACUCAAUGUAUUUCUGCAAGUGGAGUUCGAGAAAAAUAUUGUGUAUUAGCGUUAUCCACACCUUGUAAAGAUGAAAAUAUUGUUUACGACAAAUUUUCAGCCGAAAAAAGAGCUAUUAAUUAUAAAGAUAUUUAGGGAGCUGAAUUAUAUUAUUGGUGGUCAAGGCCAAUGGACAUGUCAUUUUCAGUAAAUUUUCUUUGUUCUCCCAAAGUUCUUGUUAAACCUAUUCUCUCUUUAAUGCUUCAACAACUUGUUUUCAUAAACUAGGCCACAAAUUAAAUCCCCUAUAUAAUUUCCCAAUUUCAUUGAACCUCUAAAUUUAAAGUUUCAAACAAAUAAUACAACUUUGAUGUUGAUCUCUCUAAUUAUUGGGUGGUGGAAUGCAUGGAUGAAUCAGAGCUCUUGGUUCGAGUUUUUGGAAUAGAGAAACUUUGAAUAGAAAAUGUUUCCCUUUUAACAAGUGCUAUACGACAUGAAUCAUAAUUAAUCGAACUAGUGGAGUUAGAAGACCAUUAUUAGUACCCCAAGAUACUCUAUAAAUUGUUGUUCAAUGUGCAAACGUUACAUACCUACAAAAAAGAAUUAUUUGUGGUCAUAUUUGCUAGUCGUUUGACCCAUGGUCCGGCAUAACAUGGACGGGAUCUUCCCGUCCAUGCUAUGUCCUCGAGCUUUCAAAGCUUGAAAUCUUAUCAACGAUCAUCGAUAAGAUCUUUAUAAACUUUCAAUCCAUAUUUUUGCUUUUAUAUUAGUGUUCAUCUUCUCACCUAGCUACAAGUGUACCAUCUUCAAUUCAAAUCCAUUAAUAAGCCCAACUUAGGCAUUGAAUUUGUGUCAUUUGUGGCCCAAUUUAGUGAAGUGCUAAAUAUGAGCCUUUUCAUAUAGAGCCCAACUAAGAAAUCUUUUGAUGCUUUGCUUAGUAGAGUUAUAACUUCAUACACAUCAAGCAAUGAAUAUUUUACUUUAUUAUUAACAAAUAAGGUUAAAUUGCUUGGUCUGGUAUAAAUAUUUGGUGCGGAAAACAUAUAUUAGGUGCAACCCUAGUGAAAAGUUCAUCACUAUUUUCCAUAUUUCAAGGAGAAGACUUUGUAUGGUCAUUCUGUCCAAAUUGUAACUGAUUAUAGAAGAUCAUUUUCCCUUUAACAGUUAUAUGUAAUCUAGCAAAACACUAUGAAGGUCAUAUAUAGUGGGAUGGUCAAGGGGUAGGCAUGGGUGAGCAGGAGACAGUGAAAUUGAAAUAUCACUUAUAAAACUUAUUUUUCUACUUACAGAAAAUUAUUUUCCUCAUUAAAAUAUAUUUUUCAAAACAUUUCGACAAUCAAAACAUUAAAAAAAGAAGUUCCUUCACUAUAAGGUUCAGGAAGUGUGAGCCAACUGCUUUAUCAUGUUAUAAUUGAGCCGAUUUGCAUUUUAAAUAUCACCUACCUAAGCACUUCUAUUUAUAUAUAACAAUUUUUUAGGCUUAGUUGAAAAUUUCUUGCUCUAGCUCCCAUUUGGUCAUAGAUUUUAAAGUGAAAACUUAAAAAAAUUUAGUUUAUAAAAUUGUCCUUUUUGACAAGUAUUUUAUUUAGAAAAAAAUUGAUGUUUUCUGAGUACCAGUGUCAAAUUUGAAAAUAUUUGAAGAACAAAUUUGAUCAAAUUUCAUAGUCAAAAGAAUAUUUGAAGAUGGAUUUUCAAAUAUUCAGUUAUUUGGCAUUGUUAAUCAGACAACUACAAAAAACAAAUUAGAAUCACGCAGUUGGUGUGCUUUCUAUUCAAUAACAACAUAUGGUCUUGGAAAGAACCUUUCAUUCAAUGUUCCAAUCUAUAUAAAACGUAGUUAGCAGAGGUCAAUUUAUCUAGCAUUUCUUUGCAUAAAGAAUUACUUAUGCAUAAACUCUCUCUCAUAAUUCAACUUCAAGACAACCAAAGGCACUAUACCUUAGUAUCUCUUGAACUUCCAAUCUUAAAUAAAACAAUAGUUAGCAGAGGUCAGUUUGUCUGGUAUUCCCUCGUGUAAGGAACUACUUUUGCAUCGGCUUUCUCUCAUUAGAUAAUUAUCGAGGCAAAAGCAGCUCUCUCCGAAUUCCAGAAAAUAUUCGUGAUGUGAACUACACGAAGAAUGAAUUGAAUGAUGAGCUUAACACCAAUCCGCACCUGGAAGUAACAUCAGGUUUGGAUAGUGAAAGACUCAUAGGCGAUUUUAGGAUUUAAAUUUUUAAGCACUCAUGUGUCCAAAAUAUAGUAUUUUUUCGGAAAUUUUCAUGAUUGUUCAGAUAUAUAUCUAUCUAUGUGUCGAAAAUGCUGUGUUCAGUUGAACUCGUUUACAUAAAAUUUAGUUAAUGAAGGCCAUACCUUCCAUGAUAACGGAAUUCCACAUAUUCGUGAUGUUAACUACAGGUGGAAUGGGUUGAAUGAUGAACUUAGGGCCAAUUCUCGCCUGGAAGUAACAUCACGUUUAGAUGGUGAAAAACUGAGAGAGAUCCAAGAUUUAAAAAAAUAUAUAUAUAGUUAAUACUCCGUGUCGAAAAUGUUGUGUUCAAUUGAAACUUGAACUGGUUUAUGUGUUCGAUCAAACCCAAUAAUUUUGAUUCAAAUCAUAUAUUUGUCUUAUGUGAGAUCCAUUGAAUAUGUACACAUUAUUAUUUUAUUAAUAUAGAACCCAAUAACUUUAAAGAACUCAAAUCUGAGGAUGAGUUGAAACAAGAGCAGGCAUACUACUACUUUAUGAGGAAACCAAUUUAAGUUAAUGACAUGUGGGCAAAUUAUAGCAGAAACUGAUACUGAAACUGGUAGAAUUUAUCAAGGCUGGCUACACUCCAUCAGUAUCAAUUAAAUGUGCAAAGAGAGUUCCUUUGCAGCAAAAGAUUCAGAGGCAAGGACCCUACACCACAAAACAAAAACGCAAAAACUUCUCAGAAAUUCCUCAUAUCCAAACGAAAAAUAUUCAUAUCAAACUGGGUCAAAAUCACGCAACUUAAUUACGCGAUGGCUAUUAUCAUCUUCCAAAUCUAAGAAAACCACUGUUUUCAAGGCAGAAAAGACUUAAAGCAAUAAUUAAAGAGCUGAUAAUAUCGCCUGAAGUAGGCAUGACUUCAACACUUUAAAGCUCAAGUUGCAAGAACAGAAAUACACUACGACAGUAUAAAGAUUGAGAGUAGUUCACUUAUGCAGCAAAGAUGAACACAUAAAGGCCAGCGACAUUGGCAGUGGAAGACAAUUCAACGCCCUUUGUCGAAAGCAAUACGAGUUCUGCUUGAUGUUUCAUAACCAUCUCGUGUGGAGCCAGCACUAGCCUUCAUGGUGCCUCCACUACCAACAUUUGACAUGGCUUUCUUUCCCUUCUUAACCUCUGUCAAGAACUGGUCAAGACCAAAUGGAUCAGCUUCCUCAACUUCCUUAACUUCCUUUUCAAAUGGCACAGGCCCAUCUCUGGUACUAGUCCUCUCAGAUGUUCCAGAAAAUGCCUUGUCGGGCUUAAAGCGCUCUGUCUUCAUGAUCUUAUCCAGCUGCUCAUCUGCACCUCCAUACAUUUCAGAAUCAGUAUCUUUCUUCGGUCUGUAUAGAGUAGAAAGAGUAGGCUGAGCGGUAAAUAGUCCCUUGUCAUAGACGUUGUAGGAAUCAUCCACUGCAAAUCCAGAAUCCAUCCCUUUCUCCUGGUUGAACAAUCUCUGAUCAUACAUGACCUCUCCUCUUGAUGUGCCAGUAGAAGCCAUUCCAAGAGCCACUUUUUCGCUCACAUCACGGUCUCUAUCUCUGGUGAUCUUACUCUUCUUACCCAUUGCAGCAUCUUUUGCCUCCAAUCUCCUCUCCCUCUCCCUCUCACGGCGCCGCUCCUCACGUAUCUUCUCUCUAUUCAAUCUUUCUUCCCUUUCCCCCCUUGAUUCUUUGGGCAAAUCUCUUGCUCGCUCAUAAUCCUCAUUCAUAUCAUCAACAUUCCUGGAGUCCCUCUCAGAAGGUACAUGUGCAGCAGCCGAAGGUACCCCAACCAAUCUAUCAGAUCUUGCCUUGCGGGCCAACUCCCGAAGUUCUAUCUCUUUUUUCUCCUUUUCUUUCAUCAUCAUCUCUUUCUGAACCUUUGACCGCAUUGCAACUGCUUCUCUGGCUUUCUGUUCUGCAACAUACAGAGCCUCUGAUAGUUUUGCAAAAUUAUCAUUGAUCUGAACAUCUUGAAGUCCCCUGCCAUCAGCAGCAAGACGCUUAUCAAGUGGGAUUGUGUAACCUUUGGGGUUCUUCCAGUUUGAUAUACAAGGUGGAAUCUUCCAGUCCUGCUGGUCCUUCACUGUAACUGGACGGGGAGGAGAAUGCAUAACAGGCACAGGUGGAGAACCAGAGGCCCUAGGGACCCUCUUGUGUUUGAACUUCGGUGGAUCCAGAGGGUCCACGGGCAUCUCUACCAUCCUAAUAAUCCUCUCCUUUGCACCUGAGUUAAAAGCUGCCGCUUGCUGGGAAGGCUUGUACUUAAUAAACUUGGACUCUUGAGAUUGUGUGGGAACAUUUUUGGGCUGUGCAGCACUCAACCGCACAUUUACAAUCUUCUCAAGUGCUGCUUUAGUUUCCUCCAUUGUCUCAUCGAUUACUUUCUGCUUCUCAUCCUGAUCCAUCUCUUCGUCACUCUCGUCCUCCUUCACAAACUUGGGGAUAAGAUCUUUAUGCUGAGAAUAAACAAUUUUCUUUGCAUUCUCACCCUGCCUCACAAUUGCAUCAUAUCGCACUUCACCAUGCUCAUCCACAGUAACGGGCAAAUUCUUUCCCCCGGCUUUCCAGUCUUUCUUUCUGCCCAUAUCAAGUGGGUAUUGUGCAUAAUGGAUUUCAGGGAACGCUCCUCCAUCCCCAAAGUCCUCAAGCUUGGAUGGCCUAAAUCCAGCCCGUUUUAGAUAAGGGGGUACCGGAUUUGCCUUGAUUACUGCAGAUUUCUCCGCCUCAGUUGCACUGUACCUAUUCUUGAACCACGGGUCACUUGUAUGGUCAUAGACUGUGCUGGUAGUGGACUUUGCUGUUGGAAGAAGCUCCUUGAGAGAUGCCAUGCUGAAAAUCUCAGAUUUAAAGUUCCUACAGCCACUGCAUACACAGAGAAGACAGGUACAGAUCAAUAUAUCAGUCUCUCAACCAUGUCUAAAUAGACCUUUUAAAUAUGCUGCUGAUAAACAUAACCAGCUAAAUGCAAAGAUCAGUAUCAACCAAAUAAAAAAGGAUUAAUUACUUAAUUAACCUGCUCUAACAUAUUAACCUAAGGUCAGCACCAGUGUUGAUAGAUCAAUUGGAAUAUAGACUUUUUGUCAAUCAAUUAGUUGAUUGUUAAAGCUCAAAUUAGUUGUUCGAAAUAAUCAGGAAACAGACUUGCAAAGACUUUUUUUUUUGAAAAUAAAACAGACUGGCAAUGACUUUAAACUGAUAACUUCAAUUAUAACUGCUAAACCCCACAAAGUAGUGGUAAAGAUUCCAUCUUUUAUGGCCUUACUCCCUUUCCCCCUCCCCACACUCCACUCGUGGGCUUACAUUGGGUAUGUUGUUGUACUCCCUUUCCCCUGAGGUUUCUAGAUAUUGAUUCAUAAUAUUAUACCACACAAGAAUCAAACAACAAUAUCUAUUAACUAGCAACAAUACAAAGCACUGCAAAGCUCAGAUCUGAGGACUUUUGUUAUACACCGAGUAAAACAGAGCACAGCAAUCUAUCUCACAUACAGCAUUUCACAAAAAAAAACUGGAUAAACAGGGGAUAGGGUUUCAGGCAGAUAGGAAAAAAAUACAGGUAGAGAAAAAGAGGUGCAUACACCUAGAUUUCUAUACAUUGAAUCAUAUUAUUAAGCAUAUACUGCACACAACGACUUUGCAAACAUAUCAAAAAGCAAACAUACAAAGUACAAUACACAGCAGAUUUGAGGGCUAUUUUAACUACUAUUUAACAAAACAAUUGAAUAAAAAUACAUAAGAGAGAGAUUAGGGUUUCAGACGAAAGAGAAUGGUAGAAGUAAAAACAUAGAAAACAAUAAGAUACUUACAAAUCGAAUUCUUAGCUGAGUUCGCCGGAGAAGAAGGCGAAGAAGAGUAGCCGCCGGAGGGUUGAAAUCGCCAACGAAUCGUCGGAUUUUGGGUACUUAAAAUUGGGAUUUUUUUUUGCUGUGCUUAUAUUUUCUUUAUAUAUAUAUAUAGAGCCCAAAAUAUGUAUCCUAUUCCUUCUCUUAUUGCAUAGAGAUUUAAAGCCCGUUUGAAUUCACCUUCUCCUUUUUUUUUUAAGUGCUUAUAAAAUUAAAAAUAUUUUUUUAUUGAUAUUGAUCGUCCUGCAAUGAUAGGUCAGUUUUAUUUUAAUCGGAGAAGUUUUGAAUUCGAGCCUUAAGUAAGAAUAAAAUUAUGUUGGAUGUGUCACUACCGAAUGAGUCCUAUAGUGCGCGAUUCAGAUUAUUAGUCGGAGCUCAAAUGCGAAUUUUGAAAUCCAAAAAAAUAAUAAAAUUCUAAGCACUUUUAUAGAGUUGAAACAAAAUAAAAAGUGUUUUUAAGCUAAAAAUUACAAGUCCAUUCAAACACUCUUUUUAAUGGGAAAAGGGACAAAUAUAUCCUGAACUUUCAAAAAUGGUAUGUCAAUACCCUCCGUCAUACUUUUCGACAAUUAGUAUCCUCGCAGUCCAAUAACUAGUGCACAUUUGCCCCUCCCACAAACGGAAAACUCAUUUUGUACACGUGGCACAAUCCUACGCCUCAACUCGGGUUGACCAAAUAUUUAACCCAAAUUUCAAAUACCCGUUUAACCCGCCCUAUUACUCAUUUAACAAACUAUUGACAAACCUAAAGAAAAAGGCCCAUUUACUUUAUCUCUUCUUCUUCCUCGUAAGGUCGUUGUCGUCCCCCACCCCCUCCUCCUCCUUCUUCUUCUUUUAUCUUUCCAUCUAUUCUUUCAAUCAUCUACUUGAAGAUUUAAACAAAAGAGAUCGAGAUCAAAGCACCUAUUUCUGUAAAGAAAAAGACAUCACGCUAAAAUUUUGAAGAAGAGACUCAAAAUCACUUUGCCUUGGAUAAAGUUUCUGCAAAUUAAAUUAAUUAACAUAAUCUAUUAUGGAAAAAAAUUAAUUAUAGUAAUCGAAAAUGAAACAAAACAUAACCAUAUCAAAACAUUGCAAUUUAUUUGCAUUCUCUGCUACUUGUAUGUCCUUUUUGUUAAGAAAGAGGUAGUGGGCGAAUACGUCUGAAUUCUGAUGCAAUUCCAGGAAGGAUAACUUCCAGCAGAGACUGAAAUUAAAUAGAAUUUAUAUUCUAUUUGUAGUUGAUCUACCAAUUCUUCGAGGAAGUGAGUUCCAUUUGUAGUUUUCAUUCAAAUCUGAACAUUGUUCAAUCCCAAAAACACUGAUACAGAUUCAAAAUUCAACACAUUGAGGGCUCUCAAAAACAUGAACAACAAAUUUCAACCUGGAAAAUUCCAAUCAAAUUACGCAAUAUGCCUCGAAAUUAUUUUUGAUUUCUGCAAACAAAAAAAGGAAACUCAGGAAUGGAAAAUGGGAUUUCGAGCUAAUACAACUUAUGUUUCUUCCCCAAAUGGAAACAAAGUUCUAGAAAGUUUCCAGAAUCUUCUUCUUCUUAACUAAAAUAAAAAAAACAAAUUCAAAUCUUCAACCCCACAAUCCCAAAUACUCGAUUCAGAUCCAGAUUUCAACAUAUGUUCAAGAUUUUCACUUGGGGUUCUUGAACAUGAACAAAUUCUGAUGUGGGUAAUGGAUGUAUUGGGUGUGUUAAAUGGGUAAUGGGGUGGGUUAAACGGAUAUUUGAAAUUUGGGUUAAAUAUUUGGUCAACCCGGAUUGAGGUGUAAGAUUGUGCCACGUGUACAAAAUGAGUCUUCCGUUAGUGAGAGGGGCAAAUGUGCACUAGUUAUUGGACGGUGAGGGCACUAAUGGACGAAAAGUAUGACGGAGGGUAUUUACAUACCAUUUUCGAAAGUUCGGGGGUAUAUUGUCCAUUUUCCCCUUUUUAAUUAGUAAUAGUAAUAGAACCCUCAGGGGUUGGCCUGCUGGCAAUUGACUUGAGCCUUGGGGUUUGCUCCCUUUCAAGGUCUCAAGUUCGAAACCCACUAGGUGCAAACAAUUUCUGAGGGCCAUCGGACUGGGUAAAACCUGAAUUAACCGUGGUGCACUUGCGGGAAACUCCUUGCCGAGGGCCUGUGCACCCCCGGGAUUAGUCGGGGCUCAAAGAGACUCGGACACCCGGUGCAAAUCAAAAAAAAAUU
rnacentral:lncRNA from 1 species